rnacentral:lncRNA from 1 species
UUAUGCAUACAGAGGUGGCUACACGACCUACAAUGGCGGCGUUGCUCCACGAGGUGGCACCGAGGGGUGGAACAAAACAAGCUAUAGCUCAGAUCAUACGUGUCAGCCUGUGUUCAUUGAUGCAGAAGGGAGGAGGAAGCCGAUCACGUCUUACACUGGUCCGCACGGUAGCACCGAGUAUUACGUUACAAAAACCGAGAUCGUCGAGGUUCCAUAUAUGGCCGAAUUCAAGCAAAGGGCUCCUGUAAGAGUUGAGGUGGUGAGGGACCAUGGUGAGGGUAAGCUGAUGACUAGGCCCUUAAGUCCCGGGGAAUGGCGGGAGAGUUCAAGUCCUGUUCGGUAUCAUACUGAAGAGAAAUGGAAUAAGCCUUCUAGACCCGUUCAGUAUGACGUCGAAGAGAAAUGGAAUAAGCCAUCGAGUCCUGUUCGGUAUCGUGUCGAAGAGAAAUGGAAUAAGCCAUCUAGUCCUGUUGGUUAUGGUGUCGAAGAGAAAUGGAGUAGGCCUUCGAGUCCUGUUCGGUACCAUGUCGAAGAGAAAUGGACGAACCGGCCUUCAAGUCCGGUUAAGGAACGUCCACAACAAGUUCCGGAUUUCAUUACCAAAGUUCAAACUCAAGCUAGCCGACCAAACAAGUUCGGUCCUCUCAGCGCAACAUAUUGGCGCCAGACACCAGCCACGACCACCACAACCGUUGGUGGUCCGUGGAACAACCAGAGUCAUGGUGGGGGAUGGUCCAAAGGACACGAGGCUAACCUUAGCCAACCAACCAGCAACAUCAACACUGCCGUGGAAUACUUAAAGGAAGCUGUUAAACCACCUGCUCCCAGGUAUGAUGGAUAUCCUAACACCAUUGACAGCAGGGAAGCUGAAAGAAAAUAUGGCGGCUUGGCUGUCGGAACGCCGCCAAUCGGAAGUUAUGGCAGAACCAUUGAUAGCAGGGAAGCUGCAAGAAAAUAUCGUGGAACAGCAGUGUGAAAAAGGCAAACUACUUGGGAUAAAUUUAAGUGUGUUUUAGGAUAUAAUAAGCUUUGGGCUUUAAUCCAAGGCUGUGUCAGUUUGUUUACACCUAAGUUUGAUGAUGAUGGAGAUGUUUCAAUGAAGUUAGUUUCUAAAGAUGGCCCCUUUUAUGUACUGCAAUAAGUUAUCAGUUCAUGAAAUAAAUUUAUAGAUCAUAUUUUUAGUUUAUCCAAUUCAACUUUAUUCUCUAACUCUUUUUAAAUAUUAACAAAUUAAAAUUUAUUAAAUUUUAACUCAAUUGAUACGAGUAUUGUUGUCAAUGCAGAAAUAUAUAAGUUUAAGUGUGUUAGAAACGGCCAUUAUCCUUGUAACGACUUAUUUUCAGUGGUAUCGGAAACAUAAUUUUAAGACCCCAAUUCCGAAAAAUAAGUCAGUAUUUUAUUACUUAAUUGAUAUUUAUGAAGUUUGAUGAGGCUUGUAUUAAAUUUUUGUUAAGUUAUAUUGACGUUUGGGUAAUUAAAUUAGUUAAAGGAUUAAAUUGUAAAAGUUUCAAAAGUUAGUUUUAAAAGUUAAUAGUAUUAAGUAGUUAGGAAUUAGAGAGUUGAUGGACUUAAUUGGCCAAUGUUAAAAUUACUGGUCGGUUUUGAAGUUUGUUUUAAGUGGUUUUAUGACUAAAAUUUCAUUAAAAUAAAGUAAUAAUAAUAAGAAUAAUAAAACAUUAUGGGGCAACUAUAAUUGUAACAAUCUGUCUUUUAGUGGUGUCGAAAAUAGUAAUUUCGGGGCCACCAAAUUCGACGAGUAAGUUCGUAAAUAUUAUUGUUUAAUAUUUAAGAGUUAAAUGUGACUUUACAAAGGUUUUUAAUUUGAUAAUUUAUUAUAUUUAAGUGAUUUAUUGAGUUUAAGUGGUAAGACCUGAGGUCAAGUGAUUUUAAAAAAUGAGGUAUCGGGACCUUGUUUCUAUAACCGAGUUGUAAAUAUUUUUAUAAAUAUUUACGGAGUAUCAUUAAGGUAAUAUUAAAGUUUCGUUGAAAAAUUUUAACGUUUUGUUAGUUAAUUAAUUAAAAAAGACUAAAUCGUAAAAGAUGUAAAAAUUGAUCACUAUUUGAUUUGAAUGAUUAAAUAGUUAAUUGAAUAAAGGAAAAAGGACCAAAAUGGAAAUUAAACCAUGGUCAAAGUUUCCAAGCGGUGGUGUCAUGAUUUAAAUCCACUAAAUUUUGGAUUAUUUGCUCUUUUAGUCCUAAUUAGUUUAGGAUUAAAUUAUAAAUAAGUUUAUUUAGUUAGAAUUUAAUUUUUUUGAAGGAUCAAUUGUGCAAUUAAACCUUCCUUAGAUGGUAAUUAUGCCAUUUAUUUAUGUUAUGGACUAUUAUGGACGUGUGUUAGUGAUAUUAUAAGUGUAUUUACCAAGGUUAAAAUGGUAAUUUGAUAAAUUAAUUAAAAUAAAAUAAAAACCAAAAUGUUUUAUCAUCAUUUUAACGUGUCUUCUUCCCCGAAUUUGGAAGGAGAAAAACUCCAUGGAAGAUUUGAAGCUUUGGCUUUCUUGUUGAUGAUGCAUGUAAGUCCGUUUUAUCCCCGUUUUUAAUAAUUUUGUAUUUUUGAGAUCGUUGCAACUAGGUUCUGUUAACCCGUAUUUUCAAUUUGAAACUAUUAAAGAUUGUGAAUGUUGUCAUUGAUGAAUAUAUAUGAUUUUAGUUAUUAAAUGAUGAAUUUGAGAUGUUGGUUGAUAUUUAAAAGUAUUUUUUAAGUAAUUUUGAUGAAUUUUUCGAUUAGGGACUAAAUUGUUAAAAUAGUAAAAUUAAAAGGAUUUGAUAUGAAAAUGUUGCAAUAAUGUGCUAUAUUGGAUGCCAUGAAUAUUCAGCUAGGCUCAAUUUUGGGUAAAAAUGGUUAUUUUGCAUGUUUUGGGCUCAGGGACUAAAUUGAAUAAAAGUACAACUUUAGGGGUGAUUUUAUAAAAAUUUCAAAAAUGGCUAAAUUGUAUAAAUUAUAUUGUUUUACUAUCUAAAUUAAUAGAUUGAAUAAAAUUAUUAAUUUAGAUCAAGAUCGAGUGGAAAGUCAAGGAGAAUGAAAAAUUACCAAAAUGCCCCUAAACUUUGUCAUUUCUAUGAUUUGGCCAGAUAAGUUCGUACAGUUAAAAAUUUAAUAUUUAUUUAAAUUGAGAAUGGUAUAACAUGAUGUAUAUAUUUAUAUAUAUUCUAUUGUUGGAAAUGAAUUAUUAUUUGAGUUAUAAUAUUGAAAUUUGAUGUUUGUUUUGAAUUGAACGAGGGAUAAAGUACAUUUGUGUUUUUGUGUAUUAUAAGGGUUUGGAGUGGUGAUGGUAUUGGAGGGAGAUAUCGACAUAUUACCCAAGUAAACCGAAGUUCAACAUUUGUUGCAAACUCUCAUUUUAUACUUUCUGUUUGGCGCGAUUCGAGUGGAUCAACUCUUUUGAGCUUCUGUUCAACUCUUUCGAGCUUCUAUUGGUGUGUUCGGGUGGACCAGCUCUAUGAGCUUCUAUUGACAAUAUACUCUUAUCCGUAAUUCGUUCUUCGAAUAAAAAAUCUCAGUAAGGUAAUCUGUUUAAUGAAGUUGAAAGAUCUAUUAUUUAUUGAAUAUUGUUCUGAACAUAAAUAAAUUCAACAAUUGAGAUUGUGGAUGAUGCUUAGGUUUAUGUUAAGCUUAUAGUUACAUUAUACCAUGUUUAAUAUUAAUGAUAUACUGUGAAAUGGUAAAUGACAAAAAUGGGAAUAUGUUUAUGUUCAUGAAAAGCUGGUAUGAUUCAAAAGGUGUAUUUUCUUAUAAAAUGGUUUAUCAUGUGAUUAAUUCCGAAUGAGUUGUAUACAUAAAUGUACUAACUUGUGUAUUAAUGAUGGUGAUUAGGCUUAUGUCAAGCUUGAGAUCAUGAUUGAUGUUUAUGCUUAUGUCUGGUAUUGUACAAAUGAAACGGGUAACAAAAGGUAAUGAAACGGUAAGUUCAUUAUUGAAAUGUGAUAUGAAAAGAAAGGGAUUGAUGAAUUGAAUGAUGUACUUAUAUAUGAGAAAUUACGUAUGUUGUAACAACCCGACUUUUGGGUCUAGUCGGAACAGUGGUUUCGGGACCACAAAUCCGACGAGAAAAAUUUUAUUUUUAUGGUCUACAAUUUCACGGAAUGAUUUCGUGAAAAUUUCGUUCGAAAAUUUCGACGUUUGAGCACUCAAUUUAUUUAAAAAGUCUAAAUUGAUAUGUGAUCCCGAAAAUUAUUACAGUAAGAGAGUAGGUAUUCUUGAUAUAGUAAAAUAAGGAAAUUUCGAGGACGAAAUUUAUUUUAAGGGGGAGAGAAACGUAAUACCUCGAAAAUUUUUACAGUAAGAUAAUAUAUUUGAUAUAGUAAGGAAAUAAAGUGACAAAAAGGAGAAUUUUGAGUUAUGACAACAUUGGGAAGUGUAUUAUGACAUAUUAAUUAAAGAAAGGAUUAAAUUGCAAAAGUGAGAAAAGUUUUGUUACCCAAGAAUAAAUACUUAAAAUUUGAGGGGUUAAAGUGUAAAUAUGAAAAAUUUGAAGGACCAAUAGUGUAAAUAUUUUAAGGGUGGAACAAUCUAGAAACUAAAGAAAAUGGAUGAAUUCGAACCAAAUUGAAUAGAUGAAGAAUUAUGAGUGACUAAAUCGUAAUUUUAUCAAAUUAAGUGAUGACUCAAGGAUGGAAUUUUAAAAGAUCUAAAGGGAAAAAUGGUUAAUUAGAAUAAAGAGAAAUCUAGAAAAUAAUGAUGAUGUUAGAGAUAUUUUAGAUUAAAUAAAUAAAUAAAUAUUAGUUUAUUAAUAUUUUAAUUUGAUUUUUAAAUGACAUUUUAUCAUUUUAUUAUUAUUUUAUUUAGUAUAUAUAUACAUAUGGAAGAAAAGAUGAAGAAUCAUCAUCUUCUCCCAUACAUUCCAACGUAUGAAGAGAAAAGAAAGAAAGAAAUUUUCUUUUCUUUACAAUUUGGUCCUCUCACUAAAAAUUUACCAUUUUUACUUAGAAAUCAAAGAAAUUUCCAUAGCCAGCAAGAGAGAAAAUUGAUAAGGAGACCAUCGGGAGCUAGAAUGUCAAGCUAGAUUCAAGAAAUAGAGGCUGGAGGAGAGAGAAAAUCAAGUUAAAGAUUGAAAUCAAUAGAGCAAGGUAAGAACACCAAGAUUUCAAUAUAUUUUUUAGUUUCAUAUUAUUGAAAAAGUAUGAAAUUGAUGUUAAUGUAGGGUUUUAUUAUAUAAGGUUCUAUAUUCUUGAUAUGUUAGUAAAGGGCAACAAGAGGAAUUGAUAGAAAAUAUUGUAGAGAAAGGAAAUGAGGGUGUUAUAAAUUUGAUUAUCAACAUCUUGCACUAAAAAAGUUUUAGACAACAGCGGUAGGUUAAUUUUGAAAAAUCACCAUAAAUCGUGGAAAUUUAAUUAGAGGAUAAAAAAAUAUGGAAUUAAAUCUUAUUGAGUCUAUUUUCUCAUAGAAGAAACGGUGUAAACAAUGGAAUUGUAAAUCAUGAGUUAUAAUAAAUUUUGUGAGAUAAGGUCAGAAUGGUAUCGAGUUCCUCUAUUCUGACUUUGGAAAAUUAUAAAAAAUUGGAUAAAAAUUAGUAUGCACUUAAAUUUAUAUUUUUAAAAUCUUGAAUGAGUUUAUUUUCAAUAGAAACAAACGGGAACAUCAUCCGAAUUCUGUACAAAGAGAUAAUUAAUUUUUAGUGAAGAGGGGUUGGAACUGUCAAACAGUGAAAUAGGGGAAACUUUAAAGAAUAAAUUGUACUUAUUGGAUAAACCAAAAAUUAUGAAAAUUUUAUGGUAAUAAUAUAUGUGAGUCUAGUUUUAGAUAAAAUUUUUGGAUCUCAAUUCAGAGUUCUGUAGCUUCAGAUAUAAUUAAUUUAGUGACUAUGACUCAAGUGAACAGCUUGUUAUGAGUAAACAAGUAAAUAGUGGUAUUAUGUAUAUAUCAAGGAUGUGGAAUGGAGUGGAGGAGGAGGAAAAAUAUAUGUGAAUAUUCAGCUAAUAUGAGUUUAUUUUAAAAUAGCUAAUUUACAUGUUUUAGGUUCAGGGACUAAAUUGAAUAAAAGUAAAAUUUUAAGGGUAAUUUUGUAAAAAUGUCAAAAAUGACCAAAUUGCAUGAAAUGAAUUGUUUUAUUAUUUAAAUUAAUAAAUUGAAUGAAAUAUUAAUUUAGAUCAAGAUUGGGUGGAAUUUAGAGGAAAAUGGAAAAUUUCUAAAAAGUCCUUGAAUUUUGGUAUUUCUGCAAUUUAGCCUGGUAAGUUCGUGUAACUUGAAUUAUAUUCUUAAAUGCUUGAAAUGUUUGUUAUUGAUGUGAAUAUGAUUUGAAUGUUAAUUGUAUGAAAAUUGAUGAAACAUUGAUAUAUUUGAUAAAAAGGGGAAGAAAUCGCAGUUGAAUGGAAGGAAAAUUCGAUGGAUCUCUAAAAAAAAAUUGACGGUAAAAAGGAUCUAGCCCAGACGGGUGAUCCUAUUCUGAUAUAGCCCUUCCAAAGAAUAUGUGGAAAAUGGAUUUAGACCAGACGGGUAAUCUAAAUUAGGGUUUGAAUUUAGCCUGGACUGGUAAUAUAGAUCCAAGCUCAUUAGAGUAAUUGUCAUUGCAGGGGAUUUAGCCUGGAUUGGUAAUCCCGACAAUACUCUAUGAGUUUAUAUUACAGGGGAUUUAGCCUGGACUGGUAAUCUCGCUGUAAGGAUGAGGUUCGCGGGAGUGUGCUCUCUGAAAUGGAAAUGUGCGCACAUGAAUAUGAAAUGACGGACCCAGAUUUGUACACUAAAGUGUACCCCUGAAAAUCCAUCGAAAUUUCGAGAAAUUCAACGGGAUAAAUAUGAAAAAAAAAAAAGGAAAUGGAAAUCAUGGUAUUGAUGAGCUCAUCAAUCAUGGUAUAUAUAUUAUUGAUACAUGGAAAUUAUUGAACUAACUUGAAUGUUGAGUUUGUGCAUGUUAGGGGAAUAAUGCAUUGAAUGACAUUUAUAAGUUAAAUUGGCCAACGUUACCUCAUUAAUGUUUUGAUUUUGUUUGGUUUUAAAUAUGAAUGCUUGAUGAAAUGAAAUAUCUUUAAAUUAAUUUUUAAACUCUGGUAAUGCUCUAUAACCCUAUUCUGACAAUAGAUAUGGGUUAGGGGUGUUACAUAUGUUAUGGAUGAACUUACCUAUGAUGUGAAUAAAUAUACUAAUUAGUGAGUUGAUGUUGUUAUUUAAGUUUAUGCUUAGUAAAUGGAAUGGAAAGUAAGUAAAGGAAAUAAUUCACAGUUUUAUGAAAGGGUUAAUGAUGGUGUAUAAUGUUUAUAAAAUCCUAUUAAGUUAGGAAUGAAAAAUAUAUAUGAUGUUGAUAGACUUACUCAUUUAUGAGUUGAUGGUUAUGUAGUAAAUAAAUCUUGAGGUAUUGGUAUAUGUUUAUAUUUAAUCUAUAAAGUUCAUUGUUGAAAUGGAGCCGUUUUAUUUCAUUUGAUUACUCAUGCUUAUUUGAAAGCAUUGUUGUUUUUAGCAUCCGGAUAUAUUAUUCAUUCCAUGGAAGCUAUUGUUGGAUAUUCUCCAGAGAAAAGCCAGAAUAUGGUUUUUAUGGGCGGUUUAAGAAAGCAUGUGACCAUUACCCAAAUUGCUUUUUUAGUAGGUACACUUUCUCUUUGUGGUUUUCCACCCCUUGCUUGUUUUUGGUCCAAAGAUGAAAUUCUUAGUGACAGUUAGUUGUAUUCACCGAUUUUUUCAAUAAUAGCUUAGUCCACCGCUGGAUUAAUAACAUUUUAUAUGUUUCGGAUCUAUUUACUUACUUUUGAAGGACAUUUAAACGUUCAUUUUCAAAAAUAUAGUGGCAAAAAAAGUAGCUCUUUCUAUUCAAUAAAAUUAUGGGGUAAAGAAGAGCAAAAAAUAAUUAACAGCAAUUUUCUUUUAUUUCCUUUAUUAACAUUAACAAUGAAUAAGAACGAGUAGUCAUAUACAAUUGGUGGAAAAAAAGAAGCUCUUAUUACUAUUACGAAUUUUGGCUACAAGAAGGCUUUUUCUUAUCUUCAUGAAUCAGAUAAUACUAUACUAUUUCCUAUGCUUAUAUUGCUUCUAUUUACUUUAUUUUUUGAAGCUAUAACAAUUCCUUUUAAUCAAGAAGGAAUGCAUUUGGAUAUAUUAUCCAAAUUAUUAACUCCAUUUAUAAAUCUUUUACAUCAAAAUUCAAAUGAUUUUGAGGAUUCUUAUCAAUUUUUUAAAAAUGUAACUUUUUCAGUGAGUAUAGCUUGUUUUGGGAUAUUUACAGCAUUCUUUUUAUAUAAUGUUUAAAGUUUAUACGAGCUUACUAAGCAUUUACUACUUAUGUAGUUAUUUUCCCUUACUUUACAGAUUAUCGGAAGCUUGAUCGGGUUGGAAGCUUAUCGGAGAUCUAUCACACUAUCCAGCUAUAACAUCGAUAGAUUUUGACGUUUUGGGUCAUGGUUAUAAUGGCAUGUAUAGGUGGACUUAUGUUUAAGGUUUAGUUAAUGUUUAUGACUUGUAAUGUUGUUUUGAAGUGUAUAAUUAAUGGUAUUUUCAUACCUUGAUGAUUUGUAUACUUGUGGUACUUUGAUGCUAAAUGGUUUAUGUUUAUUUGGUCAAGUUGAUGCAAGGUUUUAUAACCAAACUUGGUAUAUGAUGAUAAGGCUUCAUUGUGAUCAUUUGAAGUAAGUUUUGGUAUGGAAAUAGGUUAGAUAUAAAUGCCAAAUGAAUGAUCAAUUAUGCAUAUGUUUUGGAUGAAUUUGAUGAAUUGUGUUUGAGGUGCCUAAAUAGCAUAUUGGUUAUAUGGAUUUAUGGCAUAUUGAAAGUGGUCUUAUUAUGCAUGUUUUGGCAUGUUUUGGUGUUUUGUUCAUAGAUACUUUUGGCUUGUAGAUUUAACGUUGAUUCGGGUGAAAGGAAUGGCUUAAAAUUGACAUAUUUCUUGUCCACACGGCUUAAGAUAUGAGCGAUUGUCUCAGCCAUGUGUGACAUACGGCUACGCGACACGGCCAUGUAUCCCUUGUAGGUUUUUAAGGUUGCAUUUCGAGUGUUACACCGCCUGGCACACGGGCGUGUGAUUUGGCCGUGUGGCACAAGUCAGUGAGUUACACAGGCAAGGACACGGGUUGGGACACGGCCGUGUGUCCCUAUUUCAAUUGUUACACGACCUGAGACACAAGCAUGUGUCUCAGCCGUGUGACCCCUGCAGUCUAAAUUUUUCUAACUUUUUCUUAAAUUUUCCAAAUAUUUUUGAUUUAGUCCCUGAUUGUUUCUAUUGUAUUUCUAUUGUCAUUUCUCAUUGCAUGCAAGUGAUCUCUUUAUUGUUUCUUAAUGAAUUUUAUGAUUUUGUGUUAGUUGAGUUGAAAUCUAUCUUAUUCGAGUGUUAAUUUGUAAAAUUAGUAAAGUUGAGAAAGUAUACUCAUAAUGUUUUUUUAAGCUUUCUACUUGAAAGAGUUUUCCUUGGGUGCUUGAUACGGUCCUUGAAAGCACCAAAAAUAUUCUAUCCCUAAUAAAUAAUGAAAAAGAAUAGUAAAAAGGAAGUAAGGUCGAAUCCCCAGGGACUGGAUUUGCACAAUAUCUUGUUCCGUGAAAUCCGAGGCAGAAUCUUUCCCAAGAAAACCUGCGUUCCUGGAAAAAAAUAAAAAAAUAACAGAAUUAAAGGUUUGGAUCUGGAAACGAAAAAUAAAAUAAAAACAGAAUCAAGAAUAUUAAACCUGCCUCCAGUUGUCUCGUUCCGCCUUGGGUUCAAUCUUCGGCUUUUAGAUGAUCUUUCCUAAACUGAAUAAGCCAGUUAUAGUGGAAGAGGACGCCUAUGACCACCAGCUCCAAUGAUUUAGACUUACGAUUUAGUAGAACCUGACUCUAGCCAACAAUCGCUUCUGUGGGAUCGUCUUAUGCUAGAUCAACGCUUCUCAAUGGCGAAUCCCACGCCAUGUUGUCUCUUAGGCUCGCCAACCUCUGACACAAUAAGCUAACGAACCGACUGUGCAACCUUCCCAAAACAUACAAAGCGGCCGCCUUUGCAUAUGUUGAAAAGCUUACUUCUUAAGGGGCAUGGAUGGAAGCGUCAGCCCCGUAGUGCGGAGAAACGAUGAAUACUUAGCGAUGAGGCUAAGUACGGACUCUAAGCCUCAAGAACCCUUUUUGGGGAAUAUCGACCACUUUCGGCUAGAUGGUGUAACAGCCCGUUUUUAGGAUUAACUGGAACAGUGGUUUCGGGGUCACCAAAUCCGACGAGUAGGUUUGUAAAUAUUAUAUUUAAUAUUUACGAGUUAAUUGUGAUUUUUAAAAAUAUUUUUGAUAUUGUGAUAUUUGUUUUAUAAGUGAUUUAUUAAGUUCAAGUGGUAUGACCCUAAGGUCAAGUGGGUUUAGGAAAUGAGGUAUCAGGACCUCAUUUCUAUAAAUCGAGUCGUAAAUAUUUUUAUAAAUAUUUACAAAGUGGCAAAAAGAUGGUAUUAAAGUUUCGUUGAAAAAUUUUAUCGUUUCGAUAGUUAAUUAAGCAAAAAGGACUAAAUCGCGUAAAAUGCAAAAAGUUACAUUCUAAUUGUUUAAGUGUUUAUUUUCCAUGUUUUACUAAAGUAGAAGUCCCUAUUUAUCAAUUAAACCAUUACUUUAUGAUAGUGGAGAUUGGUGGUUUGGCAUAUAUGAAAUUAUGUAUUAUUAUAAAGGACAAAAAGGUAAAUGGAAUAUUAAAAUGUAUUAAAUAAAAAUAAAUAAAGUAACAGCCCAAUUUGGACCUUAAUUGGAACGGUAGUUUCGGGACCACGAAUCCGAGUUAGAAUAAUAUUUAAAUAUCAUUUUCUAUGUUUAAAAUGUGUGAAGUUGCUUUUGUGAAAGUUUCGUUUAAAAAUUUUAGUGUUUGGAGGUCGAUUGAUGAAAAAAUGGUUUAAUCGCGUAAAAUGGAAAAUUUAAGGGUUAAUGUAUAAGGGCCAAAUUAUGAUUGUUUUUAUAUUAUGGAAUAUUAAGGUUGCAAUUUGGCCAUAAAUAGGAAUUGGUGGCCGACCAAUAUGCAUGGAUUAAUGACUUGAAUUGUUUGUUAUAUUUUAUGGCAUUAUGGUAUACUUUAAUAUAUGUUAAUAUAUUAUAUUUAAUAAAAGAUGAAAGUGUUCAUCUUUCUUUUAUUUUUACUCGGCCGAAACUAAGAGAAAGAAAGGAAAGUUUCAGCUUUGAUAUUUUCGGUCCUUGCAUGUUCAAUUAGGUAAGUGAUUUGAGUUUGGUUUUUGUUAAUUUUUACACUUUUGAGAUAGUUGCUUUGAAUACUAUAAAGUCCAUGCUUGAAAUUUUGAAAUUGAUGAUAUAGUCAUGAAGUGUCAUUGUUAAUAGUUUGAUAAAAUUUACAUUUGAUGUGAGAAAAUAAAAUAAAUGUGUUAGAUUAACAUUUUGGUAUUGGUAUUUUUGGUAAUUUUGAGCAUUUAGGGUUAAAUUGAAAAAAAGUACUAAAUUGAAGGACUAGAUUGUGAAAUUAGUGAAAUGGGAGGAUUUAUAUAAGCUUAGUGAACAUUCGGCCCUAGCAUUGUAUAUACAAAUUCUUCAUAUUUUGUGUUUUGAGAAAAUUGGAUUAAAUUGUAAAAGUGCAUAAUAUUAGGGGUAAAUUGGUAAAUUGCUCAAUUAUGUGUAUUUGUACCUAAAUGAAGGAAAUUCUAUUUGAAUGAGAUUAAUUUCGAAAUUUUUAGAUCAAGAACCAAAAAGAUCUGACGUGGAUCGGGGAAAAUAAAAAAAAAAUCGUUGAGUAGUCGAAUUCGACUGUCCGUCGAAAUCCGAGGUAAGUCGUUAAGCAAAUAUUUAUUGUUGGUUUAAAUAAAUAUAAUUUAUAUAUUUGUGUGAGCCGCGUUGAAAUAUAUAAAAUCUUGGUGUUGUCGAAUGCAAAUAGAAAUAAUAAAUAUGAAAAUUUCACUAAGCAUGCGAGUUUGAUUAUCGAGCACUAAGUGUGCGAAGGAAAAUAUUAAGCACUAAGUGUGCGAUUUCAUGGCCUUUCUAGUUAAACAAUAGCACUAAGUGUGCGAAUACAACGGGUGAAGGAAAAUGAUCAGACGAUCUAAUUAUCAAAUGCAAGAGUAGUAGUGUAAUAUUUAUGUUCGUAAUAAUGAAGGUACGUAAUCAAACCUUUGUGGUUGAUAUUAUUGAACUUGAAAUUAUAUGGUGGGUAGUUAUAAAUAUAAUAUGUAUGAUAGAUUUGGAAAAAUGAGAGAUGGAUGAGUUGAAAAGUAUAAAAUAAAAUAAAUAAUGAUAAUAAUAAAAAAAUGAUAUGAUAUAUAUAAUAAUGUUUGAUUAUUUAUUUUAUAUAUGAGUGAACAUUCGACUAGGUAUUAAAUGGUAAGAUGGGAAGUGUUAAGUAAUUAUUAUUAUUAUUAUUUUUAGAGUUUAUGUAUAUUCGAACAUGUUAGGUAUUAAACUUGACUGAUUGAUAUAUAUUGGUAGUCAAGUUUGGUUGAAUAUGUGAUUUUAGUAGCAGGACUUGGUUACUCAAAUUGAGUUUUUAAUGUCUUUUAAAUUGUUUAAAUUGCUUAUAACUAAGCUAAAAUAGCUUACUUUGAGAAUGUGAAAGUGUAUAUAUGUGAUAAGGCCUAAUGGCCGAUGUGAUGAAUGUGAAAGUGUAUAUAUAUGUGAUAGGGCCUAAUGGCCGAUGUGAUGAAUGUGAAAGUGUGUAUAUAUGUGAUAGGGCCUAAUGGCCGAUGUGAUGAAUGUGAUAAGUCCCGAAGGGCAUUUGUGUCAGUACUAUAUCCGGGUUAAAACCCCGCAGGCUUUAUGCGAGAAUAUUAUCACUGAUUAAUGUCCGUAAACUUCGUGCUCGUACUAUAUUCGAGCUCUAAAGACCCGAUGACUACGUGUGGGGAUUUUGUCCGGGUAAGACCCGAUAACUUCGUGUGGAGAUUAUGUCCGGGUAAGACUUCGUAAUAAGAAUUGCUUAUAAAUAUAUUCAAUGCGAAAGGUUAAACAGGUAUGUACUCCAAGUUUAUAUGUGAGCUUGAUUUGCACUAAAUCAUAAGGUAGUUAUGUGACGCAUACGAGAGCAAUCUAUGAGACUAUUCCUAUGAUUAUGUGACAUCGGAUCAGAGUGAGAGGUUAUGUGAAAUCAUACGAUAUAUCUAUGUCACAUGAGCUCACUUUUAUGUGAAAGUUUAUCUGCCUAUUGUAUAUGAUGAGAUGUGCAUAUUCGGUAAAGGGGUGGUAUGCCCGAAGGAAGAGUGAAAUAAAAAUACGAACAACUAUGUUAUAAUUUGAUUGUUAUCUGUUGACACUGCUUAAAACUUACUAAGCAUUGUAAUGCUUACUCCGUUUACUCUGUUUCCUCUGUUUUAUAGAUCUCAUUGCGAAGCUACAGGCUCGGGGAUCGUCAGCAACUAGUCACACUAUCACUAUCCACUGUUUGGUACUGCUAUGUUUUGGAUUAUCUUAUGGCAUGUAUAAAAUAGACUAGUGGCGGAAGAAUAUUUUGGUUAAUGUAUAUAGCCAUGCGAAAAUGGCUUAUAUAUGUUUGAGCAUAAUGUUAUAAUCAUUUGGUAUGGAAUGGUUAAUCACUAUCAUAAUUUGUGCUAUUCAUGCUAAAAGGGCUAGUUGAAUCAUGGAAACUAUGAAAUAGGUAAAGUCUACCUUAAAGGCAGAUGCUGGCAGCAGCAGUGAUGUAGAUUUGGAAAAUCACUAAAAAUAGUAGGAUUGGAAUUAAAUAAUGAAUAAAUUAUGUAAACGAACCUUGAUGAAUCUGUUUUCAUAGGAAAGUAACGAAACGAUCAUAUGGACAGUAUGUUAAGAGAUAUUCAGGUUCUAGUGAGACAGGGCCAGAACGGUUUCUGGAUUCCUUGUUCCGACUUUGGAAAUUCAUUAUAAAUUAACAAGAGAUAAUUAGGAGUCAUUCCAUAUAUGUAUAGAUUCCUCUCUGAGUCUAGUUUCUAUAGAAACAAACGGAAUCAGUAUUGAAGCUCUGUGCAGGGAGAUAUCCAAGUCGUAAUGCGAAAAGGUCAGUGUAGUCGAUCCCUGUAACAUGGGAGACUUUGACUAAUAAACUGUACUAAUUGGCCCAACCAAAAAUUCUAGAAAAAAAUAUGUAGAUGGGAAUAUGAGUCUAGUUUCAGGGAAAAAUUACGAAACUGAUUUUCGAGUUGUGAAACUCAAGAUAUGAUUUUUAAAGUGACAGUGUCGCAGUUAGCCAACUGCCUGGAAAAUUUUAAAAUGGACUGCGAUAGUAAGCGAAUUUAGUCUAUGAACCCCUCGUGUCCGACUCCGGCAACGGUCUCGGGUACGGGGUGUUACAUAUGGGUUUAGUGGUUCAUGGUUAUGGUAGAAAAGAAAAUAAAUAUAAUAAAAAUGGAGAUUUUAUUGAAAGGAAAUAUGAGAAGAACAAAAGCCUAGACUUUUGGGGAGAAUGUUUACAGAAAAAAAAGAUGGAUCUUUUUUGAGUUACUUCACCCCCUAUUUAUAGUGUUAGGGGAGAUAGUCUAAUCCUACUUAAACUCCCAAAAGAUAAAUACAUUUAAUUGAAAAUAAAUAAAGAUAAAUAAAAUAAAAUCCUAAAAUUAGAUAAUCCUUAAUAAUUAUUUUAAUAUUAAUCAUCCUAAUAUAAUUAAAAUAGAGUUUGAUAGAAUAAAAUCUCUUCUUUUUGCAUUUCAACCCUUGUGUCAUCCAUGCUUGCACUUUUGGCAUUAACUUUUUUUUGUGUCGCACAUUGGCCCAUUUUAUCUCUAAAUUCACACUUUUGGCCCUUAAUUUUGCUUUUGCCUCAAGUUUAGUCCCUAUGAGAUAAAAGAUCAUAAAUAGCUCAAAUUAGUAGGAUCAUACUCAGAAUAAAUACAUAAUUAAUACAUAAAAAUACGUUAUUAUAGAGUGUUAUCAGUGCUUGAUGUUGAUUUUGUGUUAUUUUAUAAAGUAAAAUUUUAGAAAUUUAGAAAUUUGGGAUUUAAUUGAGUAGUUUGUAAUAUGAGAAGGAUUUGUUAUAAAUUUAAGGACAUGUAGGUUGUAUAAUAAGGGUAAGUAUUUGGCAAUGUUGAGUUAUGUAUUAAUUGUGGAAUUGACUUGUUUAAUUCUAUGGAUUAAAUUGUAUGGAGUGUAAAUAUUUAGGGGCAAAUGAGAAAAAUUGAAAAUAAGGAAUUAUGUGUAUUGAAUUGAAUUAAUAUAUGAGAUUAAAUUAAUUUUUGAUGUUGGGGAUUGAGUUGAGUAUUGACCAAUUAAUAGGAAUUAAAUGUGGAGAUAUGACUUUAUGAUAGAUUGUCUAAAUUGAAUUAUUGUAGUUUUGAAUUAGUAAAUUGAAUUAGAUUAUCAUUUUUAGGUCAAGAAAUGAGCAAAGUCGUCGCUAACUGGGAGAAGGAGAAAGUUGUUGAUUAAUCCAUCUCGUUCACUAGAAACUAUUGUAAAUUCGGCAAGUUCGUAGUCCUUAAACUCGAACUUUAUUUAGUUAAUUAGUUUGAUUAUUAGUUAAAUUGAUAGACAAUUAUGUGCAUUCAAAAUGAUUAAUAUUAUAAAUGAAAUGCUAUGGAAAUAUAUAAAUGAAAAUGGUUAUGAAGUGGAUUAUAGAGUUCUAAUAUAGAAGCGUUGUAACACCCCGUACCCGAGACCGUUGCCGGAGUCGGACACGAGGGGUUCACAGACUAAAUUCGCUUACUAUCGCAGUCCAUUUUAAAUUUUUCCAGACAGCUGGCUAACUGUGUUGCUGUCACCUUAAAAAUCAUAUAUUGAGUUUCACAACUCGAAAAUCAGUUUCGUGAUUUUUCCCUGAAACUAGACUCCUAUGUCCAUCUACAUAUUUUUUUCUAUAAUUUUUGGUCAGGCCAAUUAGUACAGUUUAUUAGUUAAAGUCUCCCCUGUUACAGGGUGCGACUACACUGACCUUCAUGCAUUACAAUUCGGAUAUCUCCCUGUACAGGGCUUCAAUACUAAUUCCGUUUGUUUCUAUAGAAACUAGACUCAGAGAGGAAUCUAUAAAUAUAUGGCAUGACUCCUAAUUAUCUCUGGUUAAUUUAUAAUGAAUUUCCAAAGUCGGAACAGGGAAUCCAGAAACCGUUCUGGCCCUGUCUCACGAAAACCUAAUUAUCUCUUAACAUACCACUCAUAUGACCGUUUCGUUUCUUCCAUAUGAAAGUGGAUUCAUCAAGGUUCAUUUAAAUAAUUUAUUCACUAUUUAAUUCUAUUCCUACUAUUUUUAGUGAUUUUCCAAAUCUACAUCACUGCUGCUGUCAGCAUCUGCCUUUAAGGUAGACUUUACCCAUUUUCAUAGUUUCCAUGAUUCAACUAGCCCUUUUAGCAUAAAUAGCACAAAUUAUGAUAGUGAUUAACCAUUCCCAUGGUCAAUCCUUGUUAAGCAUAUCCACACCUCUCAAUAACCAUAUCCAUACCAAAUGAUUAUAACAUUAUGCUCAAACAUAUAUAAGCCAUUUUCGCAUGGCUAUCCAAAAUUAUACAAAUCCAAAGGGUCCAUGACCCACUACAAAAGGGUAGUCCUAUACAUGCCAUUUUCAGAGUUCAACCAAAAGUGUACCAAAAGGGCUUUGAUAGUGUGGGCGCCUUCGACUUCAAUAAUCCCGAGUCCGAUAGCUGACGAACCAAAAUCUAUAAAACAGAGAUUCAAAGAACGGAGUAAGCAUUUAAUGCUUAGUAAGUUUUAAGCAAGACAAAGUGUUCUCAAUCACUAUUAUUGGUCAUUCAUUUCAACUGUUCGAUGAAGUUAAUCUAGAGCUUCAUCUCGAUCUAUAAUAUCAUUAAACGCAACACUUGGCUGCCACAUAUAUACUUUCGAAUAAUAAUGACCUAGAUGGUCAAAUAUUUCCAAAGCACAUUCUCACAUUUGGAGUUAUAAUAUUAAUCACAUUUACCUACCUCUUUGAUACUGAUAAUUCACCUCGAAAUCACUCCACCGAUGAGUAAGUAAUACGUACCUGAACAUCUUGAAUACAUAAUACUUAUUUGAUGGUAACUUAAUGCAGAUACUCAAUAUCAAAGUCUUACUUGAAUCCUAGCAUUUAGCCGUCGGGUCUUUAAAGCUCGGAUAUAGUACGAGCACGAAGCCUACGGACAUUAAUCAAGAUAAUACUCUCGCAUAAAGCCUGCGGGGUUUUAACCCGGAUAUAGUACUGACACAAUUGCCCUUCGGGACUUAUCACAUUUAUACACUUUCACAUCCAUCACGUUGGCCACUCGGCCCUGUCACAUAUAUACACUUUCACAUUCAUCACAUCGGCCAUUAGGCCUCAUCACAUAUAACACUUUCACAUUCAUCACAUCGGCUAUUAGGCCUUAUCACAUAUAUACACUUUCACAUUCAUCACAUCGGCCAUUAGGCCUUAUCACAUAUAUAUACACUUUUACAUUCAUCACAUUGGCCAUUAGGCCUUAUCACAUAUAUACACUUUCACAUUCAUCACAUCGGCCAUUAGGCCUUAUCACAUAUAUACACUUUCACAUUCAUCACAUCGGCCAUUAGGCCUUAUCACAUAUAUAUACACUUUCACAUUCAUCACAUUGGCCAUUCGGCCUUAUCACAUAUAUACACUUUCACAUUCAUCACAUCGGCCAUUAGGCCUUAUCACAUAUAUAUACAUUCACAUCACAAUUAUCCAAAUAUACUUCACAUAUCACAUAUACUAUCAUAUAUACACUUUGUCUUGGCCGAAUCUACAUUAAUCAUUUCCCAAUGAAUAAUUCAAUUUCACGCCAUACUAUCAUUUCAUAUUCGAAUACUCAUAAACUUACAAUUUCACAAAUUUUAAUAUCAAAGAUCCAUCUAACACUCAUGUAUCGUUUUAAAAUAUCACGAUUUAGAAUUCACGUAUGGGUUUAAUCAAUAGCUUAUGAGUAACUAAAACAAGUUUUAUCCAUGUUUACAACAAAAUCACAUAUUCACUACGAGCUGUUUUCCUGAGCAGUAGUCACUAAAUUAUUUAUAACUGGAGCUACAAAACUCCAAAUCACUUGACGUUAAUUUUCCCUGAAUAUAGACUCGUAUAUCUUUAAUCCAUAAAAUUUUCAGAAUUUUAGGUUUGGCCAAUCAAUACCAGAUUUUUUUUAAAGUUUCCCCUGUUUCACUGUUUGACUAAUCUGACCACUCUUCACUACGAAUCAAAUUUCUCAUUUUACAGAAUUCAAAAUGUGUUGUAUUUGAUUUCAUUUGAAACUAGACUCAUUAAGGAGUCUAAGAAUAUAAAUUUUAUCUUAUAACCAUUUUUGUACAAUUUAUAAUGAUUUUCUAAAAACAGAACAGGGGAUUUCGGAGUCAUUCUGACACCGUCUCACACAACUUUAAAUAUCUCUUUAUAGGAAAUUUGUUUGCUCACAAGGUCUCUUUUAUAAGAAACUAGACUAAUUAAGACUUGAUUACAUAUUUUAUUCGGCCUAUACUUCCACACCAACAAUUUAUAGUGAUUUUCUAAAAUCACGUUACUGCUGCUGUCCAAAGCAAAUUAUUACAAUUUGCUCUUAACUUUCCAAGUCCAAACACAUAUGAACUUACCAUUUGAGUUUAAGACAUAUCAUGGCCACAUCAUAUCUUAUUAAAUCAACUCAUUAUGUCCUAUUAUGAUUGAAUUUACUCAAAUUUUAAUCACUUAAAACUUACCUCGGAUGUGGUCGAACGAUUUCGGCGGCUAUUCGAUCACUUUUUCCUUCCCUUUAUCGGAUUUAGAUCCCCUUUGGUCUUGAGCUCCCCUUAAGCUCAAGGUGACCGAAACCUCUCUUCUUCCUCCUUUCAAACCGGCCAAGAAGAACCAAAGGAUGAAGCCUUUCUCUUUUUUUUUUUUCUAGUUCGGCAAAAUGGGGGAACAACCACACACUUUUUUUUUUGUUUUCAUCAUAUUCCCUUUCAUUAUUUUAUUCCCAUGCUCCUUAUUUUAUCAUACUUCCCAUGAAACACUAACUUAACAUGUUUAUGACAUGUUCUUGCCCAUCACACUUGGUCUACCAUACUUGUCAUGGCCGGCCACUACUAAUUAGGGGGGAAAUUGACAUGCAAGUCCCCCCUUUUUAUUUCAUGCACUAAUAGAUCCUUAUGCUUUGACCUAUCACAUUUCAAAAUUUUCUCACAUAAGUCCUAUUUGAUAAAAUUCACUUACUAUUAACAAAAUUCAAACAUGAAAUUUUCACACAUGCAUAUGUACAUAUAAUGAGCAUCAACUAUGACGGUUAAUUAUCUUUAUGACUCGGUUUAGUGGUCCCGAAACUACUUUCCGACUAUGGUCACUUUAGGGGUGUCACAAGCGUAAUGUAAAGAAUUUAAAUUAUGAAUUGAAUAAUUGUGGAAUAAUGUAAUUUUGUAUGUAUUGUCGAUUAUCUGACUAGCGUUGAGUGUAACUCAUUGUUGGUACAUCCAACUAGUGCUGGGCACACAUUUAAUAUCGUCGGUUUAUCCGACUAGCGCUGGGUGCAAUUCUUUGUCGAUUUAUUCGAUUAGUGCAGUGCACAACUAUUGUCGGUUAUCUGACUAGCGCCAGAUGCAAUUAUUUGUCGAUUUAUUCAACUAGUGUUGGGCGUAAAACAUUGUCAGUUUAUCCGACUAAUACAGGGUACACCUAUUGUCAGUUUAUCCAACUAGCUUGCAAAGAGCAAAACUCUAUUAUGGUUAAUACGUCAGGCACCGAGUGCCAAUAACAGGUUGAUUAAUAUUGAAAAUGUUUUUCCGAUCCAUUGAUUAUGGUUGGUAAAGGAAAUAUGGAUUAAAUUGCUUAUGCAAUGUCCAUGCGGACUAAUGGUGCACAUAUGGUAACAACCAUUAUAUAUAUACUAGAUAUUUGAAUUGAUGGAGUAUUAAACUCAUAUGUAGUUUAAUGAAAUUAUUCAACAGUUGAUCAUUCCUUUGUGUACAGGUUAAGUACUUAUUUUGAUUCCCGACUCAGCAUCCAACAUCAAUCACAAACUUAAAGUUGGUGAUGUAUUCCUUUUUGUAUGUCUUGGCAUGUACUUAGGAUAAUGAUAUUUUGAGUAAUAGUUUUUUGGUCUAUGGUUAAACCCAAUAUUGGUUAUUUGUUUUGAAUGUCCUAAAAGUUUUUCAGUUUUGUUUUGUCUUGAAACAAAUGCUUGUAAAUGGUUAUGAAUGAAAUAAGGAUGUUUGAUAAACUUGACUCUUUUAGGUGGGUAUAAUUGUUGAUGUGGAAUGAUAAAUGUUUUGGUAAAAUGGCAACUUGGUGAGAUUGGUUAUAUUUUGCUAUUUGGUUGAUGUUUGAUUGAGUAUGAAAGAGUGGUUAAUUUCAUAUGCUCUUUAACUUGGUUAUGAAAUGAUUAAUCUUUGUUUGUGAUACCUUUGAAUGACAUAUUGGUUAGGUAAUAGAUGGAUGAAAUGUUGGCUUGUGUUUGAUGAUUUAAAUGUGGUGUCAAUGAGGGCACAUUGGUUGGUUUGGAAGUGUCUUUGGUGGUGUUUACAUGGAUGUUUUAUGAUUGGUUUGUUACCUAAGAUAGGUGUGAAUUAUGCCUUGUUUUGGAAGUAAAUUUUGGUAUACACAGCCCGGGACACGGGCUAUCACACGGCCGUAUGACACACACGAUCUACCCAUACGGCCAUGUGUCUCAAUGUUUUUAGGUGUAGGGUACACAUGGUAUGACACGCAGCCUGUGACAUGGUCGUGUGUUCCAAAACAGUUUCAAACACGGUCUGGCACACUGCCCGUGACACGGUCGUGUGACCCAACAUCGAAUGCACACACGGGCAAGCACACGUCUUGCGACAUGACCGUGUGACCUUAUUUUGAAUAUACACAGAGCAGACACACGGGCUGGGACACGGUUGUGUGAUUGGACUUCGAAUGUCCACACGACCUGGACUGUGACACACGGCACGACCGUGUAUCCUUUUUUUUUCAAAAUUUUCAACUUUUUCCCAACUUUUCCAUUUUGUUUCAAAUUGACCCUUAGAAUGUUUCCAAUCUAAUUUGAGGGCAUCGUAGACUCGUUUUAAGGCCUGUAAGUGUAUGUUAGAUUAUGAGUGGAUUGUGAUUGAUUAAUUGUAAUUAUGAUUGAAUAUUUAUUUCUAUGAAAUGUUAAAUGUUUAAAAUGUUAUACCCUAUGACCCUAAUCUGACGAUAGAAACGGGUUAAGGGUGUUACAAUCCUCCUAUUUAUAAGUUGGGGAGAGACUAUUGAUAGUUAUAGAUAUUAUGUUAAAAAAUCAGAUCUUCUGAUGAUUAAAUGCUUUUAAUAUUUAUUUUUUUAAUAAAUCACAGAUGUUCAUUUACAAACCUUGUCAUAAGUUUCCGCUCAUCACUAAGCGUUAAUCAUAAAAUCAAUCAUGCAAAUUGGUAUAUUGUAAUGGUCAUUGAGGAUAUUAUUCAUCUAAUUUUUUUAAAAAAUAAAUUAUAUAAAUAAUUAAUAACAUUUAGAUUGUUUAACCUAAAAUUAGAAUAAUCUUAAUGCAUGUGAAAUCACAAAUUUAAAAUAUAAAUAUUUAUUUUUAAAUAUAAUAAAUAAUAAAAUGUAUUGCUUAAAACUAAUCAAUAAUAACACAUGAAAUAUAUAUAUUACUAAAAUAAUAAAAAAAUAGAUUAAAUUCUUUAUUAUGGUGUUGUCAUUAAUCUUAAAUCGAUGUCAAGUUAUCUUAUGAUACUAACUCAAUCAAAUAAAUUAUUAAUAUAUAUAAUUGAUGAAGGUGAAAAAGUGUGCACAAUAAAAUUAAAAUGAAUAAAAGCUUUAGUUGAGUUGUAACAAAGGCAAUUAGUGGGGGUUUAAAUCCCGCUAUAUGCAUAUUUUUAUUGAUUUUUUAAGUGAAAAGGCUAAAAUAUCCUUGAAUAUAUUUCUUAUUUUAAUUAUGAAAUGACAUUCCUGUAACUUUCUAAUCGAGUUGGUAAUUCGGUUGAAGGUGACACUAAUUCAAUCAACGUUUUUAUUAAUAAUGUAAAUAUAGAAUUAGUGAAGAUAAUAAAUUAUGCAUAUUAAAAAAUAUAUAUAAAAAAUUAAAAUAAUGCUUUAGUUGAGAGAUAAAUUUAAGAUUUUAUUAAUCUAAUAAACACGGCUUAAAUCUCACCAUAUGCAUAUUUUUCUUAAUUUUUAUUUAAAAUAAUAUGACUAAUUUUAAUUACGAAAAAAUAUUUCCAUAAUUUCUCAAUCGAAUUUUUUUAAUUUUUGCUAAAAUAAAAAAAAUUAAAAAAACCUCAAAUAAUAUGGCUCGUUAUAAUUACGAAAUAAUAUUUCAUAAUUUUUAACUGAAUUAAUACCCGAUUAACUUUGAUACCAACCCUAAUAUCUUUUUAACUACUUAAAAAUAUUUACCAGCUACAGUAUCUACAUCUAAAAGAAGUAAACCAGAAAAUACAAAAUGAUAUUACAUUUCUAUUUUUUAUAUAAUAUAAAAUUGGGAAACUAUUUUCCCCCUAAAAUCCCACGCAAGCAACACACGUGUUUCUUUUAAAAAAUUAUGAUUUCAAUUAUCAAGUAGGAAAUAAUAUAAAUACAAAAAUAACCUACCACGAAAUCCAACCGAAUUUAACUGUUGAUCCACGUCAAUUCGAAACCCAACCAAAUUUGCUCCUUUCCUUUCAUUGUAAAAUUUGCAUUUUAAAUAUAUAUUUUUUUAUCAUAACGCUCUGAAAUUCUUUGAUUAGUGUGCGAAGAGAAUGCUACUUACUGUACUAGAAGCUUUACUUUCUCAAUAAACCCUGAUUUUGUUUUUUCUAUCAUUUUCCCGAGAAUUUUUCAAGCAUCAACAAGAAAGAAAUACCCAGAAAAUCUACUUAUUCAGAAGGUUAGUUGCCCUUUUAUUUCGUUUUAUUUUAUUUUUUAUUUUUCAUAUUUUAGGUUUUGGACUAUACUCAGAUCAAUUUAUAUUUAAAAUUGCUUUUCAUUUACUUUGAAUUGUUAUAAUGUUUUAUUUACGAAUUUGGGUAUUUGGAUCAUUGGGUCAAGGUGCCUCUUUUAUUGCUUUCUGUGAUAGAUUGCUAGGGGUUUUGAUGAAUGAGAAAAGAGACAUCCUUGACCGUCAAAUUCAUGUUUUCUGGCGGAAUUUAUUGAGAACUUGGUGUCUGCUUGUUGGUUAGGAAGUGUAGGAAAAGGAAAGAGAAUGUCAGGUGUUUUCCAGCUUGGUGUUUCUGGAGCACUACUUCUUUGAACUGUUUUUAGCUGCCCUAUGUAGAUUUUAGGGUUCUUAUGAAUCUUAUGAUCUUUCUAUUUGAAUUCUACUGUGAGAUUGAUCAAUUUAGAAUUUUGCCUGUUGGGUUUUAUUAAUUUAUGCUGGAUUUUUCAUUAUUUUUUAAGGUUAGAGAAACAUUUGACAACUUGAUGAAAUCUUGCAUUACUUUGAUAACAAGAGUCUUAGUUUCCUUAUCUUACUACUGUAUUUUUUUUUUUGUUUCUAAAUGUUUAAUAGAAAAGUAAUUGAUUUUUCAUUCAAUUUAGGGUUACAAAUUUCCGAAUGAUUUUAUGGAGUUCAUUUCUGUAAAUAAAUACUUUUAUGUGUAGGUAUGUUCAAGAACCAAUUGCAAGAGUUGGCUCAAAGAAGUUGCUUUAAUCUACCAUCUUAUUCGUGCAUCCGGGAAGGCCCUGAUCAUGCUCCUCGGUUUAAAGCUACUGUAAACUUUAAUGGAGAGACCUUUGAAAGCCCUAUGUUUUGCUCUACUUUGAGACAAGCGGAACACGCUGCCGCAGAAAUAGCUCUAAAUACACUUGCCAACAGAGGCCCUUCCAGAGCAUUGGCUGCAAGAGUUUUGGUAAGCAUUCAACCAAACUUUUAUCUACAUUCCGGUUCUAGUUACUUGAACACGGUUUUCCGACAGAAAUUUUCAAUAUCUAAUCAUUUUAUUGUCACACUCUUUCCUAGUCAUUGAACUCCACUAUGAUCAUUGUCAAAGACAAAAAGACAACUGUUAGUUCCUCGCACUGGAUGAUGUUUUCUAUCCAUACCAGUGUUCUUCUUGAAUCGAACUCUUCAAAUUGAUUCAUCUUUGACUGAGAUUGAUUGACCUUAUCUACCAAACAUACUCUCCUAAAGCUUUCUCAGGUUGAUUGUGAAUUAUGACUCAAGAACACUUUGUGUGCGUUGGCAUUUUUAUCUCUAUUAGUAACUUAUCAUGUUUUUAACAUCGGAAAAUGACAUCAUAUAGGGUUUUAAUUAGAAGUCGAGGUAAUCAUCUGUUGUAUCCUUGAACAUAAUGUCUUGGUAGUAUCUGUUGUUUUUAACCUCUUUUAGAUCAAAUAUCGGCAUGCUUGCACAGUAUAAUCAUCACAUUUAAAUUUUCCUUUUAAUACGAUGUUUUACGGGUUUGAUAUUUCUUUUCUGGCGACUCACUUAAAACUGUUGAGUGACCUGUGUGAAGAUUAUAGUUCUAUAUAAGCAAUGGAGAUGCUAGAAAAACUCUGGAUGUCAAGUGUUUUCCUUUUCUCUUUGAGCUCAACUCUGCAGCCAACUUAAUUUGUGUCUUUGUAUUGCUGUUUGCUACUUCAGCUUGCUCUAGUGAGUAAAAUUAAAUUAAAUAAAAAGUAUUUUGAUUUUGUGUCUAUUGUGCAGGAUGAAACCGGUGUUUAUAAGAACUUGCUUCAAGAGACUGCUCAUAGAGCAGGCUUAAAUCUUCCUGUCUACACCACUGUUCGAUCUGGACCAGGCCAUAUUCCUAGUUUUUCAUGCAUGGUUGACCUUGCUGGGAUGAGCUUUACAGGGGAUCCCGCUCGGACUAAGAAACAAGCUCAGAAGAAUGCAGCAAUGGCUGCAUGGUCAGCCCUGAGAAAGUGUAUGAUUCCUGUCAGGUUCCACUUCAUUUAGAAUUAAACAAGUGCAUUGUUUAUUCCUCUCUAAGGUUGGGUCUUUUUUGGGUUUAGUAUUGUUGUUCCAACUCUUCAUUUUUCUCGAAGUCACCAUGUCUGAGGCAUACUGGGAUAUAUGUAUGUCAUAUUACACUCCAUGAAUAUUCCAAGUACAUGGUUUAUUCCUAUCUAAGGUUGGGUCUUUUUCAGGUUUAGUAUUUUGAUUCUCCGAGGCUUCAUUUUUCUCGAAGUCACUGUGUUUGAUGCAUACCGGGAUAUAUGUAUGUCAUAUGACACUCCACAAAUAUUCCAAAUACAUGGAAAAACUUAGAAAAAGUUAAACAUAUCUGUCUUAUAUACAUACCCAUACCAGAUACUACACUAUACCCUCGCAUUUAUUUAGAUGUGUUUCUUUAUAUUCAUUUGCUACAAAAAUAUUUCAAUAGAAGCUUAAAAUCAUUUUACUAUUAGUAAUUCUUUGAAAACUUUGGUACUCACUUUCUACCACUUGAAGUUUUUGCUAAUCACUGAAAUAUUCCUUCAGAUGUUCCUAUAUGCAUGUUUUUCACUUAAAUAUUCUAAUAUAGUCUGGUGCCUGCAGUGUCUCAGUAUGGUUCAUCGUCGUCUUCAUCACCUUCAUUGGAGUUUAAAGGAAAACAAGAACAAGAGCAAGUUGUCAUUGCUCGUUUCCUUUCAUCGUUACGACCAUCUGAAGUGAGACCGUCUAUGCAAAACGAUUAUCGAUAUGAAAAGCACAGAUCAGUCCCUGUAUGUCAAGACCUAACCCCACCAAAUCAAAGCUUAUAUUCUGCGCACGGUGAAAGUUGGCCUUACCCUAGCUUUCCCCUUGAAAUGACCAUGCCCAUAUACCAAAUAUGGCAGCAAGAACAACUAUUGCAGUUGCAAAGCCAUCUGUUUUCAUUUCCGGUUUCUUCUGUUCCUCCACCUGCUCCUCAGUUUCUUCCUAUUUUAGACCUGGAUCGUCAUCUUCAAGUUAGAGGCCAGGAACCAAGAUUUAUGUCUCCAAGGAUUGCCAUUUCUACAACACACCCUUCUCUUUACAUCUCUAAUCAUUCAGCUUCUCAACCAACCAUGGGUAAAUCUACAGUGACCAUUCAAGAGAUACAUGAAGAGAUAAAAGAAGAAUCACCCAAAAGCCCUCCUCCACACUUAGUUAACGAUCGGUUUGUUCCAGGUCAAACUAAUGCUGAAACAGGUAUUGGUGAAUCAAAACAGGAAGACCACAAACAGAACACCGAGUUGGAAAGCAAAAGUGAUACUGGUCAUAGGAAAUCUGAUGCUGGUUCUCGGCCUGUCAACAACCAAUUACAAAAUCCACAUGCCUUUGAGUCUUCUCAUCUUCGAUCACAGUAUCCUCCAUGGACAAGUUAUUACGGAAAUUCUAGACCAGCACCAUCCUAUGCAGCGGCUCCUCCGACGAUCCGAACUGUAAGCCCGAUUUCUUCCAUGAGACCGAACAUGCAAGAGCCAACAACUCAGGUUCCUGUCCUGCCAAGAAUGAGAAUUGGAGCUCCGCCAUUUUCAACCAGGCCGAGCUUCGAGAGAACGAACCUUGGCAGUAUGCAUCACAGCUCCAUUGCACCACCUGUUAGAAUACGGUCUGUUGUACCGGUCUGUUCGGCUCCAUCAUCAAGAAAAACACCAAAUUUCAACAAGGAGAGGCUAUUGCCCAACAAAGAGAAGAAAGAUACAGUAGCUGAGGAUCUAUCAACAGCAGUUUCAGAAUUUAGUAAGCUUAGCAUGUAGACGGGGAAUACACUGCUUUUGACUUUUAAAUUAAUUAUAAUAAUAUUAAUUGUAUUCGCAAUCGUGAUAAAUGUAAUAAGACGUUAAUUUAAAUCCGGAAUAUAGCAAUGCAUAGAUAAAUACCUGUAUAAAACUGAAAUUCAUAUUUUAAAAAUUUCUGCUUUCACUUGCUUAGGUUCCUUGUUUUGCUAUUAAAAAUACUAUAAAAAUAUUAAAAUCUUUUAAAUAGAUAACAUCUCAGCCUUUCUUUACCUAUGUAUAUGAGAUUUGCAGAGUAGUUGGGUUGCUCAGUUAUUUAGUAAACUAAUCGAGUUGGAAUUUUGGGGACUGAUUUUAAAGUCAGCCGACUUCCAUUUAACUUGUAUGGAAGAUGGCUUUUGGAGGUCAAUGCGCACAGUGCACAACAAUUAGGCUUUGAAGGUUAAGAGGUUGAGAAAUAGAGCAAUAAAGCUCGUGCAUGCGUGAGAGGCUUUCGAGGCAAAGUUGAGAUAAUGGAAGUUCGAGAUGAUGGAAUAAGAUUUCGAUUAAAAUGAGGGAAGCAUGAGCUAACUUCUAUUUAACUUGUAUGGAAGAUGGCUUUUGGAGGUGCUGACUCCAAUAUGCACAAUACAUUCUAUGUGCAAUAAUUAGGCUUUACACGUGAAUAUUAAGAGGUUGAGAGAUAGAGCACUCGUGCAUGCAUGCGAGGCUUUUGAGGUAAAGUUGAGAUAGUGAAAGCCCGAGAUAUGGAAUAAGGCUCCUAUUGCAAUCAGAGAAACUUUUGGUUGAGAAUUGAGAUAAUGAAACAAGGUAAAAAUGAGAAAAACUAAAAAUUUUAUAUAUACACCUUCAUAGCAAUUCUAGUUGAGUGAGUCUUUCCUUGAACAUUGUUAUAUUGUUCUAACUACUAUCCCUUAAAUAUUCAAUAAUAUCUCCAACUAAUCUAUUUUGCAAAUUCUUUACUCAAAUUCGUCUAUUGGAUAAAAAAGCCAAACAUCUCAACUGAUACACAUCGCAAACUGAAAAAGAAAAAAAAGGGUUAAUUUUUUUUAAAUGACUCUGCUGCAAAGGACUGACAUAAUUACCAAAGUGCCCUUAUGAACAAUACGUCAAUAUAAGCGCUGACUUAAAAACCCUAAACCAACCCCAUCGCUGUCUCUCUUCGUUUCUCCAUUCUCAGCAACUCAGCAGACCGAAACAGAACUUAGGUAAAAGGAAAUUAGGGUUUCUUUUUCCUUUAACGACUUUGCAUAUUUCCUCUCUCUUCAUUAGCAUGUUUCUUUGAUUUUUGCUUUUGCUAGGUUUUCGUGGUUGCUAAGUUGGAUUCUUGGUUUUGUUUACUGUAACUUUAACGCUAAUGGCCUCCUGUGAAAAACGCAGAAAUGGUUGUCUUUUAGCCUUCUUAUUUAUGCUAUGAACUGAAGAUGUAAUUUAUGAACUGGGGAUUUAAAAAUAAGUGGCUAUAUAUAUGUAUAUAUAAUGGAUUCAUUUUAAAAACUCCUAAAUGUUGAAUUUUAACUGUUUUUUUUAUGGUUAUGAAUUGAAGAGGUAAUUUUAUGAAUGGGGUAUUAGGAAAGGAGUGGCUUUUCUUCAUGUUCGGGCCUUUAUUAUUAUGAUUAUUUGGUUUGAAGUUUGAUUAUGUCGUUGAUAGUAAUUUUAUGGUGAUAGUUUUUUAGGUCUGUUUUUCUUGAGGGUUGAGACAUGCUUGUGUUGUUCGAGACUCCGGCAGGCUUUGCCCUUUUCAAAGUCUUAGAUGAAGGGAAGCUGAAUAAAGUUGAGGUAAUUUUCUCAUUCAUAUAUUGUAAGAGUUAAUAGGAAGUUGCAUUUUUAAUCUAGUUAUUAACUUUAGAAAAAAGUGCAUUGAUUGACUGAAAUCAAUCGCUUUAUGUUUUAGUUUGUAGGAUUUAAAUGUUCGAAGUCUUGAUUUUGAAGUUUGUGUUUUUGUUGUUGUAGGACUUGUCAAAGGAAUUCUUGGCUCCUGACUCUGCCAGAAAGGUUAUCACCCUCUCGGAUUUUGAUUUCAUUUGUUCUCCUUCAUUUAGUAUCAUGCCUUUUGGGUCUACGUUUGACUCUGGAGCUGAUCCAUUUUCAUUUAUAAUAUAAUUAGGUUGUGUCGUUGAAAGCCUUUUCCAAGUUUGAAAACACUGCAGAAGCUUUGGAAGCUGCAACCAAACUACUUGAAAGUGCACCCAGUAAAGGUCUGCGCAAGUUUUUGCGUGCGCAUUGUGAUGGUGAAACACUUGGAGUGGCUGAUUCAAAGCUUGGAAAUGCAAUUAAGGAAAAACUGGUCUGUUAAUACUCUUCAUAUUGCAGAUUCUAUGGUGAUGUUAUUCUGUUCCAUAAAUCUUAUUUAAGUAGAAGUAAUUACUUUUUUGCAGAAAAUUGAUUGUGUUCACAAUAAUGCUGUUAUGGAGUUGCUGAGAGGUGUGAGAACUCAGUUGACAGAACUCAUAUCUGGUCUAGGUGCUCAAGAUUUAGCUCCGAUGAGUUUGGGUCUUUCACAUAGCCUUUCUAGAUACAAGCUAAAGUUCAGUGCUGAUAAGGUACUUAUAAAUUAUAACAAUUUCUUUUGAACUUGAUUGAGCAUUAUCUCGUUUGAAUGAGGAGAGUUUUGCAGGGAAAAUGUCUGAUUGCAGGAAUAUAUAAAUAAGUGGGUUUAAGAUUUUAGUAACUUUAGUAAGGUGAAUUGUUAGUUUUCAGUGUAAGCAUUAGAUUUUUGUAGUUGUUCGAUUUGACAACAAUGAUCCUGUUGACCUCAGGUAAAAGCAAUUAAUAUUGUAAAAUUAGUUGCACAUAAUAAAGCUAAUCCUUUGGUUUGUAAUAAAUAUGGUGUUAAGAGUAAAAUGCUGAUUGUGAAUGCUCUUUAAAAAAUGAAUUGCUCUUCAUAUUUGUAGUUUCAUUUGCACAAAGCUAGGUCACUGAAAAUUGGGUGUAUGUGUCUUUGGGUAUGUUCAAAAUUCUCCACAAUUUUCAUGUAUGUGGAGGGUCUUUGGAGGGUCAUAUGCCCAUUGUCACAUCCAAGUAUGUGUCAGACACUUGUACUUCAUGAAAAUGAAGAGUCAAUAAGAUAGGAAAAAAGUGCUUACUUGGGGUUGAAGUUAUCUAGGAGAAGCAUUGAUGUGCGUAGAUGCUGUGCUGAUAUAAGGUGGAUCUUGUAUGCUAUUGAAUAAUUGUCCUGUUUUAAAGAAAUUCCUGGAUGUUAAAUCACAUGAUUUCUAGAGCUUUGGUGAUGGUAUAAUAUAACUGUAUUUGUUGUAGGUUGAUACAAUGAUUGUUCAAGCCAUUGGUUUGCUUGAUGACCUUGAUAAAGAGCUCAACACAUAUGCAAUGAGGGUUCGUGAAUGGUAUGGUUGGCAUUUUCCAGAGCUUACUAAGAUCAUACAAGACAAUAUCAUGUAUGCCAAGGCAGUAAAACUAAUGGGUGACCGUGCUAAUGCUGCUAAGCUCGACUUCUCAGAGGUAUGAAUUCCGAUUCACUAAUCAGAAAACUAAUACCCCAACUUGUGUAUCAAGUGUUCUAUUAUGGUAGUACUAUCAGUUUGCCAACUAUCAAUUUCUUAACUCAUGGGUUUUGACAUAAAGUGCUUGAAGGAAUGUUUUCCUUAUUUUUAAAGAGUGUGUUUGCUUAAAUUUUCACAGGUAUUACCAGAAGAGGUUGAGACUGAAUUAAAGGAGGCAGCAGUCAUAUCCAUGGGGACUGAAAUUAGUGACCUUGAUCUGAUGAAUAUCAAAGAUUUAUGUGAUCAGGUUCUCAAUCUUUCUGAAUACCGAGCUCAGCUAUAUGAUUAUUUAAAGAGCAGGAUGAACACUGUUGCACCAAACUUGACUGCUCUUGUCGGUGAACUUGUUGGUGCUCGUCUCAUUGCUCAUGGUGGCAGCUUAAUAAAUCUUGCCAAACAGCCUGGUAGUACUGUUCAGAUUCUAGGUGCGGAGAAGGCUCUCUUCAGAGCUCUGAAGACAAAGCAUUCGACUCCCAAAUACGGACUCAUCUACCAUGCAUCCUUGGUUGGUCAGGCAGCACCAAAACACAAGGGGAAGAUUUCCAGGUCACUUGCCGCAAAGGCUGCAUUGGCAAUUCGUUGUGAUGCUCUUGGAGAUGACCAAGAUAACUCUAUGGGACUUGAGAACCGAGCCAAGGUAAAUUACAUACUUGCUUUGGUGACUUAUUUUUCUUUCUCCCUGCACCCGCACACUCUUCCUGAAAAAAAAAAUAGUGGAAUGUAAGGUAUUCUUUGCAUAUUAUAUUUUUGUAGCUUGAAGCAAGAUUAAGGGCUCUUGAAGGCAAAGAACUGGGACGUUCUGCCGGGUCGGCUAAAGGCAAGCCUAAGAUAGAAGUCUAUGACAAGGAUCGGAAGAAGGGAGCUGGGUUAAUAACUCCUGCUAAGGUCCGUGUAACUGAUUUAUCAUUUCUUUUUUAGGUUGUGUUUUUUUCUCCUCCUUUAGGUGGUUAAUGACACUUUUCUCGUGUACAGACAUACAAUCCUGCAGCAGAUUCUGUUCUCAGUCAAAUAACAAACACCGCUGCACUUGAUGAACAAGACACAGUCCCAAAGAAGAAGAAGAAGGUUGAGGCCGAACUUCCACAGAUAGAGAAAGCAGCUGAGGUACCUGCAAUUGAAGCUAAGAAAGAGAAGAAGAAAAAGAAGAAGAAAGCUGACAAGGAAGCAGGUUUGCCAACUAAUGAAAAUGAACCUGAAAACGAAGAACCUACGGAGAAGGAAAAGAAGAAACAUCAGACCGAGGAUGUAGAGAAUGCUGAAGUAGGAGAGAAGAAAAAGAAAAAGAGAAAGCACGAAGAACAAGAAGAUACAGAAUCUGAAGUGCAGACCAAGAAAGAGAAAAAGAAGAAGAAGAAGAAGAGUGAAGAUUGAGAAAAAUCAAAGGCCUUACGUGGUGAUCGACUGCCAGACAAAUUUUGGGUAAGAAAAUAGAAUUUAACUUAUGCUUGUAAAAUGUGGUAUUUUGUUGAGUUAAUCAUCUGGUAGUGUGUUCUUUAAACCCAAUUAUGAUGUAUUUUCAACUUCCUUAAGGAUGCAAUUGCAGGGGAAUAUCAAAACAAUUUUUUGUUAUCCUUUUAAUUUGAGUUUAAUAUCUUCUUGCAAUGAUAUGGAAAUGGUAACCAAGAGCCUCCAUUGGUUACUCUUGAAGGAAUGAGAUGUCUAGCUUACCACUUUUUUUUUUCUUGUGUACUGUAAAAGACACUUAUGAUGUUUGGAGUACAAAUUUCAGUAUGUUCAAUUCCUUUCAAGAUCCUUGGGCAGAAUGUGUUGUUUAGACAAACACUGCAUGCUGCAUAUUUCAUUGCUGAUAAACAAGGUGUCAGUUUUUUGACAGACGCUGGAAAUAGUAAGCACAUCAUCUGCUGCAAAAAAAAUCAGCUAAAAUAUGGGGAAUAUGUCGACUCAUUGAGUUUAAAAAAAUGAAGUUAAGGGUAAAUAAUUGAAUAAUUGGUGGUGAAGAAAAUCUGUACAUACCCAAUCCACUGACUCUUAUUUAGUGAGUUGAGUUGAAUGUGAAAGGUACUCGAACUUGAAAUAAUUUAGAUAUGAAAAUCUUAAUUAAAAAAUUGACUAAUAAAUGACAAAUGAUUUGUAUAAAAAUUAAUCUAAAUCUAAAAUAAUUCGAUCCAAAUUAAUCAAAUAUAAAAUCAACUCAAUCCACUUAAAUUACAGGUCUAGUCCUUAAUCACUUUUUCUAAUAGAAAUAAAAAUUUAAUAUGGAUAUAAAGUUUAGGACUUGCCUUAAAAGAAUAAGUCUAGUUCAUAGUUAUUGCUUAAAAUAAAUUUUCUUUUUUGAAGAAAGUUAUUGCUUAAAAUAUAAAUAUUGCCACUUUCACAGUAUUUGAAAUAAUAUCUUAGGUUAUAUAAUAUGUCACAUUCAUUGCACGGACAAAGACAAAUACCUAAGAAAAAAAUAUUUAAAAUAAAAUAACAGUUUUCUCAAAAAGGAGUGUAGUUUUUAAUUGAGGGUGUUUAUGAUAAAUUGAAAAUUAUUUAUUAUUUAUAUUAUUUUAGAUAGUUUUAAAUAAAAAUAAAUAUAUUAAAUAUAUCAUUUUAAAAAAAUAAUUUAUUUUAAUUUUUUAUUUCAAUGGUUUCUGAAAUGAUAUUUGUUUUUUAAAAAAAAUAGUUUGCCUACUUUUUUUAAAAUAUAUUAUAUAAAAAUAAAAAAUUUAUUGAUUAAGAAAAAAUUGUUUUUUUUCCAAAUAUUUUAUAUAAAUCGUCUCACUUGACUCAUAAUAUUAAAGGAGACAUUUUUAUUUAUAAUUUGAUAGCAAUGGUAAGGGUAUUGACAAAAGUCCACAACAACAACGAACAAAGAGAAAGUCCAAAGGGUUUUUACCAUAUAGAAAACACUUGUAAGCAGAAAUGGGAAAUCUCUGUCUUUUCUCUUUCAGAUUCAACCAAAAGUAAGUGAAGUAUCAAUUUUAUUAUGCUUUCUCUCUUACAAAACAUUGAAGUUGAACUGGACUAAAACACUUCCAAGCUCGUUUUUAAUGUCUUUUUUUUUUAAUCUAAGCUCUUUCUCUCUCUAAAAACUUUCUUUCUUUCUUUUUUCUACUUUUGGAUCAUUUCUGAUGUUGACUUCUGCAAAUUCCUUCUUAAAUACAUCCCAAAUUUCUUAUUUUUUUUUCCAAAAGCUAAAUUCUUGCUGACUAGUUAAAGUUGGGUUUUUGUUGAUUUCAUGUAAUAGUCAACUUUUUUUUUAUUUUAUUUUUGCAGAUUUAACAGCUUGAUCAUGCUUGUUAAAGUUGCUUGAUUUGUUGAAAACUGAUUUUUUGUUGAUUUAGAGCAAAACCCAGAUUCGAACAUGUUGGGAAAUGAGGUUUAGAUUUAAGAAAUGGGGUGUGUGUUGGGAAGAGAGGUAUCUUCAGGGAUUGUCUCAGAGUCUAGGGAAAGUAAAAAUGCUAGCUUUGAAUCAGACAAGAAAGUAGAAAAUGUCACAGUUCCAAAGGUUGAUGCUAGUGUUGUAGAGGUUGAAAAUGAGGGUACCCAAAAGGAGGAAAAAGCUAAUGGGGAAAGGAAACAAAGGGGGGAAAGGAGAAGGGCAAAGCCAAACCCCAGGUCGAGUAACCUACUGAAACAUUCGCUUGGAGAGCAGGUGGCAGCCGGAUGGCCUGCGUGGCUGUCCGAUGCCUGUGGCGAGGCGCUUAAUGGUUGGAUUCCACGAAGGGCCGACACAUUUGAGAAGAUUGAUAAGGUUGGUUGCUUUGUUCUUGUUCAAUAUUUCUGCUUUUCAUGUUGAUCAUUAUUGAAUGAUAAUGCCAGAAUUGUAGUUUGUUCCGAAAUUAUAGCGGAUAUAAUUGGUUGUUUCUUUCAUUGUAGUUCCAUUCUUUGUUUAAUUUUGGCUUAGGAUGCAGCUUGGUUUUCAGUGUUGCUCUUCAUUUAUUGAUGUUUUUCGAAGUUAGUGCAUUUGAAUCAGAUACUUACAUUUCCCUACUGAUGGUAGAUUGGUUCAGGAACAUAUAGCAAUGUAUACAAAGCUAAAGAUAUGGUAACAGGUAAAAUCGUUGCUCUAAAGAAGGUUCGGUUUGAUAAUCUUGAACCUGAGAGUGUGAAAUUCAUGGCUAGAGAGAUCCUCAUAUUGCGGAGAUUGGAUCAUCCCAAUGUUGUCAAAUUAGAAGGUUUAGUUACUUCAAGGAUGUCGUGUAGUUUGUAUUUGGUGUUUCAGUACAUGGAGCAUGAUUUGGCGGGGCUUGCAGCAAGCCCUAUAGUGAAGUUUACAGAGCCACAGGUUAGCUUCAACUUGUUUCGUGAUUUAAAAUUAUUGUAAAAUCUGUGGUUUAAAAGGUAUGUCACAUUGUAGGUUAAAUGUUACAUGCAUCAACUACUCUCUGGCCUUGAGCAUUGUCAGAACCGUGGGGUGCUUCACCGUGAUAUUAAGGGGUCAAAUCUUCUUAUUGAUGAUGGAGGAGUACUUAAGAUUGCUGAUUUUGGACUGGCUACAUUCUUUGAUCCAAAUCGCAAGCAUCCCAUGACUAGUCGAGUGGUUACUUUGUGGUAUCGAGCCCCCGAGCUUCUUCUUGGGGCUACGGAUUAUGGUGUUGGUGUGGACCUUUGGAGUGCAGGAUGCAUUUUAGCUGAGCUCUUGGCUGGGAAGCCCAUUAUGCCUGGUCGAACGGAGGUAGGUUUUUGUUUUGUUUGCUGUUUAUUCGGUUUAUCAGAUUGCAAUGUUCCAUGGUUACUGCAUAGAGACUGGAGCUGACAUCUUGCAACCAAUAAAUUACAACAUCAUAUAUUGAAAUGCAUUUAUAUUCGAUCUUUGCCGGUCACUGCAUGGUGAAGAUUUGAAUAAUGUGAUGUUCUAUGUAGAUUUACUAGCACUUCAUUGCUACUAACUAUAGUUCUUUUCUUGAAAAAUUAGGUAGAGCAACUACAUAAAAUAUACAAGUUAUGUGGUUCACCGUCAGAUGAAUACUGGAAAAAGUCGAAGUUGCCAAAUGCAACCUUAUUUAAGCCUCGGGAGCCAUAUAAAAGACGCAUAAAAGAGACAUUUAAAGAUUUUCCACCAUCAUCACUGCCCCUUAUCGACACUCUACUUGCAAUUGAUCCAGCGGAACGUCUAACUGCGACUGCUGCAUUAAGAAGUGAAGUAAGUUCUUUGAUUUCGAUGAACAGUCUCGAUUCUUGGCAUCUUUUCAUUUUUAUAUAUAAAGAUCAAUUUGAAGAUACCGUUCUGAAAAGUGUCUUUUCCACCAUUUUAUUCUUCUUCUGCAGUUCUUCAUGACCGAGCCUUAUGCUUGUGAACCUUCUAGCCUCCCAAAAUAUCCCCCCAGUAAAGAGAUGGAUGCAAAACGGCGAGAUGAUGAAGCACGGAGGUUAAUUCUUUUACCUUUUUUCUCUAUCGACUAUAGUCACCGGCUCUUUUACAAAACUGUGCUAACUGAUUGAGGUUGGAAAUUGUUUCAAUUUGAUGGAUUUCCAUGACCAAAAAUGAUAGUUUGUUCAGUUUUACUGUAUGCAUAUAUAUAAGAACUAUACAGACCCUCAAACAUGUAUGCCAUUUAUGGAAAUACAUACUUGUUCUGAAUAUAUAUAUGUGUGUGUGCGCGUGUAUAUAUAGAGAGAGGAGCAGUUAAUAAACUAAUGUUGUUUGCAUGCAUAGGUAUACAGAUUCAGGGUUUUCUGGAUCUUAGUUACUUUGUUCUGAAAUGUGAAUGAUUCUUCCCUAUAGUUAGAUGAUAAAGGUUGUUAUGAUCCAAAGAACUUUGAUUUUUACUGGUCAGAUAGAUGCUCUACUAUAAAAAAUAAUGUUCUAUGAUUUAGAAUCAUUCUAUUCUUCAGUCUAUGUUUGACAUUGGUUCCAUUUUGAGUUUAACUAUGCCGUGACAUUGUGGUAAUUAGUGUUCUAGCUAUAGUUAUUUACUUCGAAAGUUUCAAUCUAAGCUAUUUUGCUAUAAUUAUUGUAUAUUUGAAAGCAUCUGACAUCCAUGUAUCUCUUUAUAUUUCAACUAUGAUUAAAGAGAAUAUGUAUGAACCCUUUCUUUUUCUGGUCUAAUGUGCAGACUCAAAGCAGCUAGUAAAGCCCCAGGUGACGGUGCAAGGAAAACACGAACACGUGAUCGUGCAAGGGCAGUGCCUGCCCCAGAAGCCAAUGCCGAGCUUCAGUCUAAUCUUGAUGUAAGUGCGACCAUUUGCUUUUGUCAUCAACCAUUAUCUUCUAUUGUUAAAAUUUGUUCCCUGCUUCCCCUAUGUAAUUGAGAAUAGAAUUUCGAAACCGGAGCUUGUUUGUUUGAGCUUUCAAGUUGUUAUAUUGGUAACAAAAAGUUAGGCACGUGCAUAAGUACUUGUUCAAAGAUAAGGUGUUCUAAAUCUCGUCUUAACUUUCCUUGUUAGAUAUAUUGUCCUAUUUCGAUUGUGAUCAAGUUUCUGGCCACCUACUGAAUAUAUUUGAUAACGCAGCUUUUGCUAGUCUGUAUUUAACACCUAAUUUAAGAGUCUAUACAAAUAUUAAGGCAUAUUAGUAUUGCUGCGACCUUUCAUUUUUCUUGAAAUAUCCGUGUCUGUUAUAUAUUCCAGACACGAGUAUGGAGAGAUGAUUCUCCAAGAACUCUUCAAAUACAUAGAAGUUUUUAAAAAAAAGAUUGCACAUGUUUGAACAUUUCCGUUACUUUUAACUAAUUUCGGUUAUAUAUUGAACAUUUCCAUUAUAUAUUCAACAUUCACUCCAAAGUGCAGUCAAAUGCACUGACAUCAAGUACAUGUUUGAACAUUUCCGUUACUUUUAACUAAUUUCGGGUUUUCAAUGUGAAGCAGAGAAGGCGGUUAAUAACCCAUGCGAACGCAAAGAGCAAAAGCGAAAAGUUCCCCCCACCACACCAAGAUGGAGCACUUGGCUUUCCUUUAGGAGCAUCACAACACAUUGAUCCGUCAUUUGUUCCUCCUGAUGUCCCCUUCAGCACUACAUUCACAUAUUCGAAAGAACCAAUUCAAACUUGGUCUGGUCCGCUGGUCGAGUCUGCCAGUAAUGGUGCUCUGAGGCGAAAGAAGCAUGUUGCAGUCGAUUCGCACGAACCAUCUAAACCUCCAAAAGGAUCCCAAAAAUGAAUGAAGUGGCGAUACCUGGUUAAAGGCAAGAAGAGCACACUUUAAACUCUCAGAUUUACGAAAACCGGUUGAUAUUGCAUUCGGUGACAGUGUCCAGAACUCUUACUGCUAUAGAAGCAUGUAUUCAAGGGUUUGAAAUCAAUUUAUUUAUUUUUCUAUAUUUUCCUUUGUUCUUUUACCUUUUUUAUUCUUUUUACAAUCCUAAGUGGCUGCCUUUGAGGUUAAGUUCUCCAUUGUUAUGCAUAUUUUUAUUUCUUCAGUUCUUACAGUGUUGUGUUCUAAACUGUACACUAUCCAGAUUAAUGGAGACUAGAGAACAUCAUGGGGAAAAAAACUAAUAAAUGCUUCAAAAUUCACUUUUUGUUGAGAUUUAUGUUUAAAGACGGCACCUUCCAUGUUACAAAAAUUGUUUCAACCUGAUCGAAUAUAAAUCUUUGUGAUUUUCUUUAAACUUAUCAGAACAAAUAAUAAUAGAAAAUACUACCCACAAGUGAUUGGCUUGUUCUAAUAAAGUGGACAAUGAUGUUACAUCCAUUUUUAUUAGUACUGGGCAUGCAUGGUACAUGUUUUUAUAAUUUAUAUAAAUAUCAUAGGUUAUGCCAAUCAUAUUAAUUAUGGAUCACCUAAGAGGCUAAUCACCAUUACCUCAAUUCUCUAUUAAUAAUAAUAAUAAUAACCUUUAGCUGACGGCAGUGUUGGGACUCGAGAUUAUAGAUUAGUUGGUUGGAAUAAAAAAAUUUAUGGUUGGAAUAAAAUUGAAAAAUUAAAAAAAAUUAUUUUUUGGAUUAAUAUGUAAAUUUGUCACUAAAUUUUAGGUAUUUUUAUUGAUAUUUGUUAUUGAACUUAUCAACAAAAAGUAAAUUCACCAUUAUACUUAGAACGUUAUAUUGAACUUUGUCCCUUUAUUUAGGUUAGAUUGAAUUUUGCCAUUAAAAUUAGUUUUGGUUGAAUUUUACUAUUUAUUUUAAUUUCACAUUAUUCGAAGAUAAAAUUUGAUAAAAAAAAUUUAUUUUAUUUUAAUAUUUAACAAUAAUAAGCUAAUUAAUAUAAUAUUAGAAGUAAUAAAAAUGGUUAUUUAAAAAAUCUAAUGUUGUUUUUUAUAUGUAUUUUUUAUUUUUAAAUAUUUAUUCCAUUAAAUAGAAUUUCUAUGUUAAUGAUGUUCACGGAAUUAAUCAAAAAUUUGACUAAGGCAAGUGCACCUAUCAAUUAAUAGUAUAGCUACGGUGAGAGAAGAUAUCGUUCCCACGAAAACUACAAGUACUAGUAAUUACUGUCUUUCUAUUAUUUAACUAAAUAAUUCAAGUGAUUGAUUAAAAACUAAAAUUAACUAAAUUAAUUAACUAACGAACACAACAAAUAAUAAAUCAGGAAAAUAAUCGAUUAACAACCAAGAAACGGAAUAAUAGCCAGGAAAGAAUUCACAUAGAUUUCAUCUGUCACUAUCAAUCCAAAUUACGCAAUUUCUUUACUUACUAUCUUGAUCUAUAGAAAUCCCUAAAUUAUGCAAAUAUCUCUUUCGAGCAUAAGAACAGUUGACUCUAGGUUGAUUAAUUGAAAUUUCUUUCUAAUUAAAACCCCUAUUAUCGCAUUAACUCGUGAUAUGGAUUCCCUUAUUAGAUUUGACUCUAAUCCGGUAGAUUUAUCUCGUUCUACUUCUAGGAUUGCAUGUAGCUCCACUCAAUUACGCAAGAUCUAUUCUUAAACAGGGUUUAUUCAACUUCCGAUUUAAGCACAUCAAACAUGAAUCAAUAAUUUAGAAACAUCAAACCAAGAAUUAAGCACACAUAAUUAAGAACAAGAAACUAAGUAUUUAUUACGUAAAAUAAAAAUCAAACGACAAAAUCUAUCAUAGGGUUCAUCUCCCUUAGUAUUUAGAAAAUUAGUUUAUGCUUGAAAAUAAAAAAACCAAGAUACAGUAUAAUCGAAAGAAAUAAAGAAACUCAUAAUAAUCUUCUAAGAAAUCAACUGGAAAUCUUCAAUCUUGACAAAAAUUAAUCUGCCACAAAUCAAUGUGGCAAAUUAAAAUUUUCCAACAAACUUAAGGAGCUUUUUCUCGAGCAAAAUAGAGUUUUUAGCUUAGUUUUUUGUUAUUUUCGUAUUUUUAUAUUUUUCGGGUAAUAAGUGAAAAUCUCUUGUUUUUGUGUUUUUUUUAACUCAAAUUGGCCGAUAGUGUGCCAUUGGGAGGUCUAACAUGUGUUUGAGCGAUGUAGGGAUGUGUCAGUAGUCGAAAACGAGCGAGAACGACAUUUAAGGCAAGGGUAUCACGAUAUCUAACCCCUAGAAUCGCGAUACCUCCGCAGUAUAAAAAACCAAUGAGACCCUUCAGUAGUAUCGCAACAUCCUCAUUGGAUAUCACAAUAUCCACCUCUCAAGGAAGACCCCCAAGUUUAAUAUUGCCUGAGAUAUGGCAAUAUCCUCUUCUGGGUAUCACGAUAUCACACAAGGCUCGUGUAGGGCCAAUUUUGGCAUAAAAAAGUCAUCAGAACACCUUUCAAAACAACAAAAAUUUUGGCACUUUUCUAGGGUUUUUACUUUUCUCUUCUUCUACCUUAGAUUAGAAUUUAUUUUUCUAUAUUUACUUAUUGUUCUUAAUUUUCUUUAUGUUAAUUAAGUUAGUUAACAUUGUAGCUAAGGUUUAUUUACAUUUCCAAUCCUUGUACCUUGCUUUCAAGACUCUUUAAGCUUUAAUUUAAUGUAUUUCAGUUUAAUUUACUCUCAAUCUGUUAAAGCUUAUUCCUUUUAUGUUUUUUGCUUUAGAUUUCUUUGUUAAAUGUAGAGGUGCUCAAGGGUUGGGCCGGGCCUAAAAAAAUUUUCAGCCCGCUUCCUAACCCGAGCCCAACCCGGCCCGACCCAUUUUUUUUUGCUUAAAACUAAUUAUUAUUAAAAUUAUAUAAAUUUAUAUUUUUUUUGUAUAUAAUGAACAAUAAAAUAAAAUAAGAUUACUUAUUUUUUACAUUAGAUUAGAAUUCACUAACUAUUUAAUUAAUUAUGAGUUUAUUCUUACAGGAUUAAAACACUAGUUUUCUCGAUAAUAAACUUUAGAAAACCCCCUCUCUUCCAAGUUGGAAGUUCCAACUCUUCCUACUUCUUUGAUCUUUCAUAUUCCCUCAACUCUCAUGGAAAGAAGAAAGGAAAGAAAGUCUUCAUGUCCUUUUUUUUUAGCAUCUUCAAUUCCUGCCUGCUCCAACUCAACUGUCCUGAAUUUCUCAAUCUUCAAGCUCUCUUCAGCCCGCUUUUGUGCAACCAAAGCCUCUCCAAGCUUUUUGUUCGCUUCUUCAGCUGCUUUCUGUGCUUCUUUCAGUUCAUCAAUUGCUUCCGCCUUUUCUUUCUGGAUCAAUGACAUUUGCUCCUUUGCUAUCAUUAAAUCCUCCUCGACCAAGUUCAAUUUAGCCUGCCGUUCCCAUCCCUUACCAACCCCGUGUUUACGAUUUCUAGAUAUCGAAACCAUCCAAGAUCCAACAAUGCAAAUAAAAUUCCAUUAGUUUCAUAAUCAAAAUAUUUGACACGACAUUUUUUUCUAUGUUAGUCAGAACAGUUAACCAAAAUCCAACACCAACAAAUUCCUUUUGAAUAUUCAAUUUCCUUGCAAAUUCUGAGGUACACCGUGAAUACCAAAUGCAUAAGAUGAAAUGCAGUAAUAUUUGACACUAUUGACAAUUACACCGUACACUUACUUCAGACGCCAAAGCAGCCUUUAGUGAUCUCCAAUCAAUGGUCAACUUUGAGUUAAGAGACAAUCGCGGGGAUCGAUCAACCUAAUGGCGAGUACCUUGCAUGGGAGAGGGUGAACCCGGCUCUGUUUUGACCAGUGCCCUGCCUAGUUUAGUAGCCACUCUUGGUGUUGCUGGUGAAACCUUGGUUGGAGUUUCAGAUAAACCGGAUCUGUUUAAACGUUCAAAGUGUCAUAUUUUGAUCAUAAUAUCAAUUUCCCAUGAUUUAAAACACACAAUACACAAAAUAAAAAAAUCAAAAGAAAAGAAACACAAAGACAAGUAGUCCAACAAAGAAAAAUAAAACCAAAGUUAGAUCUAGAAAAACAAAAUGUUAGAACAAAGCUUGAAAUUAUAGAUAAGAAAUGGAAAGAAACGAGUGUAGCUUACUUGGAUUUAGUAGCAGCCAUGUUUAUAAUGAGAAGCUUAUUUGGUUUUUUUAACAAGGAAAGACAAACAAAGAGAAGAACUUGGAUUAAAGCUGCUGCUAGCUAAAAUGCUGACAUUUUCCCAGAACAGAAUUAAAAAAUGUAAUCUAAUGAACCUUUUCUUUAGCUAUUAUAAGAUUAGAAAAAGGAGAGAAAUAAAAGAAAUAUUGGUUCUUUUUCUUGUUUUCCGGCAGUUCAAUUGUAAGAUUUAAAAAUAAAGAAAGAACAAUAAAUGGAAACAAAGUAAUAAAUAAAUAAAAGAAAUUAUAGCUUUGCUAAGUAGCAAACCAUAACUACAACUUAACACAAAGCUUGAAACUUAUGUCUUCCUUUUUUCUUUUUAAUGUUUUCUCCUCCUUUCACUUCGUUUCUCUAAGUGUGAGAGAAGGCGAGGAACUUCCAAAUAGACGGCUUAUUAUAAAUACUAUAAAAUAAGGACUAUCAAUCAAGUCUCAAUCCAAUAGAGAAAUUCAUAAUAUCAGUACCAGCAAUGUCGCUAUGUAAGGCAUUGUUUUCAAGCUAACAACAGUACCAGCAAAAAAGGCAUUAGUUGUUCAUUAGUUGAUAAUACUGCGUACUUUCAUGCCUACAGGCUACUUUCAGUGCAAAAAUACAAAUGGAUUUUGUAGUCUUUCAAAAAAUCAAAGGACCAUAACCUAUAAACCUUAAAACAAAUCUGUAAACCCAUUUGUAUUCACAUCAUUGGCUAAGGCUUAUAUUUACAGUAAAGAUCAGAGAAAGAAAAAAUAAAGAAAACUAACUAAAUGUCUAAUGAGAAUUUAACCGAAUAAACUAGGGUUAACACUGUUAAUAUACCUUUGAAUUUUGAAAUAAAGAAAACUAACCUCUAAUUCUGGAAAUGGGUGGAGCCGUGGAGGACCGGAGGUGGAUCGGUUCCGGACCGGAGGUGGAUUGGUGCCGGAGGUGAAGGUUGAGAAAAAAAGGAAGGAGGGCAGUCGGGCAAGGGAUUAGGGAUUUGUGGAAGAAGGGAAACGGGAAAUGGGGGAAAUGGGUGGAGCCGUGGAGGACCGGAGGUUGAUCGGUGGUGUCGGACUAGAGGUGGAUCGGUGCCGGAGGUGAAGGUUGAGAAAAAAAAUGAAGGAGGGUAGUCGGGCACUAGGAAUUUCUGGAAGAGGGGAAACGGGGAAAUGGGGAAGAAAUGUUUUAAAAAAUAAAAAAUAUAUAUUAUUUUUGGGCCGGGCUCAGGCCAAAAAAUCUUGCCCGAGGCCUGGCCCAUUUUCUAAACGGGCUCAUUUUUUACCCAAGCCCAUAUUUUGGGCCUAUAUUUUUACCCGAACCCUCCCAUAUUUCGGGCGAGCCGUCGGGCCGGGCCAGACCUCCCGGCCCAUGAGUACCUCUAGUUAAAUAGUUUUUGUUUCAUGUUAUUUAAGUUUUCUUGCAUAAAAAUCUCAACUUUCACAUUUUUCUUAAGCUUUACUUUCAUGGCUAAUUUGUUUUCUAUUGUUAUGUUUAUUUUCUUAACUUUGAGCAUGUAUAGCUAAAUCCUUAAGGAGGUUGGUUGAUGGAGACGUGGAUAAACUAAAAUAUUUGGACAAAGGACUAAACCGUAACAAAUUUGACUAAUUUGAAUAGAACUAAGAACUUAGGUAGUGACGCCCCUGAGGGAAUAUUAAGAUAAAGUGAGACUGGAAGGUAAUCUUAUCGUGCACUCGUUCGUUAGCCCCGGAUUAACUGGCGAGAUCGGAAGAUAAACCAGACCUGAUUCAUCUAAAUCAUUAAAAUUGAGAUCGAAAGAUAAAAUGAAGCCACUUAGUAAUUUACGCAAUUUAUGUCCCUAGUCUGAGAUUUGGUGAACCACAUUGAAGUCAACCUACCCUAUUAGUCAUUUUCUAGAUAGUCCCUCUAGUUUACAUUUCUUACAAUUUAGUCCCUAAAGUGGAAUAUUUAAUUUUCUUGUAAACUUAUCUUUUAUGAAUCGCCAUAAUAUAAAAUCGUAUUAGUAGCCACUUAGCCUCUAUCGUGUAUGUUAGUCAUUGCUCAAUCGCUUCUUUCUUUGGGUUCGAUCUUUAGAAUACUUCAGUGUUUCAUUAUAACACUAUAAAUAUUACUGUAAUACCCAAUUUUAGCCCGAGCUCACAUAUGGAAACAUAAUUUUCGAGGAUAUACAAUCUUAGAUAUGAUAUGCAAUCUUAGAUAUGAUAUAUGCAAUCUUAGAUAUGAUAUAUACAAUCUUAGAAGAUAUGAUUUUGUAAUCUUGAAGAUUUAAUUUGUAGAUACCAUUUAAUCUUAGCCGUUGAUGUAAUUGAUCUGUACCGUUGGAUUUGGGGAGGCUCAGCUAUAAAUAGAGGCCUCUCCAUUCAUUGAGAAGGGAAGGAGAUUAAUAAAAAGAAAGCUAUUAUUUUUGCAACACAGAGAGUUCAAAUAGUGGGAGAUACAAAAUUUUUUAACACAGAAGAUUUUUUUUUCCAUUUGGUAUUCUUCAUUCGUAGUUUCGUUAUUUUAUUUUAUUUUUAUUUAUUUAUUCCGCUUAAAAAUACGAAGAAAAGAAAGGAGAAAAGGGAUUUUACCUUUUUUCGUCGAAAUCGUCGGAUGAUUGCCAUCUCUGUCGCGAUCGGAGUGUUGGCAUAGGUGAACGGCGGCACAAAAUGGGUUAAGAAGAAACCCUAGCAGAGAGCAUUUGUUUUUAUUUUAUUUUAUUUUCUUUCUACUGCAAAUAUUUUUUAAAACCUAAGGGCAAAAUGACACCGUUCAGUUUGGGGGUGGGUCCGCGCGUCGACCCGACCCGCAGGUUGGGUUCACGCGUUUUCACCCUAAAUGGGUAAUUUGUGCGAUUGCCCCUCGGUGUUUUCACAUUGUUCCAGAUCUAUUUUUUAAAUUUACCCGGUUCAUUUUCAAUUUAUUCACUUUAGCCUAUGUCAAUACACAGCGUUUUGGGAAGUUGGGUUAUUGGCCAUCUGGACCCCCAUGUCAUUUGCGUGUGGCAUAUUCGUCCCUCAUUUUACUUCUGAUCCCAUUUGUUGCCUGCUAAUUCGAUUUCAAUUACAAUGUGACUUUUUUUUACUCAAUUUAUUACCUUUUAGCAUUAUUAUUUUAUUAUUACUAUUUUUGUUUUAUUCCCAUAAUUGAUACGUACAUUAAUUUUCAUUUAUAUUCUUACACGCAUAUUUAUUUUUUUAAUAUAGAGUAAUCAUUAUUUUUUAUGUAUAUAUGUAAUUAUUUUAUAUAUAUAUAUGUACAGAUUUAUUAUAUAUAUGUAUAUGUAAAUAUAUUGUUAUAUUUUUUAAAAUGAAUAUUUGUAUAUUUAUCUAUAUACGUGUAUAUGUUUAUGUUUUUUAAAAUGCUCACAUACAUAUAUAUUUUUAAUACAUAUUUUAAAUCUAUAUAUUUUUAUAUUUUUCUUUAUUUCAUAAAUGCAUUAUAUAUUUAUAUAAAUUUUAUAAUUCAAAGUUUUAUAUGUAAAUCUUGUGCUUGUUUUUUUCUUCCUCAUAAUUUCAAUAAAUAUAUUAUGUACCUUUUUUAUUCUUUAUGCGUUUUGUUUAUUUCCUUCUUUUGUUUAUCGAUAUUAUGUUUUUAUUUAUGUUUUAAAAGCAUGCUUUUAUAUUAAUUUUGUUUAUUUAUUGUUUAUAUUAUUUCUAUACAAUUGUUGUACUUGUUAUUGUGACUUUAUCACACGCAUUCAAUAUAACAUUAAAUCAUCUUUUUACUUGAAUUUAAAAAUAGAACUUUUCAAAAUAGAGAUAAUACUCGUAUUUAGGAUUUUUAAGGAAAUUGAGCCCUAACGUAUUGGGUUCUGAUUUUCUUCAUUAAAUCUAACAAUCAAGUAUUUCUCUUUAAUCAAAAAAUAAGAAUUCAUUAUUGGGAAUUCAACAGUUGUGUCCUAACGUAUUGGAUGUGACGCAUUGAUUUCUCGAAAUAAAGAUUUUUUCUAAAAAAUAAUAAAGGAAAUAUUCCAAGUUUGGGAUUUUGGAGGAAUUGUGCCCUAACGUAUUGGGCCGCGAUUUCUUAAAUUUUGAAUAAAUGGAUAUUCUUUUAAAUUUUUAUUACACGAGUAUUCUUACCUAAUUCAUUUUUGAGGAAAUUAGAAUGUCGUGCCCUAACGCAUUGGGUGUGGCAUUUUCUUUCUCUGAAAUGAUAAGGGUCUUAAUACGUAACGUUUUUAAGUUUUUGCUAAGGAUUAUAUUUUUCAAAUUUUUGACAUUAAGACAUUAAUUAAUUAACUAGGUACCAAUUUUUGGGCGUAAUGAGGGUGCUAAUCUUCCUCAUACGUAACCGACUCCUGGACCCGUUUUUCUAAAAAUCGUAGACCAAAAUCGUUUUUAGGUGACCCAAUCACACCUCAAUAAAAGAUUGGUGGCGACUCCCAAUUUUCAUUUUUUAAAGUCGACAAUCUAAAUUUUUUUUUCAAAAAAAUAGUUUCGACAAUUACAACUGACAUGUACACUUGCAGUAAAAUCAGACUUUAAAAAUUGUUUCAUAAAUUAGUUGUUUUAACGUGCAUGCGCGCAGCCGGUCAGAAAUCUACUUUAAAAUCGGCUUCAAUGGUAUUUUUCGAGUUGUUUUCUUGAAUAUUCUAUGACGACUCACUCUUAUCUUCUUAAUUUUGUCAUAUAUAUGUCUUAGAAUGCUUAUAAAUGACAAUAUUUCAAAAUUCAGUGUGAAAUCCCAUGAAUUUGACACAGUCUACCACACGUCCGUAUGGCUCCUAUAGAUUGUUACGAUUUUUCGAUUUUCGCUUCUUUUGCUCCCAAGUGCUCUAUUAAACAUUAAAAUAUGAAUUUAAAGGAUUAGGAGCACAAAAUUCACAAUUAACAACGAAUAAUCACCCAAAAACACAUUAAGAAUGAGAUUAAAACAUGUUAAUUUUAACACUUAUUAGUUAAUUUAUUAUUUUUAAUAUUCAUAUACUAAAUUAUGAUUAAUUAUUAAAAUAAUAUAUUUGAAAGAAUUUUUCUUAUUAAAUUAUUUUCAAAUCAAAAUUAAUAUUGAGUAUUAAAAUUUAAUUUAAAAAAUUCAAUUCGAUGUUUGGCAAAUAUAAAGUAUAAUGGUAAAUUUACACAUAUUUUCAAAAUAUAGUGGUAAAUAUCAAAGAAAAUAAAGUAUAAUGACAAAUUUCAAUAUUCACUUAUACUAUGUUAGUAAAUUUGCACUUUAUCCCUUAUUUUUCUUUUAAAAUAACAUUGUUUCAAAUUCAUAUAAAUAAAUAAGGGUAAACUAGACAAAUAGUCACUCAAUUAUAAAAAUUUUCAUUUUAGGUUCGCAAAAUAAAAUGUUUACAAUUUAAGCACCCAUGUUACAUAGUUCGGCCAUUUUGGUCACUUUCGUUAAAUUCACAAACGACAAGCUGACGUGGCAGCUAAAAAUAUGUAUAAUAACAAAUUUAGCCUAAUUUUCUUAAAUAUUUUUUUAUAUAUUUUCUUGAAAAUCUUUUUUAUUUUUGAUUAAAAUAUUCUGAGCCGAUGAUCAUAGGAUAGAGUACGAUUAGCAUGCCAAUAGGUUACUUUGCUUUGUGGUACGUGAUUGAUAUGAACUGUGACGAUGAUUUUUAUAUAUCCUCUUUCACUGAAUAUACUGAGGUCUUGCAUUUGUUGCGGACUAUCAUGUUAUAUUACAAUAUUUCCUGGUGUGUUACAAGGGUAGAUGUUAACCUACGGGUUAGGCACUUAGUGCCGAGGUGCGUUAUUGGUUGGAUUGGCCCAUAUAAGCACCUGGUGUAUUCUGGAUGGUUAAUCGUGUACUCGUAUUUGUAUAUCAUUCAUCGGACAAUGUUUUAUUGAUCGUUGAAUGUUAUUGAAAUGCGAGAAAUUGAUUUGUUCUAUUAUCAUGCAUUGCUCACCUGUUGUGAGUUGUGAUUGACAGGAACUUUGUUAGUAACCUUGUUAUUUAAAUUAUUAUUUUAAUUUAGUAAGCUUUAUCGUUUAAUCGACGAACUUACUAAGCUUUAUGUAAGCUUAUUCGUGUCUUUGUCUUUCCUUUGUAGAUUGCGUUUUGUGGAGAUCGAGAGAUCAGAUCAACUCGAAGAAUAACACUAUCCGAGGAUCUUUUUUGGUAGAUUUUGUAUACAUCUUGGCUCAUAUGACAUGUAAUAGUUGUUAAAGUUGAAUGUAGUUAUGUAUAAUGGUUUGUAUGGUAUUACUUGAAUUGUCUAUGCUUUGGUUGUGUUUUAUAGUUUUUGAAGCAUGCAUGUAAGGUAUUAACCUAGGCACAAGUGUUAUGGAUAUGUGAAUCAAAUGGUAAGUUUGUUAACUUAUAUGUGUGCUAAAUGUAGUCAAGUGUGGAAGCAUCGAAGCCAAGCCAAGGUAAUAAGUUGUUAGUUAAUUAAGAUGUGAAGACUUUAAUGACUUUGGAUGGUAAUUUUGUUUGAUUGUUUUGGCAUGAUAUGGUGAUUCUUGGAUGCGUUUUGAGGCUUGUAAUCAUGUACUAGAAGAUGGUCUAGGUACCUAUACAAUUGGAUGAAAAAUGAGCUUAUUUUAUGUCAAUUUUGGGCAUACACGGCUUGGGGCACGGGCUGCCACACGGUCAUGUGUCGCACAUGGGUAACCCACACGAGCUUGUGCCCCUAACGUGUUAUGGUGCAGGUCAAUCCACAUGGGCACAAAGAGUUACAUGGCCUGGCGACAUGGCCGUGUGAGGCACAGAGUUACAUGGUCAUAUGACCUUAACUCAAGCACAGUGAGUUACAUGGUCUAAGCACACAAGUAUGUGGAGUAGCCACAUAGGCGUAUAGGAUAGCCAUACGGGCGUGUGGGAUAGCCACACGACCAUGUCUGAGCUAAACGAUCUAGCUCUAUCACACGGCCUGGACACACGGCUGUGUGACCCCUAUUUUGAAAAUUACACUUUUGCCCUAAAUCUUCUAUUUUGGCUCAAAUUGGUCCCUGAUUAUUCCUAAACUAUUUUAAAGGCCUCGUAGGUUCGAUUUAAGGCCCACAAGUGUAGGUUCUACCCCGAUCUGAAUUAUUUAUAAAAUUUCAUUAAUUAAUUAGGUAACUUGAUGCUAUUUGUUAUUGAUUGUUCCGAAUCGUUUGAUAAUACUCUAUAACCCUAAUAUGGUGAUAGAAACAGGUUAUGGGUGUUACAUUGUGAAAGUCGAGUUUCGGGGUUAUUUUUCUUUGUAUGGCCACGAGUGGAAGUCUAUGUAGAGGUCUCAAUGGACAGCCAUUAUGCGGUCAUAGAUCGGUAAUGGGGGAGCUAGUUGACAGCCAUUAUGCGGGCAUGAGCUCAAAAUUUUCUAAUAACUGAAAAUAUUGCCUUGGACGCCAGUACCGCCGUGGACGUAGGAGGACUUUUAGACGGACAACGGCUAUUGUGGUGCAGUAAAAGUGAUGCUCCUUUCGGGGUAACAAUGGUUGUUCUUAUUAAACAACACAUUAAUAACUACAAUUGCUACCGCACCGACCCAAGUUUGACAUCUAUUGUGUUGGAACAUCCGCUCUCCGCCUGAGAGCCCUAUUGUGUCCACCUCGAUGUCAACCUUUGGAUAAGAAUGAAAGGUUGAAGAUACCAGCUGCUUGGAAAUAGAGAAAAAAUUACGUUGAUUACACUGACAAGCCCUUUGCUUUUCCCUAUGAUUACGACCUCAACUGUAUGUAUGGUAUAUAUAAGGCAUCAUUUGCGGGUAUCUAAAAAGCUUGAACUCGUGACCACAUAACAACCAUCAACUAGCCCUCAGUUAUACUCAAACCCAUGACCGCAUCACGGCUACUGACUAGGACCUUUACUUAGGGUAAGUUUGGAUGGGCAGUGCGUUUACCUGCGAUUAGUGUAAAAAUAGCGGUGGCGGUUAGAUUAAAUACUAUAGUGUAGCGUGAGACAAAAAGUAAGCUGAACGCACUGCACCGCACCGCACCAAAUCGCCCAUCCAAACCCACCCUUAGACUUCGACCUGUGACCGUAUCAAGCACUGUCACCCCAAAACCUAACUUCCAUAGAAUGGGUUUAUGAGGUAAUGAUUUUAUCCCGGCAUGACAUAUGAAAUGUAUAUGUUCUGAGACGCGUUAUCGCAUCCCCGACCCUUCAAUUCUACCUAUAAACUUUUACAGUUUCACCCUUAAAACACUAACAAAAUUAAAAAAUCCUAACCCUAAUCUUAUCAAAAUUAAAAAAUAAGUAGAUGAGAGCGCGCUUUUACGCUCUCUCCAAAAAUAACUUAUUUUCCUAAUUUAAAAAAAAUUGACUUAAAAGACAAAAUAAAAUACCCGACAUAUUUACCUUAUUUAGCCAGACUUUCAUUCCAAUAAAAGCUUUUUGAAAUUAAGAAAACAAAUAAAAAUACUAACAUUUUCUUUUAAAAAAGUAAAAAAAGAAGAUUAAGGAAAAAAAUAAUAAAAGGGAAUCAGCAUAUGGAGUAAGAAAUGAGUUAACAAAAACUUUUAUUUAUUUACUUUUUUUUUUAAAUAUCUAAUAAAAACUUGUCUGUAAUAAAUAAAUAUCCAAUACCCAAGUAACCAAAAAGAGAAAAGAAUAGUGAAUAAAAAUAAAUCAAUUACCAAAACUUUCGCUAAAUUUCAAUAUAAAUUAAUUAAAAUAAUUUUAGAGCAUCACUGCAAAUGAUCCAGUGGAUGGAAGGCUGAAAGAUGUUAAACCUCCGCAUGACUUGUAAUAAACCUCUUUAAACAAAACCACCCAUCAACCCUCUUUCUAUUUUCUUUGAAUUAUUCAAACAACAAAGCCAGAAACUUGGAUGAAACCCCAACAUAAUCUCAUUUGAAGAGAGCAAAAAAAAAAAAAAAAACCCGGAAAAGUUUUAGUUUCAUAAAGGGUAAAGGUAGUGCAAAAUGGAAGAAAGUAACAGUAACAAUAGCACAGUAAACAAUGUGGCUAGAGCCAUCGUUGCAGCCCUUGAUUGGAACUCUACUCCUGAUGCUCGCAAAGCUGCCGUUUCUUACCUUGAAUCUGUAUUCUCUUUCUCUCUCUAUCCUUCUAUUUUGUUUUAUUUUUGUUUUGUAAAUUAAUUAACUUUGGCUGUUAAGAUUAACUCUUUAAAGUAUAUAUCAUUCGGUGAACUUUCCAACUUUGAAUCAGAAAAUGUCAGAAUUCGUAACUUUGAACUUUUUGAUUCAGUAGACUAGUUUUGAACUUUUAUGAAUUUGGAAAUUUUCUGGAAUUUUUUUCAGGGAGACUGUUUAGUUGUUCAAUUAAGCUAGAGGAUCGUUAUAAUUUGCUUUACGAAAUUGAUAAGUCUCUCUUACCAUUUUGACAAGAUUCGUCUGUUUCUUAUAUUAUUUCCUUUAUCUUUGUUUUUAGGGUUUAGGCUCUUUUCUGUUUGGUUUUCUUGGCAUAUUCUUGGUCUUUGCAUGUAAAUUAAUCAACUUUGGUUGUAAAAAGUUCCUAAUUGAAGUUUAUGUCAUUUGGUGAAAGUUUUGAACUUUGAUUCAGUAGACUUGUUUUGAAUUGGUGGAAAAUUUGGAAAUUUAUGAACUCUUCUUUUUGAAGGUUGAUUAGUGAUUCAAUUGAGUUAAGGUUUUAAUCUAAAGUGUCAUUGUAAUUUGCUUUUAUGAACCUUAUAGCUCUCUCUUAGCUUUGCGUUUUGACUAGAAUGUGUCUGUUCCUCCCAUUUCUUUUACUUUGCACUUUUAAAAUGGGGUUCUUUGCUGUUUAUGAUUGAUAAAUGUUCAAUGUUUAUAUUUGAUCGAACUUCGAUUCCUUCGAAUGAUUUGAACUGUUUGACAAUUGUUCCUUGUUUAGACAUUUUGACGGUUUACUAGUAAUAUUAUUAGGAUUUGAGGACAUCAGCAAGUAAGGAUGAAUAAUUAGGUAUUGUGCUGAAAUUUUUAAGCAUGAUACAAAAACCAAUCGAUUUUGUCAGGCUGCAUGUUUUCUUGCAUCUUUAAGAUAUAGUUUAAUCAGUGAAGUUUUGUUAAGUAAAACUGAACUCGAAAAAACUGGUUGGGAGAGAAGCUGUAUUAUGACAGCUAAAGGCUUCCUGUGAAAAGAGCUUAUGAAAUGAAGCUUGGGAAGCCUGUCUGUGUCCUCUGUGAAUUAGUGUCUUGCUUUUAUAUCAUGACCAAAAAUACUGGCAUGUUUUAGUUUUAUAUCACUUCAGUGACUUAUCUCUCUUGAAUAUUUACAGAUUAAAGCAGGAGAUAUACGGGUUUUGGCAAACACAUCAUUCUUAUUAGUUAAAAAGGAUUGUUCUUCAGAAAUACGAUUACAUGCAUUUAAAAUGCUACAGGUUAAGCUCAUUCACCGUUAUUUCCUUUCUGUUCUUGCUGCAUCCCCACUUUGAUGAAACUGGUGCUGUCCAUGACUUAAUUUUAAAGAUUCAUUACUUGAUUUCUAUCAUGUUAUUUUUUAUUAAAUUGCAUGUCUUGAGUCGUGACUUUAAGUUCCUUAUCAUCUUAAUCUCUGUGCAGCACUUGGUUCGAUUGCGGUGGGAGGAAUUCAGUCUCUCAGAACGUAGGAACUUUUCAAACGUUGCUGUUGAGUUAAUGUCUGAAAUUGCAGAUCCUUGUGAGGAAUGGGCUUUGAAAAGUCAAACGGCUGCCCUAGUUGCUGAGGUUUUCAACACAUUACCCUGGCAACCUAGCUUUUUUCUUAUUUGCUAUCUCGGAUUAUCAUUUUUCAGUUAUGUUUCAUUUUUCAUUUUCUUUUUGGGGCUUUGUUUCAGGUAGUUAGAAGAGAAGGACUAAAUCUUUGGCAAGAGCUGUUUCCAUCGCUAGUUUCCCUAUCCAGCAAGGGCCCUGUUCAAGUAAAGCUCUUUGUAAUCUAUACGUAGUCAUGAUCUUUUUCUAUUUCUUGAAUCAUGCAUUGAAUGAUUCCUUGGAUAUUUUUUUUCCCAUUUUAGGCUGAGUUGGUCUCAAUGAUGCUGAGAUGGCUUCCUGAAGAUAUUACAGUCCACAAUGAAGAUUUGGAAGGUUUUUAUCUCUCUUGAUUUGAAUUGUUUGCACCAACUGAAUAAUUUCAUUCUCUUGGCAUCCAAUAUCUCAAGAUGCUGCUUCUAUUCAAACCUUAGAAGUAGUACACUUCCUUUUCUUUCAUAACUUUCUAUUUUGAGGCGGUUAUAUGUAUAAUAUGUUUUAAGCUUCGUUUGUUUUUGUACUGCUUUUUGCUUCUCUCUGAAAUAAAUUUAUCAUUCAGGUGAUCGGCGUAGAUUACUGUUACGUGGGCUUACUCAAUCUUUGCCAGAAAUUUUGCCACUACUAUACACAGUAUGCCUCUAUCUUUUGUAGAACAUACAUUGCUUCCUUUAGCAUUAUUUACGAUCCUUAACUCUUGGUACAGUUAUUGGAAAGGCAUUUCGGGGAAGCAUUGAGUGAGGUGGGUAGACAACAUCUUGACAUAGCAAAACAGCAUGCGGCUGCUGUAACAGCUACUUUAAAUGCCAUAAAUGCCUAUGCCGAAUGGGCACCUUUGUCUGAUCUUGCUAAAUUCGGCAUCAUUCAUGGGUAUGAUAUUCUUCUUUUCACUUCUCGAAAGAUAACGUUUUAAUCAUUGACGUGAUCCCUUCCUUACACUCUCAUCUCUGUAUUUUGACAGGUGUGGUUUCCUACUUUCUUCUCCUGAUUUUCGCCUUCAUGCUUGUGAGUUUUUCAAACUAGUCUCUCCAAGGUAUGCUUUAUGGUUUACAUGGUUAAGGUACAGAUUUUCUCUCCUAGAAGACUACUGCUUGACGUUGCAAACUCUCGAUUCUGGCAUGCAGAAAGAGACCUGCUGACGACUUUGCUUCUGAAUUUGAUUCUGCAAUGAGUAGCAUCUUUCAAAUCUUGAUGAAUGUAUCUCGGGAAUUCUUGGUCAGAUCUAACUCAGCAGGUGGGGCAAUAGAUGAAAGUGACUUCGAGUUUGCAGAAUAUGUUUGUGAAAGUAUGGUAUCUUUGGGUUCCUCAAACUUGCAAUGUAUUCUCAGAGACAGCAGUACGUCCGCUCUCUACUUACAGCAGGUAAUGACUGUCAAAAGAUUGCAGCAAGUUUUUUAGAAUUACUUUGAUUUAAGUUGUAUUUCUGCAAACAAGUUUCCUAACAGGGGUGUAUUUUAGUCAUUUGUUGCUUCGACGUUUCAUCUUUCUUGAAGUACAUGAGUCUGAUGCAUAUCCAGACAUUGGUAUGGGGAUAUGAUCCCCUAUACGUGUCCAACAAUCAGACCUAGUCCAAGUAACAUAAUUUUAGUCUAUAUGCAGGAUUGUGAAUCAUUUUCAUUUGCUAAUUCUUUUAGCUACUUUAGUCUAGUGAUGAGUAAUAAAAACUUAUGGCCUAAUAUUUUAUCUUUUUUCAGAUGCUUGGGUUCUUUCAACAUUUUAAGCUAGCUCUUCAUUAUCAAUCCCUGCAAUUUUGGUUGGUAUGUGAAAGUUUUUUUUGUAAAUUAUUGUGAUAAUAAAGCAUGAAUAACAAAUAACUAAGUUAAAAUAAAUGUUUUCUCUAGGCACUGAUGCGGGAUUUGAUGUCAAAGCCGAAGCUUUCAGUGCAUUCAUCUGGAGAAGGGUCAGCUGCUAGCAAUUCAGACUCAAAUUCAGCUCAGGUUGACAAUGAAAAGAGAAAGAUUUUAAGUUUUCUCAAUGAUGAUAUUUGUAGUACGAUUCUGGAUAUAUCAUUCCAACGCAUGCUUAAGAAAGAAAGGCUUAUCACUGGAAAAGCCCUUUCUCUAGGGGCUUUGGAGUUGUGGAGUGAUGACUUUGAAGGAAAGGGUGAUUUCGGCCAGUACCGUUCUAGACUUGUAUGCUCUACCAUCUCAGAUGCAUUUAUAUUUUGAUCUUUGAUUUAUCUUCCUUUGAUUUGGAAAUUCAAGCAUAAACAUACAUUGUUUUUUUCAUUGCAGUUCGAGUUAAUCAAGUUUAUUGCUUCAAACAAGCCCCUUGUGGCUGGUGCUAAAGUUUCCGAAAGAAUUAUUAUGAUCAUUAAGAACCUCUUGAACUCUCCAAUGCCUGCUGAGGUUUCAUCACCAACCCUUUUCAUCUUGUUCCUUUCCAUUAUACCUAGUGUUCGGGUUUUCAGGUUAGAAGCUUCAUUGUUAUUAUCUUUACAAACUUCCAGGACUUAGCAGUGAUGGAAAGCAUGCAAGUAGCUCUGGAAAGUGUUGUUAGCUCUAUUUUUGAUGGUUCAAAUGAGUUUGCGGGGGGUAGUUCAGAAGUUCACGUUGCUUUAUGUGGAAUAUUUGAAGGUUUGCUAACAACUUGUCUGUAUUCUGUUAGAGGCUCUAUGUUUAUGAUACCCAUACCUACCAAAAAACUCUGUUUACCGUGAAUUGAAGGUUUACUUCGGGAACUUCUUUCAUUGAAUUGGACUGAGCCUGCCCUUGUGGAAGUACUUGGGCACUAUCUAGAUGCAAUGGGUCCCUUCCUGAAGUAUUUCUCGGAUGUAGUUGGUAGUGUCAUCAAUAAGCUAUUUGAGCUCCUAAAUUCACUUCCUUUUGUUGUUAAGGUUCUCUUCUUCUUCUUCCUUUUCAUCUUUUUUCCCUAAGGACUGAGACUUGUCUUUUUUACCUUAAGUUUUGUUUGGCAGGAUCCUUCGACGAGCAGUGCACGGCAUGCAAGGUUGCAAAUUUGUACAUCAUUUAUUCGGAUAGCCAAAGCUGCUGACAAAAGUAUUCUGCCUCACAUGAAGGUAAUGCAUCUGUCAAGCAAAAUGAUAAAAUUUCCAAUUGAAGCUUUGAAGUUUCUGAAAUGCUUAGAUACUUUCAAUUUGAGGAGCGGAUACAGAUUCCCUUAUAUUUAAACAGCAUAUUCUUUCAUGCUCAUACGAAAUUAGAGCUACUUACUUGCCAAUUGCCGUGUGUAUUCUUUUGCAGUCGGAAAGCAUUGUGAAAUUCUAAAUUUGCAAUGCUUGUUUAGCUCUUAAAUUUGAGUAGAAAAUGUCCACAUUAUCCUUGAGCAAAUACUUAUUUGUAUGCUUCAUAAGGCAAUUCAUUAGAAACUGUCACAGGUUUAGAUUGUUAGCUUUUAAAACCAUCAUUUAUAUGCCUGUUUAUAAGUUUUGGGGAAACUUAUGUUUUAGUUGAACUUUAUAUUCACUCCAUGAUGUUUCUUAUGCAGGGUAUUGCUGAUACCAUGGUGUAUUUGCAAAGAGAAGGCCGUCUGCUUCGCGGUGAACAUAAUCUUCUAGGUGAAGCAUUUCUUGUUAUAGCAUCUGCUGCAGGGUAAUUACUUGCUUAAAGUGUUUCAAUUGCCAUGUAAAGCUGGAUUUCUUUUCUUUUUCUUAUAUGACAUUUGUUGAAAUGGAGCAGGGUUCAACAGCAGCAAGAAGUUUUGGCAUGGUUACUUGAACCCUUGAGCCAACAAUGGAUACAAAUAGAAUGGCAAAACAAUUACUUGUCCGAACCUCUUGGACUAGUUCGUUUAUGCUCCGAGACAGCAUUUAUGUGGUCACUGUUCCACACUAUCACAUUCUUUGAGAAAGCACUCAAGAGGAGUGGAAUGAGGAAAGGCCAAAGCAGCUCAACAUCAAGUUCUACCCCACAUCCAAUGGCUUCUCAUCUGUCUUGGAUGCUUCCUCCCCUCUUAAAAGUAUGCUAUUGUAACCUAUAUUAUAUAUAUCUUAUCUAGAAGAUACUAUAGAAACAGGCUGUUACAACUCUAUUGUUCUUGUGCAGCUGCUUCGUGCUAUACAUUCCCUUUGGUCACCAUCAGUAUUCCAAGUAUUACCUGGGGAGAUUAAAGCAGCAAUGAGCAUGAGUGAUGUGGAGCGGUCUAGUCUUCUUGGCGUUGGGAACCCCAAAUUGUCAAAGGGGGCAUUAACUUUCAUAGAGGGAUCUCCAUUUGAUGUGAAUAAGGAAGGGUAUACUGAACCAAAUGAAGCUGAUAUACGGAAUUGGUUAAAGGGUAUCAGAGACAGUGGGUAAGUAUGGCAUUUGCACAUUUUCUAACAUAGGAAAAUGGUCUUCCUAAGAAACAAUGCACCGUUAAUUCUCACUAUAACAUGGAUGGCGUAUAAAUUGAAGGAUCCCUAAAUGAUAUCUUGAUUUACCCCAAAAGGAACUCCAUUUUUUGUCUGGUGUAUAUUUGGUAUAAAGUGCUUAGCUAUGUGAUUAUGAGCCGUCUAGAGUUAAACAUGGGCGCAUAUAUCAUUUUGAAAACUGAAAAAGAAAAUUUUUUGAUAGGUAAUGAAUAACUUGGUAGAUUAAAGAAAGGGCUAAAGAUCAUAUCCUACCUUUAUCGAGGAUUCAGGAAGCCUUCUCCAUUUUGUAGCUUUGUAGACAAAACUAAUAUUUUGGAAGGCAUACUUCAAUCAUCAUCCACUCAUCGAGUCUUUUUCUAAUCGGUGUUAAUGCAUCUUACACAUUCGUAGGUACAAUGUAUUGGGACUAUCUGCAACCAUUGGAGAUCCGUUUUUCAAAGGCAUUGAUGUUGAUUCUGUUGCUUUAGCUCUAAUUGAGAAUAUACAGUCAAUGGAGUUCAGACAUACAAGGCAGCUUGUUCAUUCUGUUUUGAUUCCUUUGGUUAAGUCUUGUCCUCCCGACAUGUGGGGGGUAUGGCUGGAAAAGCUACUGCACCCGUUAUUUGUCCACUGUCAGCAAGCUCUGAGCUGUUCAUGGUUUGGUCUUCUGCAUGAAGGCCGGGCGAAGGUUCCCGAUAAUCAUGGUAUCCUUACUGGGUCAGACUUGAAAGUGGAAGUAAUGGAAGAGAAGUUACUCCGAGAUAUAACUCGUGAGAUAUGUUUGCUCCUUUCUACUAUAGCGUCACCUGGAUUAAACACUAGCCUUCCUGCUUUAGAACAUUCGGGGCAUGUUGGUCGCGUGGACAUGUCUUCUCUUAAAGAUUUGGAUGCAUUUGCACCAAGCUCUAUGGUUGGGUAUGAAACUAAAUUAUUUUUCCUUUUAGUGUUGACAUCCAACAUUACCUUUACAUUCACGAUAUUAUACUAUUUCGUUCUGUAAACCUAGUUUCUCAACAUUUUGGAUUUGUUUGCAGUUUCCUUUUGAAGCACAAAAGCCUGGCAAUUCCAGUACUCCAAAUAUCGUUAGAAGCAUUUACUUGGACAGACAGUGAAGCUGUGACCAAAGUUUGUUCUUUCUCUGCUUCUGUGGUUCUUCUAGCUAUACUUACGAACAAUGUCGAUCUCCGGGAAUUUGUUUCGAGAGAUCUAUUUUCUGCUCUCAUCCGAGGUCUAGCCCUCGAGUCAAAUGCUUUUAUCAGCGCUGAUCUGGUUAACCUCUGUCGCGAAAUAUUCAUUUAUCUCUGUGACAGAGAUCCGGCUCCCAGACAGGUUAGUUUUUGGAACACUAAUUUCUCCAUUAAUGUUAAGUUGAUAUUACUCUCUGAUCAUACAAGUGCCUCAAAAUAUUAAUUCAAUGAUGCAUUUAUUGGACUAUCCCAGAUUUUACUUUCCCUCCCUUGUAUUACCCCAAACGAUUUACAUGCCUUUGAAGAAGCCUUGACAAAGACCGCAAGUCCGAAAGAACAAAAGCAGCAUAUGAGAAGCUUGCUUUUAUUAGCUACUGGGAACAACCUAAAAGCUCUUGCUGCUCAGAAAAAUGUAAACAUUAUUACAAAUGUUACUGGUAAAGCCCCCCACUUUCAUCUAAUUGCCUUCCAUUUUUGUUGGUGUGUGUUCCACGGACAUAUCCUUACCAGUUUACAACGCUCUCCAUUUCAGCGCGGCCACGUGGUCCAGUCAAUGCUCCAGGAAAUGGAAUCGAGGAGGGCGACAGCGUGGGCUUGGCAGCUAUACUGUGACGGAUUUUUCUGGAUUCGGUGUUUGUACAGAAAGUUUAACCCGGAAAUGAAAAAAGAAACAUCUUUGACAGACAGUUAAUACAAUGAGGUAGAUGGAAGCUUUUUUCUUUCUUUCUUUCUUUCGUUUUGCAUCUUAUGAUCUGAAAUAGAAUUUACUUGGCUGAUUCUCGCACCAUGUUUGUUAUCCUAAUAUUUAUUCCAUCUCUUUGGCUGACUAUAACAUCAAACUACUUAUAUUUUGGUGGUGGCAAUCUUUUUCGUUACUUGGACUCAGGAUGAGUGCCGGAUAAGUGGGAUAUUGAUAUUUGUUGGAUAUGAAUAUAUUCAAUUCAUUUUUAAGUUUUAUAUAUUUGAAGCAUCAUAAUCCUUGUCCGAGUUUGAAUAUAUGCGCUAACUGGGAUUAUAAGAACCCAUGUCUCUGCCUUACUCCUUUUAUGUUGAUAUAAAUUGUAUGAGAUAUUUUGGUUUAAACAAAUAUAAACUGUAUAAACAUUAUUAAAACGUGUAAUAUUUAAUAUAAACAUAUGUUUGAUUUAUUAUGAAAUUAAAGGAAGGAAGAAGAAAUGAAUUUUGUAAUUAAAAAAUAUUUUUUUUUAAAUUGUAUUUAAUACAUUGACGGAUUCACAAAUAAUAAGAAUAAAAUACAUGUUCAUUUUAAAAAUAAUAAUAAUAAUAAUAAUCUGUUUACAUAAUUCUGUAUUACUUUAUUUUUAAUUUAUUGGUAAAAAUUAAAGAGAUUAAAAUAUUACUAUUUCUACGCUGGCCCACAUUUACAGUUAACAUGCGAUUUCUUUUGUUUAUAUCGUUAAUUCUUUGUGUCCAGCAAAACGGCGCCGUAUGGGCCUUCGCUAAAGAUAAGCAGAUCAAAUAAAAUUAAGAUGAAUGGACGGAGCCCAAAGCCCGAAAAGAUAAGCAAUCUACCAGUUCUCUACAAUCGCUUUCAAUAUUUAUGAGAAAAAACCUUUGGGUUAAGAUGGUAAAGUUGAUGUUUUGCGGACCUUGAUAUCCUAAGCUCAGUAAAAAAACUAAUAAUAAUUAUGUAAAAAGAUAUGAUAUAAUAUAUGAAUGUAUUGAAAUUAUCAUGAUAUAAUUUAUUAUUUAUUUUUCAGUCAAAUGCGAACAUAAGUUCAUCGAAGGCAGAAGGUCAGCAAAUAGUACAUGCAGUGACACGACGGCAAUGUUAAAAGAGAAAGUUAACAAAAUAAAACAUGAAACAGCAGUCAUUCGAAAUGGAGGUUCAUUCAUGCUAGAUAUAUGGAUACAAAUUAUAAAAUCUUGCUCUGAAUUAGGCUCCGCCACGGCCAGUAUUUGGAUAUGAUAGUCUUAAAUGAUGUCUUCAAUAGCACAAAAUCAGGCUACAAGGACAGAAGCUCCAAACACCCAAAGAACAAGCUUCUCUUACGACAGAGGAUUGAAUUUACAUCGAGGGCAGACUAACACUAGAACCCUUUCUCAUCACCCUUAGGCAUCUUUGCAUCAUGGGAUCUUUAACUUUACUUACGCCUAUCGAGUUCGGCUAGCCUCCUGUUGCUCUCGUCAAUCAAAAGCACAAACUCAAUCACUAAAUCAUCUUGCGACUUAAGAAUACCUUCAAGCCCAUGACUUUACAAGCCUACGACCUUGCAAACUCACACAAUAGGGACCACAUCCCUGAUAUAGACAAAAUACCUGUCUAUUUGUACAUCAUAUAUAUAUAUAUAUAUAUGUUAACCUAUAUGACAAUCUAUAUCUAUAUGAAAAGAUAUUAGUAGAUCGAUCGAACUCUAAAGAAUAUGAAACUAAUACAAGAAUGACACAUGGAGUCUCAAGAGAAUCGAAGAUACCUUUAAAGUCAAAAAAACAUGAUCUCUCUCUCUUUCUCUCUCUCUCUAUCUAUUUUGCUCCCUCCUCUCAAACUCUAACCCUCUUAAAAGCCUAAAUUCCAAUCACUUAUAAUUAUCUACAACUCUCCACCCACCAAAUAAACAGUAAUAAACCGCCACAAUCUUAACUUUGUAUCAACAUGCAUAAAUACUUGAGAAAAAGAUGUCUAAAACAUUAUUAUAGGGCACAAAGAUAUCUAAAACAUGAUAAAAAAAUACAAAGAUUUUGAAACUCAUGCUUUAUUUUAUGCAUUUCUCUAGUGAAAUAACAUCAUAUCUCCUUUUUUUUCUUUCUCAAAUAAACUGAAAUUGAAGAUGGAAAAUAAGCAGCCAAAACUUCUCCUUUAAUCAAAGUGACAGGAGAAAGAAAAUAAAAUAUAUUUUUUUAUUAUUGAAAUAUAUGAUUUAUUAUGGUUUAAGAGCAACAUAAGAUUAUAAAAGUAAUAUUCCAAGAAAAUGUAAAAUAAUAAACAUAUAUUGAUUUCUUCAACUUAUAAUAAUAAUAUAUAUAAAAUUGAAAUGUUAUAAUAAAUCAAAAUAACUGAAGAAUUUGAUAAUAAUAUAUAUAAUUAAAUAUAAUAAACUAUUGACAUUGUAUCAUAAAGAGUAGAUAUGACUAAAACCUAUAAUAAGACUAUUUAAAAAAAUUAAAUAUGAGAGCUUACACCAUAAUCUCACAUUACCCUAAAAAUAUUAAAUCCACUGAAUCAAAUAGACCCAAAAUGUCAUAUUUGGCUUGAGCCUUGAAGACUACUCUCUUAAAAGAACCCUUGAAAAUAGGAGUAGCUUGAUGACUACUCGUUUUCAAGAGACGGUGAGCAGAAGGUAUAAUAAAUGGACGGACUACCAGCAAAGAGUUUUAAUUCAGGCACUUUCUUUGGUGGUGAACUAAUUCAUCUUCAUUGCAUCAAUGGGAUGGGAUGGGAUUGCAAACGUCCUUUUCUUUAAUUACAAAUCACUUCAUUAUUUACCAUCUUUCAAUUGCAUAUUUAAUUCAAGAUCUUAUAAUGAUAAUACUCUUAUUUCUCAUUUAAUCUCAUUUUUCAAUUUUAGUAAUUUAUUUACAUUUUCUUAAAUAUUAAUAAAAACUUAGGUUGCAGGGGUACUCCAUUCCAUAAAUAAAUCUAUAUAUGUCUUAAUAUGUAAAUAUAUAUAUAACAAGAAUAAUAAAUAUAUCAAAAUCUAAUUAUAUCGUGUUAAUCAUAUUUAAAAAUUUUAUAUUUUGUUGAUUGAGUCUUAACUCGAUUGACAUGAGCAUUAUUACUAAUAUAAAAGGACGUGGAUUUGAAUAUGUUGAAACGUAUUAUCCUUUUAUCUAUGGGUUGAGAAAGGACUAUCAAUAAUUUAAAUCAAUUAAAUUGAACUUUUAAUAAAUUUUAUUUUUAUAAUUUUUAAUAAUUUAUUUAAAUAAACUAAUGAUCUGAUUCGAUUCGAUUACGACAACUUUACUUAAAAACUUACCCUUCUCAGGAUUGGUAUGUAGUUAGGUACCUUCCACCGCUUUGUUAUUUUUCUUUUCACUUUCAAUAUAUAAUUAUUUUUCCCUUCAUGUGAAAGCACUUGAUGUGAAAGCAACAGUUAUGCUACAACUCACCUACCUAACUAGUGCACCUCUUUCAUUAACUUAUCUUUUUCGUUUUUUAUUUCCUUCAUUGGACAAUCAAUAUAUAGAUUGUAAUUGUAAAUGUGCCAAGGAGCACUUCUAGUAUAAUGCGUUUAAUUUUUUUUAUGUUACAGUAUCGUUACAGUAUUUAAUUUUAUCGUCACUAUUAUUUUUAUAUUAACUAUAAGUAAACAAUCCAUCCAAAGAAGCCCUAAGUCUCUUAAGUUGGUGGUUUGAGUUUCUAUACACUUAAGCUACUUGUAUAAUAAAUAUGUUUUACAUUAAUACUUCUUGAGUUUUGCAAAUUGUAUCAUUGUAUUACCAUCAAAGGAGGUGCCUCCCUUCAUAAACUGUAGACGGCUCUCGACAAAGUUAAGGACAAAAAAACUCAAACAUGAUAACAAUAUCUCUGAUUGUUGGGGAUCUAGUUGAUUGCUCAAGAAACUAAACUUAAAAGACUUAUCCUAAACAUUAAAAAAAUUAUUAUUUGUUUGAAAAUAAAUACACUAAAAUAAAUUAUUCAAAUUCAAAAAUCUAUAUGAUUAAAAGCAAUGGCGAAGUCAGAAAAUUUUGUUAGAUAGGAUCAUAAUUAAAUUAUAUAUUUUUACUAUAGUAAAAAUAUAAUUUUAUUAUUUUAAUUUUUUGUGAAAAUUACUUUAAUUUUUUAAUAACCCAUAUCUUUAUAUUUUUAAAAAAAUUAAAUUAAAUUAUUAUUAUUUUUAAAGGGACUAAAAUAUGAUUUUACCACUAUUAAUUAAAAAUUAUAAAUCAUCCACACUACCCUACUAUUUUCAAUCUGAAAAAGAAAAAAAUCCACCCACUACAUUACCGUUGAAAAUGCAUCAAUCAAAAGACUUUUCUAAAAACAAAAAAAACAAAAAUGCCGCGUAUAAAUAAUGAGUCAAGAUGAAAAUAUUGUUAUGUAAUUAAUAAUUAAUAAUUAAUAAUCAUAAUUUAAUUUUUAAAUUAUAAUUUUAUACAUAUUACAUAUAUAAGGUUUGUAAGAUUUUAUCAUUCAUAUGAUUGAUUUCUUAUUUUAUGUGUGUUUCUCGAUAUAAAAAGAUAAAAAAAAUUAUAAUAAUUUAUAUUAUUAUUAAUAUUAAAUAUUAAUAUUAAAUUAUUUUUUUGAAAUAUAAUAUUAAAUUAUUUUUUUCAUUUUUUAUAAUAUUUUAGGAUCUAGUAAUUAGUAAAUUAUGUGAUAAUAGGGGACGAGUAUAUUUAAUAUUAAAAGAUAUGUUAAAAAAAUAAUUAAAAUAAGAAAUGGGACAAAUCAGCCGCGGGCAUGUUAUCGAAAAAGUAGUUUGAACUUCUCAAGUUUGAAAAGCUUUCCGUAAUCUUUGGUCAGGCUCCGCCAUUUCACACUUUUCCUCUCUUACGUGUUAUCUUGUCGGCAACGGGCAACCUUAAAAGAAUGUGACUUAUUAUUUAUUUUUAGGAGAAAAACAGGGGUAUUUUACUAAUAAAAGCCCUUUUUUUAAAAAAAUUUAUCGAAAUGGGCCAACUAUUUAAUUAUUUACCGGAAUGAUCCAUUUUCCGCGAAAUCGCGUCCACGUCAGCGCGAUGUCAGGGUACGCGCCAGGAAAUUGCGUCCACAUCAGCGCGACUUGCUGACGUGGAUGAAAAUCGCGCCCUAGAGGACGCGAUUUGCUGAUGUGGCAUGAACAGUUUAUGUUUUUUAGCUUAAAAAACUUUGAAAGGCCAUAACUUUUGGCUCGGUUGUCCGAUUGAGACGAUUUUUUUUAUUUCGAAUAAAUUUUCGAGAUCUACACGCUGACAAACUGCUUAGAGAUGAAUAGGGACUAAUUUGUAAAGUAUAAUUUGUUAGUUACAAGUAUAGGGACUAAAGUGUAAUUAUUUCAAAAUUAGCAUGAAAUUUUUGUAUUUAAGAAUAUUUGAAUGUUAUGGAAGGAUGAAAUUGAAUUUGAAUUGAAAAACGAAACUUAGAUUUGAAAAUAUGACUAUUUAGGUUUUAGGGACUAAAUUGAAUAAAAUGGAAAAUUUUAGGGAACCUCUCAAGAGUGGAAUGAGCUGACUUAUACCUAUAACAGGAUGAUAUAAGACAAUUCUGUAAAAAAAGAUCCGGUGUUUACUUCAAAUAAAUAAGGAAAAUAAUGAUUUGAAUGUUUCAAAAUUCAAUUUUAAACCGAAAAAUCAAAAUUUAGGGGCAAAAAAGGAUCUUUUUCGAUGAAAACUGCAGCAAACCGCCUUCGGCGGUUUGUCAGCACGUAGAUCUCAAAAAUUUAUUCGAAAUCAAAAAAAAAUCGUCUCAAUCGGACAACCGAGCGAAAAGUUAUGGCAUUUCAAAGUUUUCCAAGCUUAAAAACAUAAACUGUUUAUCCACGUCAGCAAAUCGCGUCCUCGUAGGCGCUAUUCGUGUCCACGUAAGCAAAUCGCGCUGACGUGGACGCGAUUUCGCGGAAAAUAGCCCAUUCCGGUAAAUAAUCAAAAAAUCGGCCCAUUUCGGUAAAUUAAAAAAAACGGCUUUUUUUGGUAAAUUGCCCGAAAAACAGCACUAAACGAUUAUAUAAAAAAAUUUAAUAAAUUCGUGUAAAAAUAUUAUUAUUAGAGAUGAGAGUUCCUCAAACAAUGUUAAAAUCGAAGGAUCUCUAUUCAUGCACUUGGUCAUUCGAUCAGUAAUUGCAUUUCAAGCUCUUAGUUUAUGACGAAUUCUGAUAUUCUAAUCCCGUUUAAACAAACUACUGAUUAAUCAUAAUUCAACCAGACUACUAUUGACAACGCUAUCUUUUAGUAGAAACUCCACUAGAAACGCAUUAUCACAUUCUAGUUGCAUGGCUCUUGCUUUAAUUCUAGUUAUUAUUUUAAUUGAUUUUUUAGAUUCUUUAUUAUUAAAUGUAAAUGAUUUACAAAAUUAUUUUAAAUAAUUAUAAAUAUGUUUAAUUGUGCUUCACUUAUUAUGAAAUGAUUAUAGAGGUAAUUAAAUUAAUUUUUUUUUAUAAUUGAUAUUUGAAAAGUUAAUAUUAAUUAAUAUAUAUUGAAAUUUAAAACAUUAUUUAACAUAUUUAUUUUAUUAUCGUAUUAAAAUAAUUUAAAAAAAUUAAAAACCUCUAAAUCAAAAUAUUUAAAAAGCAAAUAACUUAAAAUUGGAAACGAAAAAAAUAAAAAAGCAAUUGUAUUAAUAUUAAUUUAUACAAUGUUGCUAAAUUCAAUAAAAGAAAAAAUAAUAAUCUCCUUCCCCUUUACAUAAUUUUUUUCUAAACUAAGAAAGAAAAGAGUUAAAAAAACUAAAAUCAACCUAAAGAAAAGAGUACCAUUUCAAAAAAAUUAUAUCUUCUCUAAUUUAUUGGAAAUUGUUUCAAUCAAUUUUUAAAAAUAAAUACAUAAAAUUUGAUAAUUAAUGGUGAGGGGCGAAGUUAGUAAAAUUUUUUAGAGACCAAAAUUAAAUUAUAAUUUUUAUAAUAGUAAAAAUAUAAUUUUACAAUUUUAAUAGCUUAUAUCUUUUUAAUUUUUAAACGAUUAAAUCAAAUUUUUAUUAUUUUUAAGGGAGUUGGGACCUUACCAAUCUCCCUAACUACUAAUGGUAUUAUUAUCUAUAGAGUAGAUUACAUAAAUAAUCACCUAAUUAUUAAAAAUUUUAUUUUAGAUCCUAAAAUAAAAAAAUUAAAUUUAAUAUUUACGUUACACAAUUUGAUAUUUUAUUAUACAAACAUUUUUUUAGAAAAUUAAAAAAAAAAAGCUAAUUUAGUAUUCUACUGUUAUUAUAAUACCGUUACUAGAGGACAAUAAUCGUUUAUAAUAAUCUCUCUCAACCUUUUUCAGGUUGCUAACUUAUUUUUCUUGCUUUUUCUGAAAAAAUUUCCCGUACUGUUGUAAACACGCGUAAUUUAAUUUUUGCCAUUGUUUCCUCUGUUUUCUUCACUGUCUUCAAUAUUUCCUACAAAACCCAUCUUUCAUAUUCAAUCAAGCUUCAAUCUUUUUCUCUUUGAUGCCCCAAGAACAUAACCAAUUCUCUGUUUUUUCUUCCCUUUUUUUUUUCAAAAACAAUUUAGUAAAACAUACACAAAUAUUCUCUCUUUUUUGCAGUUUUUUCUUUAAAAAAACAGUUUCAAGGAUUGUUUUUGUGUUGUUUCUCUCCCAUGAUCACAAAAAUGGCUUGAUUUGCGGUUGAUCCUGCAAAUAAUCGCAUUUCGUUCUCUUUUUUAACAGAGAUUCAUUAAUCAAUAAAUAACCAUCAGUUUUAUAAAAAAAAAAAAACGUCAUAACGAAGCCUUGCUUUUCUUUGUUUUACAAACCCCUUUAGCCUUACCUCAAGCUUCAUCCCCUUUAUAUUUCUUUGAAAUUUUUUCAUUAAAAAUCCUAACAAAAGCAUGGGUAAUUCUGGGUUUCUAGCAACAUUAUUAUUACCGACAUUCCUUUGUGUUCAUCUCUUUGGUGGGUUUGUUGAUGGUCUUGGUGUGAAUUGGGGCACAAUGGCAACCCAUAAAUUACCUCCAGAAACAGUGGUUCAGAUGUUGAAAGACAAUGGGAUUAAAAAAGUGAAGCUUUUCGAUGCAGAUUCAAAGACUAUGGAUGCUCUUUCAGGGAGUGAUCUUGAAGUAAUGGUUGCCAUUCCAAACGAUCAGCUUCUUGCUAUGAACAGCUAUGAUCGUGCUAAACAAUGGGUUAAGAAGAAUAUCACCAUAUAUAACUUCAAAGGAGGUGUUAACAUUAAGUAAGCUCAUUUUCUUUUUCAUUUUUUUUAUCUUCUCUGAUGUUGGGUUUUUGAGGUUUUGAUUGAUCGGUGUUUAGACCAUUUUUUAAAGAUUUGGUUAAGUUGAUGAGAAAAUCUUCUUAUUGUCUUCUUUUGAGGAUUUUGAUCCAUUUAAUAAAUGCUUAAUCUGGAAUUUUUUAUAACUAGCAUUAAGGAAACUUGUUCUAAUUCUUCAUUUAGAUGAUCUUACUCGGGUUUGGGUACGGAUUCUUUUAUAUAUUUGGAGUGUGUUUAAGGUUAUAUUUGCAUAAAUGUGAUUAACACUUGGAAUAGGAAGAAGAAAGUGUCUUCACUUGUGUACUUACAUUAUUCGGAUUCGAGUGCUAGUGUUGCAUACAAGUAUUUUUAAGUUAUUUCAUAUAUUUGAAGUAUUCUUCGAAAAUGAAGCCAAUGGAUCUAUCAAUUUGUUGAACCUUUUCACUAUCUUUUCACAGGUAUGUUGCUGUUGGAAAUGAACCAUUUCUCAAGUCCUACAAUGGCUCAUUUAUAAACACUACAGUGCCUGCUCUUCAAAACAUUCAAAAUGCACUGAAUGAUGCCGGUGUUGGGGACACCAUAAAGGCUACUGUGCCCUUAAAUGCUGAUGUCUACAACUCGCCUGAAAGCAACCCUGUUCCGUCUGCUGGCCGGUUCCGGACUGAUAUCAGUGGACCUAUGACGCAAAUGGUCGAUUUCCUUGCCAAGAAUGGUGCACCUUUCACUGUAAACAUCUAUCCUUUCCUCAGUCUUUAUGGAAAUGAUGACUUCCCUUUCAAUUACGCUUUCUUCGAUGGUGGAAACCCGAUCACGGAUAAUGGGAUUAAGUACACUAACGUUUUUGAUGCCAACUUUGAUACAUUGGUUUCGGCUUUGAAAGCAGUAGGCCAUGGGGAUAUGCCCAUUAUUGUUGGGGAAGUUGGUUGGCCUACUGAUGGUGACAAGAAUGGCAAUAUGGCUAAUGCUCAGAGAUUUUACAAUGGACUCUUGCCUAGACUUGCAGCCAACACCGGGACCCCUCUCCGUCCGGGAUACAUUGAAGUUUACUUGUUUGGACUUAUCGAUGAGGAUGCCAAGAGCGUUGCACCAGGAAAUUUUGAGCGUCAUUGGGGGAUCUUUCGGUACGACGGGCAGCCUAAAUUCCCAUUAGAUCUUUCAGGCCAGAAUCAGAACCAGUUCCUUAUUGGUGCAAAGGAUGUCAAAUAUCUUCAACAGCAAUGGUGCAUGUUCAAUCCGAAUGCCAAGGACAUCGGCAAACUUACGGACAACAUAAAGUACGCUUGCACUUUCUCCGACUGCACGGCUCUCGGUUACGGGUCUUCAUGUAACAACCUGGAUGCCAACGGGAACGCAUCUUAUGCAUUUAACAUGUAUUACCAGGUGCAAAAUCAGAAAGACAUGGCGUGUAACUUUCAAGGUUUGGCUAUAAUUACAACACAGAAUAUUUCACAAGGGGCUUGCAAUUUUAUCAUUCAGAUUGCUUCUUCAUCAUCUUCUUUUACUUCAGUAAGUCGCUUAAUGUUAGGAUUAGCCAUUUUUAUAGUAUUAACUUCAUAUUUACUAAUUUAACUUUGAUUAUUUAGAUAUAUAAGAUAUGUGCUAUUCUUUUGCACCUUAUUUCUCUCAGAUUCUUCUGUUCUGUUAUGUUAAAAGAUGAUUGAGUUAUUUAUUUUAUCUAUAUAAAGUCAUAUAUUACUAGAAUAGUAUCUUGAUAAUUUCUACUACUUGGACCUGGAUAGAGGUGUGCAUGGGCCUAGCUGGGCUAAACUAAGAUUUUAGGCCUAUUUGUUAGGUCCGGCCCGAAAAAUAGGACUAAAAUUUUACUCAAGCCCGACCCGGAUAAAAAUGUUAAAAUCCAGGCUUGACCAGACUCGCCCAUAUUAAUUUUUAUAUUAUUUUUAUAUAAUUUUAAAAUAUAUAUAAUGCAUAAAAAAUACUAAAAACAUCAAAAUAAAUAUUUCCCAACAAAUUAAAAAUAAAUUUUAAAAAAUAUGUAUAUUUAAAUAACUUUAAGAUAAAUGCAACUUAACAAACGUCUCUAAAAUAGUAACAAAAUUAACAAAUGUCUUUCAAAUAAUAACAAAUUUAAUAAUAAAAUAAAUUUUAUACAAUAUUUAAACAAUAACAACAAAAUAGUAGCAACAUAAUUUUAAAAUGGUAGCAAAAUAAGGAGAAAACAAUAAGAAAAUAAUAUUAAAAAAAGAAUAAAAUUUUUUGUCCUUUAGUAAAUUUGAGCAGGGCUCGAGGCCAAAAAUGUCUUACUCGAAGCCUGAUCUAUUUUCUAAACGAGCCUUAUUUUUUGUCCAAACCCUUCCACAUUUCAGGAGGGCCUUCGGGCCUAACCGGGUAGCCCGACCCAUGAACAGGUCUAGACCUGGAUAUACAUUAAGCAUAUAGAUGAUAAGGUAUCCAAAGUUUCCCAAGACAUGACAUAACAGUUAAAAGUGCAAUUAAGACUAAGAUGAAGGGUCAAAAUUUUUAUCAUUGAAACCAAAAUGUGCUACAUAGAGAUGUUUAUGGGUUGGAUCGAGUUUAUAUAAAGUAUUUAGAUCAAAUUUCAAGCUUGGGCCUGAUCUAAAAAAUGAGUUUACUUUUUUGCUCAAGCUCGUCAUCAUUUAAGAAAGGUAAACCCAAGUCCUACCCGGCCCGACCAUAUUUGAUUUUUUUAAGAUUAGUUUUUAUUUAAAAAAUAUAAUACCCUAAAUGGACUAAGAAAAAUAUUAAAAUAAAAGUUUUCUAAGGCAUUAAAAAUAUAUUAAAAAGUAUUUAUAUUAAAAAACACAAAUAAAUAUAACAAAUAUUUUGUUGUAUUAAAUAUAAUUUUUAAAAUUUUAUAUUUUGGAUUGAGUUAUUUAGUUGGAUAAGUUUUUUUUGGAGUUUUGGGUAACGAAUUUUAUUAUUGAGUUAAUGAUUUAAUAUAAAUAUAAACAUAUAAUUAUUAUUUAAUAUAUAUAAUUACUAUAAUAUUUUUAUAUAACAUAAUAUAAUUGAGCCGGGCUAAAAAAUCUUGCUCGUGGCCUGACUCGUAUAAAAAACGGAUUUUAAAUUUUAUUUAAGGUCUUUUUCGGGCCUCAUAUUUAUCUAAACUUUUUUAUUUUUCGAAUAAACUUUCAGAACUGGACGAAUAAUCUUCCCAUGAGCAGUUCUACUCCUACUUAAUUCUUACAUGAAGGAUUUACCUAUCCAACCACCAUACACCAUGAACGAUAACAGAUUCUAAUCGGACUAUCAUCCGAAAACAUAUCUGCCAACAAAUUAAAAGAUGAGUCGAAUUGAAACCGGAAAAAAUAAACAAAUAACACUAGUGAAUCACUUGAGAGAGAGGGGACAGGUGUAGCUUCCUACCAUUGUUGGUUCUGUAAGGAUCGAAUAUAUAUUCUCAAAGGCUGUGUAUGUCUCAUCUCUCACCUAACUCACUCCAACAAAGAGGAACGGGUGAACAGAGGCCGAACGCAAUCACCCUCCCUGGCUCCGGCGAUCACAAUCUUGGGUUGUUUCAUACGAUAGAUGAGGUCUGGAAAGAGUUGAGGUUCAUACUGCAUUUAAACAACAUCAAAGAUUAGUCACAAUCCUGAAACCAAACAAGCAAAAUAGGCUCAUUCACCAAAUCUAUGAAUGCAUAGGACCAAACAUAUGUUUAUGUUUCUCGGCUGUUUACUAGCCAAAUGAAAAUUUACGAAGCACGGACACGGACAUGCAAUAUGGGUACAACACAAUACAGAGAGGCGAUACGAUAACUUUAAAAAAAUAAAAACACAGAUAUGACAAUAAAAAAAUAUUUUUAAUAUUUUUAUAUAUAUCUUUAAUGUUAAAAUACUUAAUGUAAAUGAAAACAUUGAUAUUUUUCAUUAAUAUAUAAUCAAUUCUUUUUCAGCCCAAUAUUUUUUAUGUUAAAAGGUAUUUAUUUUUAUUUUAUUGGCUAAAAAUCUAAAAUUUUAUAUUCAGCCUAGUAUUUUAAAUUAAUUUACAAAUAGCUCAAGACAGAACAUUAACCUACCUACAAUAAUAAACAAAAAUUAAAUCCAACUCAGUAUUUUAAAUUAAUUACAAAUAGCCCAAGACAAGACCCUUGGACUGCUUCAAAUUUACCUGAGAAAAAAAAAAAACCUUUCAUUUCCUUUCACGAAAAAACUUUCAAGGGAAAAAAAAUCUGAUACUCUACUUUCCCUUUUACUCUUAACUAUGGUUUUUUAAUCUGAGGUCUCUAUCCAUCGUGACCGUGUCCGAUUUUAGAUACUCGUGUCGGGACCGUAUCCAACCUCUUUUUUUUUACGUAUUCCAGUGUGUCUCAUACGUAUUCGACGAGUGUCCGCGUCAAACACACAUACAACACCGAUAAGAGACAAGAUGAUCCGUGUCCAUACUUCCUAAAUAAAAACUCAUUCUCAAGUUCAUUAAAUAUGAUGUUUCAAUAUAAUUGGAUUGAGAACUUAGACCUCAAUCCCUUCAACUUAGCAUCCUUCAAGGGUCAAAAAAGUGAAACUAAGUAGUUCACAAAGAAAAGGCUAAUUAUCUCCUUGCUCUCUUCCAUUGUUUUCAGUCCUUUAAUUUUUUUUUCCUCAUGACUUUUUGCGAAUUUCAAUUGAAUUAGACCUGAUUAUGGAUCGGGUUUGGGUUGAGAUGAUGCAAAAUUUUAUCUCUAUUCUAUAGACCCAAGCCCAACCCGAAAAUGGAUCUAAAAUUCUGCUCAAACCCAAUGCAAAUUAAAAAUGUUAAACCCAGGCUCAACCCGGGCUGUUCGUAUUAAUUUUUUAUAUAAAAAUAAAUUUAAAAAUAUAAUACAUCAAAUACACUAAAAAUAUUAAAAUAAAUGUUUCCCAAUAAAUUGAAAACACAUUAAACAAUCUUUAUACUUAAAUAACACUAAGAUAAUUGUAAUUUAACAAGCAAACGCUUCUAAAAUAGUAACAAAAUUAGUAAUAAAACAAGAGUUAUACAAUAUCUAAAUAAUAACAAUAAAAUAGUAACAAUAUAAUAACAAAAAGUAAUAAAACAACACCAAAACAGUUGCUUCGGGCCUAGACCGAAUCAAAAAAUCUUACCUAAGGCCUGACCUAUUUAAAAAAUGAGUCUUAUUUUUUUAUUUAAAUUUAUUUUUUAAAUUUAUAUUUUUACUCAAACUCUCUCACUUUCCGGGAGAAAGUGUAUUCUAAAUGCAUAAUAGUUUAUAAAAUAAAAAGUUGGGCAAUAUGGACAGCUCUUCUGACCAGUUCAGUUUUUAACUGUAAAUUAUUGUCUUACUAUAACUUCAAAUCGACCCGGUAAUACAAUAUAACUGCAAUUUUUCUUUGAUGCAAUAUGGUGAGGGCUUUUUGAGAGAUUGAAUUUUGUGCAAGUUUUGCUGGUGAGCUCUCCAUUGAAUUUAGAUGCUUUCGAUAUUAGUAGAUGUGUUUAUAAGUUGGGUCGAGUUGGGUCGAAUUCGAGUUGAGCUUAAGUAUGAUAUUAACCUAUUUUAUAUUUGUUCAAGUUUGGCUCGACUCGAAAUAUGAACCUAAAAUUUUGUCUAAAUCCGCUCAUAUUUGUAAAAAACCAACUCAAACUCAUUUUAGGCCCGCACAUAUUUUUUAAAUUUUUUUUAAAAAAUUAUUUAUUUUAUUUUAAAUUUAACAAAUUUAUACAAUUUUUUAUUUAUUAAAUUUUUUUAUAUAGUCAUCUUAACAUUAUUUUAAUGUUUACAUUAUAGUAGUAUUAUAUAUUUAUUAUUGGUUUAUUUUUUUAAUACAUUUUAAAUUACGUAAUAUAUAAAAAUAACAUAAAAUAAAAUAUUAUAAAUUUAAAAAUGAGUCGGGUCGGCAAGACUCAGGCCUUGAAGGUUCAAACUUGAAUUUGACUCAUAUUUUAAAUUCACCUAAUUUUUUAAGACCAACUGCUAAAGUAAGAAACUAAAACAUGUAUGAUAUCAAAUACUAGCCAUCUUCUUCCAAAUGACACCAUACAUGUAUGGAGAUAAUUAGAUACGUACUUGUAUUUUGAUAUCAAAUAGUUAAUAGCCAAAUAAGAAUCUCUUUAAACUUGUAAAAAGAGCUCCAAAACACCAACCAAAAUAGCUAUCACGUUGUCCCAAACUGCAUUCAGUUGAAUCCACUGCAACCAGAAGUUAGCUUGCCAUUUACUCACGACUACAGUUUACAACAAACAUUUGCAUAGAGCCAAAUUUUGCAUGGCUUAAUCUUACAAACAAGUAUAUUCAGUUGUUGUUAGGAAUAACCGGAUUAUUACCUCAAGAAGUAGUAGGCGACCUUCUAUUAGUUCUGGAUUGUGUCUCCAAACCUGCCCUUCAAAGGUUACUGCUCUUACAUUUGCAUUGAAAGUAAUAUACCACGUGAAAAACAAAAUCGUGAUUUAAUUGCGAAAGCAUGCAUUCUUUGAGAUUAUUUUUCAUAAAAUAUUUUUUUAACUUUAUAUAUGAUUUCACUAACAAUAUAUAUAUUGUUUAUAAAAUUAAAAACCUUAUGGUUUUUGGGCCAAUUUUUAAACGGACUUAAAAAAAAGUUCAAUGAAAAAAAAGUAGAAAAAUAAAAUAAAUGUGUUUAAAACUCACUCUCUUUCCAUUUUGUUCCUUUAUCAUAUCCUUCCACCAAUCAAAUUCUAUUGUUUCAUCCCCUUCCACCAAUCAAACUCCCCAUCUUCCAUAAUUUAUUUUCUUUUUCCUACUUCCACCUUUUUCACUACAACUCCAUUGCCACCCUGAAAAGUGGCUGUAGUCAUUAAUUUUCUUCACCACACAGCCGAAGUGUCAAGAAGACCAAGUCCAAAUUACACAUCUUACCUGUGAAAUUUCUUAGUAGAGUAUAAUUCAAUUAUUAAAAGCGCUAUUACCUUGUUGUAGACUUUGUUAACAAGCUCAUCAUAUGUGCCAUUGUGAGGAUCAAAAUGGCAAGCUAGAUGAUAAUCUAACACCCUAAAAACUACAUAGAAAAGUCUAAUGCAGAAACCAUCAUAGUGCUUUUCGCCUGGAUGUUUACCAUCGAGUCACGUUGGGGGGGAUGAGGAGAGACAAAAAAGACAUGAAAAAAUUCCAUCGAGCCGUUGAUUGUUUCAAGUUUUGAUUUAUAUGGACCCUACGUAGUUAAAAUGGCUUUGGGAGGAAGGAGAGACCAUAAAAAUGGCAGCUCGGUUUGCAAAUUCAGCAGAGCCCUGAGAGUGAGAGGGAAGUCCAUUUUCACACAGCUUAACCAAGCUCGAGCUUAAAAAAUUAUGCUCACUUGAACUCAAUCAAAUGCCAAACUCCAAGUUUAGAAUGAACUCGAGUUUGUCUUUCUUCAACUAGUUUAUCUCCACUCAGAAAUUUUAACUUGGUUAAUAUAAUAUCCAAAAUUGCAAUAUGCUAACAAUUAUACAUUAUAGCAUAUACGAGGUACCCAAAGUUUCCUAAGACUAAGAUGAAGGAUCAAAAUUUUAAUCACUAAAACCAAAAUGUCCUAAAUUACUGCUUAGAUGAAGGAUAUACCAUCCAUUUAAGCAGCCUCCCCAUUCUUUAUAUAUUCACACUUACGAAUCCAACUCCAUGCACCAUGGCUGAUAACCAAAUCAAAUAAAAGUCCCAUCCGAAGGUAUAUCUGCCAGCAAAUUAAAAGAUCAGUUGAAGCAAAACCGGAAAAAGAAAACAAAUAACACUUGUCAAUCAUUUCAGAGAUAGGGGACAAGGUGUAGCUUCCUACCAUUGUUGGUUCUUCCGAAAUUCUGUAAGGACUGGAUAUAUAUUCUCAAAGGCUGUGUAUGUUUCAUCUCUUACCUGAGUCACUCCAACAAAGAGAAAUUAGUAAUUAUGUCGGACAUAGAAUGUGGAAUUGAUGAACAGUCUGAAAGCAAUCACCUUGGCUCCGGUGAUCACAAUCUUCCCUGACACGAAAAUGAGAAGCACAAUCUUCGGUUGUUUCAUACGAUAGAUGAGGCCUGGAAAGAGUUCAGGUUCAUACUGUAUUUAAACAACAUCAAAGAUAAGUCACAGUCGUUAAACCAAACAAGCAAAAUCUGGACAUCAAAUAUGUAACGGACGCAACUAAUUAUCUCAACCUCAUCCAAAACAGAAUCAAAUCCAAGAAUACAUAGCAUAUUAUAAGACCAAACUUAUUUUUAUGUUUCAAGGCUGUUUACUAGCUAAAUGAAAACUCAGUCUCAAGUUCAUUACAAAUGAUGUUUCAAAUUUCAAUAUCAUUGGACUGAGAACUUUGACCUCAAUCCCUUGAGCUUAACACCCUUAAGGGCCAGCAAGUGAAACUCAAGGAGCUCACAAAGAAAAGGCUCAUUUUGUACGUCCAUACAAAUCAUAGGGAAGAGCUCAGACAGCCAGCUAGUCAUGCUGGGAAAGGAAACAUGUCCAAUAUUCUUAAAUAACAGCUAAACAAAAAAUGAACAACGAACACCACUUACACUUGAAAAGGCACUAUGGGAGUAUGCAAGACCUUCAAGUCUGAUGGGAAAUUUGACAUCACAGGACCCAACAAUGUUCUGAAUUUUGAAGUCCUGCCGAUCACAACAAAAAGGUUAAAAAUGAGUAGGGUAAAACAUCAUCGAAAGUAGAGAUAUUAGUCUAUAUACAUGGAAUUUUAUGAGCAUGGUUUGUAUAAGAGAAAAAGGAAUUAUGUAAGUACCUUAAACUUAGCAGGAAAACCAAGCUUUUGGAUAAUUCUGGCAUACUAAAAGCGCAAAAAUAAUGUCAGCUAUAGCCUUCAUCUUUGCAUCCAACUAUCCUAAUGAUAGAAUAUAUUUACACAUAUAAUCACACAACAAAUUCACAUGAAACAUAGUUCACAAACGCAUUUGAAGGAAAAAGCAUCUCAAAGAAAAAUAUUUACCUUCCUUGCAGCCAGUUUAGAUUGCUGUUCACUUUUAGCACCAGUGCAAACCUGAAAAAGCAAGAAAAUUUGUUUUAGUAAAUAACUAAAUCAAUAAUUAAACAAAGAUAACAUGCUUGGGCUCAAGCAAUUGAUGUAAGCACUAGUUAUUUACUUAUGGGUUUCAAUACUUAAAACAAUAAAAUAAGUGCAAUUUUAAUUCCAAUGGAAGUACCAUCUUUCCAGAGGCAAAAAUCAAAGCUGUAGUUUUUGGCUCCCUGAUUCUCAUAAUGACAGCAGCAAAACGCUGUAGGUUGUUUUAUAAAUAAAAAGGUUAGCAUCCAAAUAUAUUAGCAGCUGAUAGAGAAGCUGCACAAACUAAGAAAGCUAGAAUUUAACCAUCCCCUGCAUACCUUCGGAUUAUAUUCUGCAUUUCGAGCUUGAAGUGCAAUUUGCUUAAGAUCCAACUUGCAAUCUAAGUUCACAGUUGAUACAAUGUUCCUUGAAACACAGUAAGACUAAUUCUAAGAUUUCCAAAUAUCAACUGUGGUCAAACCCGAUCCAUAAAGGAAUCAGAGCACAAUUUAAUAGAAGAAAUUGGGAAAAAAAAAACUUUCCAUUUUUUUGGUUAAAAGUUCGAUACAGAUCCACACCUUGUUAGUUGCUGAAUCAUUAAAACCUUACAACCAUAGAUAGGAUAUAUGCUCGGAUGCUGAACUUCAAUAAACCAUUCAAUCUGAAUUGUUAAUAAAGAGAUUUUACUGAAUGCAACAGUUUCCUACAUCUGUUAAGAUCAGUUAAUGACGAGUAACCGAGCCAAAAACAAGUCAAGCCCCGUGCAAUUUAUGUGUUUGGCUGGUUUAACUAAGAACAAGACUCAAGUUUUAUACAUGAUUAAACCAGAUGAGCUUGAUUUCAUUUGCAGGCUAGUGGGCUAAGCCUGCACAAUCGUAUUUGAUGUAAUUUAUUUAUCAUUCAUAUCAAAAUUAAUCCAAAGAAAUCUACGAAACUUUUUUAUUAUAUCAAACGCAUCAAAUGAAACAUAACACAAUGUUACUCCAAUUAUAUCGAAUUAAAGCUUUCUACUAUUACAUUACUCCAAUGAUAUUCUCAACAGAAGCAUACUUUAAGCCAUAGACAACAAAAGCUGACAUAUCAUGGCCCCUAAAUUCACCAUUUCUCUUCCCAAAAUACAACCAAAACCCAUCUCAAAACUCCCUCUCAUCAUUUCAAAGAAAAAUUUGAUACACACACACACACACACACAUAAUAUAUUUGCUCCAAAAAGAUUUCAUUUUCAAUGAUUUAAUUGACUACAGGUCUGCAAUACAAGAUAUCAUCCACAAACUCUGGUCAGCCAAAUAACAUCCCAUUCAAGUUAGAAAUUCACCAAAACCUCAAACACCCAUAUCCCAAAAGCACUCCCCCCCCCCCCAGCGAUUUAAUUGAGAACACAUCUCCAUUACACCUAAAAGAUCAUCCCAUCGCGAAACUCUGUUCAACCAAAUCUUACACAUACAUAUAAAUUUAUUGCACAAAGAAAACGUAUACAUUUCAGAAUACAAAGACGAGAGGCAAAAAGGAGACUUACUGAAGAGUGGGAACAAUGCCAGAUGGGUGCUUGGAAAGAUCAACUGGUUGGCUCCCUUCCAAGCCACCUUGUUCUGCCAUCGCUUUUUUGUUCCUCACCCAAAAAAAAUCCUCCAAAAAGACUAUGGGCUUCCUCUUAGAAACACCGAGGGAAAAAAGCAGAUCGAAAUUCACACAAGUCUAAUAAAAUUGAACCCUAUAACAAAAUUUGAAGUUUUCAAAGGGUAAACACGAAACUUAGGAGGAAAUGAAUGAAAUAACAAAAAACAAAAACAGAUCACAGUUUGAUACAAAUCUGAACAAAUUCAUUAUUUUUUCACUAAAAAAAUUAUGAAAUUACAAACAAUAAAGCUACAAAAUGGAGGGAAAUUUGAGAGAAGAAAGAGAGAAAUGUUUGAAAAGAGGUGUUUAUAUAGGUUUUUAUUUGAAUUCUUAUAUAUAAGAGAGAAAUUACUGAAAGGAUCUGGUUCGAAAAUGAGAUUUGUGAGAGAUCGGCUCAUAACAGAUAGAGAUGCGGGUGUUUCGAGGGACAUAUGCACCCUAAGAUUAUUCUAUUUAUAAACGUUGACUCUUUUAACCGGUCAAGCUGUGGAAGUUACCUGUUUUUGCCGGUCAUGUUUAGAGGUGUCCAUGGGCCGGGUGGCCCGGCCCAGCCCGACAGCCCGUCCGAAAUAUGAGAGGGUUUAGGUAAAAAUAUAGGCCUGAAACAUGGGUUUGGGCAAAAAAAUGAGGCCUGUUUAGAAAACGGGCCGGGCCUCGGGCACCACUUUUUUUACCCUAGCCCAGCUCGACCCGGCCCAAAUAUAUAAUCAAUAUAUAUUUUUAGUUUUUUUAAUUUAAAAUAUUUUUAAAAUACUUUUUUAUUUUUAUGUUUAAAAUAUUUUUUGGUGUUUAUUAAAAAAUGGGUCAGGUCGGGCCGGGCUUAGAUUUUUUCCCGGGCCAGGCCAGGACAAAAUUUCAGGCCCAUAUUUCGGGCCAGGCCAGGCCCAGGCCUAAGACGAAAAUUUUGGCCCAGCCCGGCCUAUGGACACCUCUAGUCAUGUUGGGAGGAAGAGGUGACUUGUCCUUCCCCUCCUAAGCAAAUGAGAAUUUGUGAUUAAAGUACUCUCAAAUCCACUAAUUGUUUCAAUAUCAACUUUGUAAAUUGAAUUAAAGCUGAAUCAAUUUUUAAUAUUUGUUUUACAUAUUUAAAUUAUUUUAUAUUUAUAUUUAUAUUUACAUAAAAUAUGAAGUUAUCAAUAACUUAUAUUAUAUAUAUUAGACAAUCAUAUUAGACCUUUCACCAAAGUAAUUGAUUAUUGCAGAACUUUGAUAACGCACAAUCUCUUCAUAGCAUCAUAAAAAAAAACUCAAUCUUAUAACCUUACUUAAACAUCAUACUCAUUAGGCUUAACAAUGCUCAAAAAAACAUAUUGAGAAUAACCUCUAACAACAUCUAUCAAUCUAUCACAUCCAAUAGACGUUUUGUCUAAUUUCUUCAAGUCAACUCUAACAAUGUCCUAAACUGAUCUAGGGUAACACUCGCCACUUUAUCAUUGCACUUGAAGGAAAGGGAACACAAUGGCUGGGACGCAUGCUCUACCUCAAUCCCCCAAAAACACCCUUCAUCAUUGGGGCAAAAGUACUUGUACCCUCAUUCUUCUCAUUUAAUUCUAAGAUAACAUUAAAAUCUUUAGCCAAGAUCCAAGGCUUAGAGACUGCCUUAGCAAGGCAACCCAACAACUUCUCGAGUACUUUUCAAUUCAAACAAUUGGGACUACCAUAAACGAUGGGAAGGAAAAAUCCCUUAUUCAAACCGAUGGAAUGUAUCUUUAGAUGAAUAAACUGAGGGUGGUUAAUAAGAAUAAUGACAAAGACAAAAUUAUUCCAAAUAAUCUAAAUGCCCCUAGAAAACCUAAAAAACUUCUAUUCUGUGGGAGAAGCUAUAAUGCAUUUUCUUUAUAACAUUGCACGUUACCAAACCAUUGACUCUCGUGUAUAUUAAAUCAACUAAGCUCAUCUUAAAUUCCUUGAAAUAUUCUCUAAAUAUUCGCAAAAAUGUACUUUUACUAGAACAUUGAUAAUUCCAAAAUAAUCCCGAAAAAUUCAUCAAAUAAAAAAGACAAAAGAACUCUAACCAGUGAUCGCAUGCACGCGUGUUAGAAACAAACAAUUUUUUAAAACAAUUUAAAAGUGUGGUUUUAACUACAAACGUAUAGUGUUUUUGUAGUGUUAAUGGAACACUAGAGUAUUUUAAGGAUCAAACCCAAAGAAUUGCCAAAUUGAUAAAUGUGUUAACAACGUUAAUUACAAGUUAAAAAAUUAUUAAUCUAGUAGAAUCGGAAAUUAUUAAUGCAAAUUCAAAGAAAAAUACAAAAUGGAAGAUAGAACGACUAAACCAAUGGAUAGAUGGAUAAAUGUCAAAUUGAACCCUUUGAGAUAUCAAUCCCAACAAACUCAAUUAACAGUUCUAAUCAGUCCUCCUAGAAAUGAUCAUUGGCAAAUUGAAGGAUGAAGAAUGAAUUCUCACAACUCCUUAAAGAAAAUCAAGAAAAAAAUUACUUCUAAAAAUCACAAGAAAGAAAUAUUGCGCAAAGAAACAAACUCUCAGAAUUGAAAACUUUAUUAAUGAAAACAAUUUGUGACAUUAAUGAACAAUGAAGAAGCCUUUAUAUAGGCUAGCUAGGUACAUCCAAAUAAAACUCUAAAGUAUACUGAAACUCUAAUUAAUCUAAAUAAGAAGUAGUUUUAAAUUAAACUUUCUUAUUUAACUAAGAAAUAUAAAACUCCUAAACAACUUAAAAUACUUAAACAAUAUCUGAAAUUUGUAAUAAAUAAAUAAUAAAAUAACAAAAGCUAAUAAAUACAAUAUUGGGCUCAUAUAUAAUAAAAAAUUAAGCUUAAAAUCGAACCCAAUAUGAUUUAAACUCGAAUUAAAAGCCCGAAACAUGAAAUUAAGUGAUUUAAAGUGCGUUGCAAAGAUAAGAAACAGAUAUUCGAUUGAUAUGAAGACAUAUUGACCCAAAAAUACCUAUAUUCCUUCCAAAAAUGCACCGCAACUUGAUUGAUUAUAACACGGUUAGAUGUGUGGGCUUGAUUGAGGUCCUUGAAGUGUAACACCUAAGCUUAUUAACAUAUUUCACAUGAGCUUGUCCUCAUUCAUUGAGAUUUUAAGUCCACAAAUAAAAUUGGUCCCUUCUAAUUCAUCUUCACUUCGUAUUAAGCUCCAAAGUUUAUCGUCUUGAAGCUUCAGCUCUUUUUCUCGAAAUUUCUUUGUGACAAAGUCUUGAAUGAAUAUGUUGAGUUUUGACUUAAACUUAUUAGAUUUGGAUCUCGUGAUUAGGCCUUGAGGUAAACUAAGAUCAUCUCCCUCAUGGACUUUGAAUUGAAUUGGGCAGCUCGUAUCAUUCUUUUAUGGUAAAGUCAUCAUGAUUUUAACGGAAUUAGAGUUGGAUUAAGAAGAUUAUUUAAUUGGAAAUAUAUUGAGAUGUUUAUUUUGGAAAAUAGAAAAACAUAUAUCGGGUUGAAUUGAAUUAUAAAGUACUGAGUUAAAAGUUCAUGAAAUACUUGUAAUUGGACCCAAUAUGGGAGAGGCCCAAAAGCCUCUCGUGUUAAUUAAAGGGAUAGCAAACCCUAGUAUUAUUAAUUAGAGUUAUUGCCCCUUAUACUUCUAGAUAGACUAGAACUUCGUUUUUCUAGUUGAAAUAAACUUCUACAAUUUAACAAAAGUUAUGUGUAACACCCCUAACCUAUAUUCGUCACUGGAAUAGGGUUACGGAGUAUUACCGGAGUUUACAUAUCAAAUAGACAGACAUUUCACAUCAUUUAACAUUAAUGACAGAAACCAAUCAAAAAUCAAAUAUAUUGUUCCUUAUGCGAGCCCUCGGGGCCCAAAAUACGUAUUAGAAACAAAUCGGGACUAAAUCGGGUAAUCGGAGAAUUUUUCAAAAAUCAUUAAAAAUUUUCAAAUGUGUAAGGGACACACGCUCGUGUGGCCAGGCUGUGUGACUCACAUGGUCAAUAGACACGCCCGUGUCUUAGGCCAUGUGGGUAUUCGAAAUAGGGGCACACGACCGUGUCCCAACCUGUUUCCAUACUAGUGUAACUUUCUAACUUAGGUCACACGGCCAAGUCACGCGCCCGUGUGCCAAGCCGUGUGAGCAUGCUGACUUGCAUUCUUAAAAGAUGCAGGGGAAACACAGCCGUGUCACUUGGCCGUGUGUCACACACGGCUGAGACACACGUCCGUGUCUCUGCCCGUGUGGACGAAAGUAGGCCAUUUUCCAAGCUACAUUUCUCACCCAAAUUUUUACCAACUUAGCCUCAACAAAUCACACAUCAAUAAGCCAUAUCAAGAUAUUCAACACAAACUAAAAUCAUGUCUUAAACAUUCAUCAUCACCACAAUCAACCAACGUGCUCUUAGACACCUCAAAUGACAACUUAUAAAAAAGUCAACCAAAAAUCCAAACUUACCUAUUUAAUCCAUCUAACAAAUUUACUAAGAUUCACCACAAAAUAAUUGCAUACAAACAUAUAUCACUCACACCAACAUCACUAAUAUGCCUCAUUCUCAAACCAAUAUAUAUAAGUUGGUUAUAUAAACAAAAUAUAAUUCAUAACAUUUACAUAAGCCAAACUUUGAUCCAAUCCACACAAAGGCCUAUACAUGCCAUAUAAACCGUAUUGAACGUUUCAAAAACUACCGGAAUAAGCUGGAUAGUGUGACUUGAGUGUUGAUCUGAUUGUCUAACCUUUCAAAAAUCUACAAGGACAUUAAACAACUCAAAUAAGCUUAAUAAGGCUUAGUAAGUUCGACGGAAUAAAUAAAAAUCUUACCGAACUAACUAUAAUAAAUCAAAUAAUAAAAACCAUUCAUGAUAACUCCCUGUCAAUCACAAUUUCAAUUGAUGAAUACAUCUGUUUUCAAGUCAUUACCAAAAAUAAAUAACAUGUCUUUCAAUUUUAAUAAGUAAAUCACCUUACCAAAUCAUUCCCAUUCGAAGAACGACUUACGAAUAAGAGUAAAUCGUUAACAGAAGCUCAUAAGAGCUGGUCCAUCUGAAUAUGUCAACAGAAGCUCAUAAGAGCUUAACAGAAAGUCAUAAGAGUUAAACAGAAGCUCGUAAGAGCUAAACAGAAACUCAUAAGAGUUGAACAGAAGCUCGUAAGAGCUGAACAAAAGCUCGUAAGAGCUGAACAAAAGCUCGUAAGAGCUUAACAGAAGCUCGUAAGAGCUGAACAGAAGCUUGAAAAAGCUAAACAGAAAGUAAAACACAAGAGUUAGCAAAAAAUCUGAACCCUGAUUUACUUGGGUAAUUUUUUGAUACUUUUCUCCAAUACCGUCAUACGCCAAAUCACGAAUGUACUCAGAUCAUGCGUUCAAUUCAAAUCGAAUAUCCAAUUCAAUAUCAUAAUUCGUAUAAUAAAUUAUUUCCAACAAUAAAAUAUAUGUUUAAUAUCAAUCAUCAAUUUAUAUAAAUAUUAAAGUUUAAUCGUACGAACUUACUUGGAUUAAAUUAUAGUAAUUGUAAAAGUUUAGGGACUAGUCUACUAUUUUUGUUUUUUAACGAGUAUCUACGAGAUCUUGAUCUAAAAUAUAAAAUUACUCAUCCAUUAGCAUAUAUUUCAUUUCCAAUUCAUUUCAUAAUUAAUACCCUUUUAUUUUUCAAAUUUAUAGAAUUACCCCAAACUUUUACAACUUUUGCAAUUUAAUCCAGGUAAGUUCGUAUGGUUAAACUUUAAUAUUUGUAUAAAUUGAUGAUUGAUAUUAAGCAUAUAUUUUAUUGUUGGAAAUAGUUUAUUGUACGAAUUAUGAUAUUGAAUUGGAUAUUCGAUUUGAAUUGAAAGCGGGAUCUGAGUACAUUCGUGAUUUGGUGUAUGACAGUAUUUGAGAAAAAUAUCAAAAAAUUACCCAAGUAAAUCGGGGUUCAGCAUUUGUUGCGAACUCUCACGUUUUACUUUUUGUUUAGCUCUUUUGAGCUUUAGUUUAGCUCUUACGAGCUUCUAUUCAACUCUUAUGAGUUUUUGUUCAGCUCUUACGAGCUUCUGUUUAACUCUUGUAAGUUUCUGUUCAGCUCUUAUGAACUUCUAUUGGCAUAUUCAGAUGGACCAGCUCUUAUGAGCUUCUGUUAACGAUGUACUCUUAUCCGUAAAUCGUUAUUCGAAUGGGAAUGAUUUAGUAAGGUGAUUUACUUAUUGAAAUUGAAAGACAUGUUAUUUAUUUUUGGUAACGACUUGAAAACAGAUGUAUUCAUCGAUUGAAGUUGUGAUUGACAAGGAGUUAUCGUGAAUUAUUUUUAUUAUUUUAUUUAUUAUAGUUAGUUCGGUAAGAUUUUUAUUUAUUCCAUCGAACUUACUAAGCUUCAUUAAGUUUAUUUGAGUUGUUUAAUGUCCUUGUAGAGUUUUGAAAGGUUAGACGAUCAGAUCAACACUCAAGUCACACUAUCCAGCUUAUUCUGGUAGUUUUUGAAACGUUUAAUACGGUUUAUAUGGCAUGUAUAGGCUUUUGUGUGGAUUGGAUCAAAGUUUGGCUUAUGUAAAUGUUAUGAAUUAUAUUUUGUUUAUAUAACCAACCUAUAUAUAUUGGUUUGAGAAUGAGGCAUAUUAGUGAUGUUGGUGUGAGUGAUAUAUGUUUGUAUGCAAUUAUUUUGUGGUGAAUCUUAGUAGAUUUGUUAGAUGGAUUAAAUAGGUAAGUUUGGAUUUUUGGUUGACAUGUUUAUAAGUUGUCAUUUGAGGUGUCUAAGAGCAUGUUGGUUGAUUGUGGUGAUGAUGAAUGUUUAAGACAUAAUUUUAGUUUGUGUUGAAUGCCUUGAUAUGGCUUGUUGAUGUGUGAUUUGUUGAGGCUAAGUUGGUAACAAUUUGGGUGAGAAAUGUGGCUUGGAAAAUGGCCUAUUUUCUUCCACACGGGCAGAGACACGGUCGUGUGCCCCUAUUUCGAAUACCCACACGGCCUGAGACACAAGCAUGUCUAUUGAUCGUGUGAGUCACACGGCCUGGCCACACGGGCAUGUGUCCCCUACACCUUUGAAAAUUUUUAAUGAUUUCUGAAAAAUUCUUCGAGCACCCGAUUUAGUCCCAACUUGUUUCUAAUACAUAUUUUGGGCUCUGAGGGCUCGCAUAAGGGACAAUAUGUUUGAUUUUUGAUUGGUUUCUGACAUUGGUGUUAAAUGAUGUGAAAUGUCUGUUUAUUUGAUAUGUAAACUCCGAUAAUGCUCUGUAACCCUGUUCCGACGACGGAAACGGGUUAGGGGUGUUACAUUAUGCCUCAUCUUCUUAUAAAUAGAUGACACUAGUAGGGCUAUUUACACAACUUUAAAAUAUUGUUACUCUGCCCGAAAAUAGAGAUAAUUUAUUUUCAACUAUUAAAUCUAUUUUCUGGAAUAACAAUUUUUGUCGGUUUCCAUUGAGAAGGGAAUUUUCGUUUUCUAACUUAAACAAAGAAAACUAUUUCUAGUUAUGUAUUUUGAUUCGAAUUGUUCGAACCCACACUCGAAGCAGUUCGUGAUACAAGAAUAGCGGAGAAGGUCAUUGGUUUAAAGCCGAGAACGACAAUGAUUUGUCUAUCUGAAAACACUGAUGCGAAUUCAAUUAUGGGUUUAUUACUAUAAAUAUCACAAAUCAACUUAGUUUUCAAAAAUUUAAAAUUUUGUUGCGAAAAAAAAACCGUUUUCAAACUGAAUUUUUUCAACACCUUGGUUAAGUCUGCCUCCUUAGUGAUCUAUUCACAAACCACUUCAAGUAUUUCUCCUAGGCUCUUAACAACCCACUUUGGAUGCACUACUUUCCCCUUUCUCUGACCUAGUUGCUUAAAAAUUUAAGGCAUUAGAAUCCUGCCCUUUAACAUCACCUCUACCAAUUGAGGAAACAUUAAAUAUGCCUUUGCUAUUAUGUACGAGGAUUUACACAUCACUUAAAUCUGUUAGCACCAAGAAUCUGAAGUUAUCGAAAUCAUUCCCAACAUAUUCCAAUUGUCAUUGGUCCUUUCUACUUCUAUGCCUCGAUUUCCACUUUGCUAUCAUCCAAAGUCCAAGAUUUUCAACCUCCGCCGGUUUCUUCCGUUGGACCUUCGGGUGCCCUUUCUUGUUAACUUUCUCAUUUUCUUCUUCCACAUCAAAAAUCAUACCACAAUUCUCCUUUACGUGCCCAUGAAAUCCACAUUCGAAACAAAUAUUUGGUAGAGAUUCAUAUUCUACAUUCUAGAGCUUUCCAUCAAUUUGAAUCUUUGCAACCAAAAGCUCAUUCAAGUUGACACAUAUUGCCAAGCGCAUAAAUCUACUUAAGGGGGAGACUUGGAUAUGUUUUUGUAUGAAGAGAAUAAAGUGCACUAAAUCUAUUCAAGUGGGGAACAAUGUUUUGUGAUUGCAUAUUGAUAGUAAAACAUUUGUGUUUUGAUUUGACUUGUUGAAUUCACAGAUGUGAAUUUAGUAGUGAGAGUAUCAAUCUUUAAAGUUCAAAAGUGAGGAAAAUUAUUACAGGGCGUGUUAGUUGAAAAGAAUGGAUAUUUCUCACUGAACUAGGAUCCACAGACGUAGAAAAACCAAAUUGUGCAAACAAUUCUUGUGUGUUAGAUUUGAUUUUUGUUUUUAGAGUUGGUGUCAAAAAAGUACCCACUUCCCUACCACUCUUUCUAUAGUUUGCUAACAACAGUUUCAAAACUUCAAAAUACGUAAACUUAAAAGAUGAUCAAACAUGAUACAUCAAAUACAUUAAAUAGUGAAUUGGUCAUAAAUAUAAAAUUUAUAUAACAGAUCAAAAUGUAACUAAAACCUACUAUUUCCUACAUCAUAUAAAUUUAAUAAUAUAUAAAAAGUAGUUGUAUUGAUUUUUAUAUGUCAAUUGGUCAUGCAUAUCAUAUAAUAUAAUUAUGAUUAUAAUUAAAAAAUAAAUCUUUAUAUAUUGAAAUAUUAAUUUAAAAUAUUAUGAAUAUUUGCUUAUUUUCUACUUAAAAGCAUCAUAAAAAUAAUAAGAAAUAUAAGACAUUUUUAAAGAACCUUUAAUAUAUAAGGGAUUGAUACAGUUGAUAUUCAAAUUUCAGAAUUAUUGAGAUAAGGGAAAUAGCAAGGACUAAAAUUGUGAAUAAAAAAGGCCGAGUAUCCUAGUUAAUAAAUUAUACGAGAUGGAAGGAUUUAAUAUGCAAAUAAUCCAUCUGAAUAUGAAAUAAUAAUGUUUUUCUUUCCUUUUUCUUCAUUUCUACCCUUCAGCCGUCACUGGAUGGAAAUUCAUUUCCAGAUUUCGGCUUAGUUUACUUCAACUGUUCGAAAAUAUUUUUAAAAUUUUAUAAUAAUCUUGAACUUUUUUUUUUUUUUUUGCAUCUGUGCAUUUAUUUUAAGGCUUAAUAUAAUUUAUACAAUAACCAAAUAAAUUAAUAAAUUAAUUUUGAGAAUUUAAGAAAAAUAUAUAAGUGAAUCAAAAUCUUACAUAUGAGAAUUUAUACCAGUAAAACCCACUGCUUUUAGUUGAAGCCAUUGAACUUGCUGUUUUAUAAGUACCUCCUUAUCUUGCACCCUGUAAUUAAAAAACGAAUGAACAACGUUUAAUGAUUUCGAGAAAAGAUUUUAAUAUAUUCCAAAUAGAUAAACAACUGUGUACAUAAUGAGUAGACCUGUCCAUGGGCUGGGCGGCCCGGUCCGGCCCGACGACCCGCCCAAAAUAUGGGAGGGUUUGGGUAAAAAUAUAGGCUCGAAAUAUGGGCUUGGGUAAAAUUUCAGGCCCGUUUAAAAAAUGGGCCGGGCCUCGGGCAAGAUUUUUUGGCCGGGCUCGGCCCGAAAAAUAUUAAAUAUAUAUAUUUUUAUUUUUAAAAUAUAAUAGUUUUUUUAUUUUAAGUUUAUUUACUUUCAUUUCCUUGACUAGUGUUACAAAAUAAUAAUAAUAAAACAUCAAGUUUGUUUUACUAAUCAAAUGUUAGAUUUUGUUAAUACAAUUAAUACAAUUAAUAAUUUGAUAAAUUUACUAAUCAAAUGUUAGAUUUUAUUACAACAAUUAAUACAAUUAAUAAUUUGAUAAAUUUACUAAUCAAAUGUUAGAUUUUAUUACAACAAUUAAUACAAUUAACAAUUUGAUAAAUUUACUAACAAUUAAUUUUAAUUUUAUUAAAAAAACUAAUUUUAAUUUUAAUUUUAAUUAAAAACGGGCCGGGCCGGGCUCGGGCCCCAUAUUUUUUCUUUGGGCCGGGCCUGGGCAAAAUCUCAGGCCCAUAUUUCGGGCCGAGCUGGGCCCGGGCCUAGUAAAUGGGCUGAAAAUUUUUGUGGGUCUGGCCCGGCCCGGCCCGGCCCAUGGACAGGUCUAAUACUGAGCACCAUUCGUUUAGACUCAAAGGCUCAUCCGAAAAGUGGGGGUUUUAGAUAAAAAUUAUAUGCUCGAACAAAAAAUAAGAUCCGUUUUCUAAAUUAAUCAGACCUCGGGUAAGAUUUUUUGGUUCGAGGAUCUAGUUAUUUUUUUUUGCUGUUGUUUUGUUGUUGUUUUUCUGUCAUUUUUCUAUCAUAUUAUUACUAUUUUGUUGUUAUUAUUUAAAUAUUGUAUAACUCUUAUUUUGCUACUAUUUUUUAAUGUAUUUUUAAUUUAUUGAAAAACAUUUAUUUUAAUAUUUAGCGUAUUUGAUCUAUUACAUUUUUUAAAAAUUAUUUUUAUAUAAAAAAAUUUAAUAUUGUUGGGUCAAGCGAGCUUAGAUUUAGUAUUUUUUUUUAUCUAAAUCGGGCUUGGAUAAAGCUUUAAACUCAUUUUCGAAGUCAAACCUAAAAUUUUUACAUUGACCUGAUCCAUGAUAAGAUUUGUUAACCAUACAAAUGAUAUGAAAAAUUUGAAUGACCCAUAUGUGAAUGUGAAUGGUAGUUAUCUAUAUGGACUGAUUAAUGUAAUUAGACGAUGUUGUAGCUUUGUCAUGGUAAAGCAAGAUUUAGGGUAGUUAAUGUAUUGUAAUCAAUUUUAUAGUAAAAUAAAUUUAAAUAAUAAUUUUAUAAAAUACAUAAGCAGAAUAAAAAAAUUAAUGUACACUAAAAUUCUAUUAUAUAUAGCUAAAAAGAAUCUAAAUCAAUAAAUAAUUAAAAAUAUUUUAUUAAAAAAUCCAAAUGCUACAAAUGACAAUGGUUUGGUCGUGGUGACUUUCCUAAUACUAUCCUUCGACUUUUCCUUCCUUAUUUAAACAUAUACGCUUAUAUUUCCAACUUUUCCAUUUGCUUCACAUUUAAAAAAUUACGUAAAAAUCUUUAAAAAUUAUAUAAAAAAAAGCUAAAUUCUAAGAAACAUACCUAUUGUAAUGAAAAUCAUUGCAAGCAUUCAUCUAUUUAUAACCGUCAAUAAGUACAUGGUAGUCAAAGAUUUUUAAAAAUUCUAAUUAUCUAAUUAAAAAUUAUAAUAAAUAUUAAUUAUUAAAUAUAAUAAUUAUCUAAAUUAUUAUAAAUAUUUCUUAUUUAAUAAAUAAAUAUUUUAUAAACAAAUGGAUAAUAUAUAAAAAUUUUGAAAUGUAAAUUUUACUUAUAUUUUAAUUUAAUUUAAACUAUACAAAUUAUAUCCAAAUUUGAUAAUUAGUUUUUAAAUUUUUAUUUAAAAUUAAAAAUUAAAAUAUAUAAAUGGAUAUUUAUCUAAUUAUAUUUUAUUUAAUUAAGCAUUUAUCUAAAAUUUAAAAAUUUUAGUUAUCUAAUUAGAAUUUUAAUAAAUUUUAAUUAUUAAAUAUAAUAAUUAUCCAAAUUUUCAUAUUUAAUUAAAUAAACACUUUUAUAAUCAAAUGGGUAAUAUAUAAAAAAUGAUAUGUAAAUUUGAUAAUUAAUUUUUAAAAUUAUAUAUUAUAUAAAAUAAAUAUAUAAGUUAAAUCAAAUGGAUAAUUAUCUAAUUAAUUAUCCUUUUUGUUUUUAGAUAAAUUUAAUAUAAAUUAAAAUAUAUUUUAUAAUUUCUCAAUUAAUUUUUCGGUUAAUAUAUUAAUAUGGAAAUUAAUUUAUCAAUUGAUACAUAAUUGCAAUUGUACAACUCAGAAAUUGAUUGUAAAAAUAAUAAAAUUGAUUAUUAUUUAUCAAUUAGCAUCCUUGUGUAUAAUAAACCCAUUUCACUCGGAAAUAUAAACAUUUCUUUUACCCAUUGUUUACUAUGGGUAAUAUAUUAAUUAUCAAAUGGAUAUUCAAUUUUUAAUUUUACUUAAAUUAUCUAAAUUAUAUUCAAAAUUGAUAAUUAAUUUUUAAAAAUUUUGAUGUUAAAAUUUAAAUUUAGAAUAAAUAAUAUAUAAAUAAAUGUAUAAAUUAAAUCAAAUAGAUAAAUAUCUAAUUAAUUUUAUUAUCUAGUUAAAUAUUUAUCUUUUAGAGAUAAAAUUAAAUUAAAUUAACUACAUAUUAAAUAAAAAAUUAAUUCAAAAAACUAAAAAAAACAUAAUUAUGCCACUUGUCGCAAUUAUUGUGUAUAUACUUUGUUAUAUUAUAUAUAUAUAUAAAUACAUUUAUGCAAUUAUAAAAUUUAAAAUUAUUAAUUGAGUUGAAUAAUUUAAUUCUAUAAUUAUAUUUUAAGUUUAAAAGUAAUGCUUAAAAUGUUUAAAAUAAAAAGUAAAAUUUAAAAUAUAAAAAAAUUUAUAUUAACCGGUAUGAGUCUAUAUGCAUCUAUAUAAAUCGAUAUUUAUACAAAACCGACUAUCAUGGGUAUCCUAGAUGACGUAGUAUGAAAUGCUUAAAAGAACCCUAAAUUGGCAAAAGUAGAAACAGAGGCAGCCGCCGACAAAGGGGAUUUGUUUCUUUAGCAGGGUGGGUUUUGGUUUGAGCAUGCACCACUCUUCUUUUCCUUCAGACUAGUUGGUGAAUUUAAUUGAAUUGGUUUUUUUUAAUUUGCAUUAAAGAAUUUUAAUUUUUUUGGUGAAUUUAAUCGGGUUGCUUUUUAUUUUUAAUUUAUAUUAAAAAUUAGUUUAAGGGCGUAAAAGGUUCUUAAUUUUUUUUAAAAAAAUUUAAAUCCCUACUCUUUUUUUUGCACUCAGUUUAAUUUUCGAAAUAUAUCAAAAAGCUCUCAAACUUUUUCAAAUAAAGUAAUUAAGUUUCUGUCUUCUUUUACUCAAUUAGGUACUUGAAUUGCUAAAAUACAUUAAAAAGCCCUUUGACCGUUAAAGUUAACUGCUCCUAAACAUUUUUAGUUAAAGUCACCACGUGUCAUAAUCAAGGCGUAACAUGUGACAAAAAAAAAGGAUAAAAAUAAAAAUUAAUAAAAGUUAUAGAAAUUAUUAAUUUUAACAAAAAAUGUAAAAAUAUUUAAAUUAGAAAAAAUUAUAAAAAUUGUAAAAAAUUAUAAAAUAUAUAGAAAUAUAGAAAAAAAUUAUAAAAUUUUAUAAGUCGUAAAAAAAUUAUAAAAAAUGUAAAGAAAUAUAAAAUUUGUAAAAAAAUUAUAAAAAUUAUCGUACUAAAAGAAGUAUUUUAUAAUUUUUCUAUAAUUUUUAUUGAUUUUUAUUUUUUAUCAUUUUUCACCACAUAUCAUGUUGUGUUGUGACACGUGAUGACUUGAACUAAAAAUAACUUGGGAUCGUUUUUUAACAAUCAACGGUUGAAGUU